rnacentral:lncRNA from 1 species
UCACUCAGUUGGGAUGGGUGGGAGUAGGAGGUUUGUGGGGUGGCUUGUGCGGAGGAGUUGGCAGCUUCUUUCCAGGACCUGGUGGCUUCUCUCCCUUAGGUGGUUUGCCAACUGGGGUUGGUGGCUUGUAUGAGUCUUCAGCAUUCUCUGCAGGAGGGUGACCAGGGUUGUGACCAUAAUGUGGUGGCUUCUCUCCCUUAGGUGGUUUGCCAACUGGGGUUGGUGGCUUGUGUUCUGGGAGUGGCUUCUCCCCCUUGGGAGGUUUUUCCAAUGGGGUUGGUUUGUGUUCAGGAGGUGGCUUCUCCACUGGAGGCUUGUGUUCAGGAGGUGGCUUCUCCACCGGAGGCUUGUGUUCAGGAGGUGGCUUCUCCACCGGAGGCUUAUGCUCUGGUGGUGGCUUCUCCACCGGAGGCUUAUGCUCUGGUGGUGGCUUCUCGAAUGGGGGAUGCUUAGGGUAAUCAGCAAGUGAGGGGGCGGUGAGAACCACCAGGCCAAGCAAGACCACUAGCAAGUAUGUAGGAGACAUCUUUGGGUUUAGACUCAGAUGGUGCAAAACUAGGAGAAUUGUCUUUUAUAGCGGAUCGCACCCAAUAAUGAAAUGACACGUGUCUUUAUGACCCAUGUGUAAUGGGGUCGAUUUGGGUCCUACAGUGUUGAAAACUUCGACAUCCACUUUUGGCCUUUUGCUUUCUCUACAGCCGCCUUGCUUUUUCCCUCUUUCCUUUUGUUUUCCUCCUGCCCCAUUCUAUCAACUAAACACAAUUAUGUAGUUGUUUAAUUCUUAAAUGAGAUAUUAUCCGUCAAUCGUAUCAUAUUUUAUCAACAGAGAACGGAGUGCAAUGUGGCAAUCCAAAGAAAGAAGAUCCAUAAUGCAGCUGUAAUUUUAUCGUUUACUUUUAUCUCUUGGACCACUGCAUUUUUGUUAAGAGGUGCAAUAAUACACGUCUUUAUCUGCCAUUCAAUGUUUACAGUAAAGAGAGGGCACAAAACUCUUCACUGCUCUGCAUGUGUCCCAAAAAUGCAAUUGGACAAAUUAUGAUUUGCAUGCUAAAAAGAGGCAAAUGAGGUUAAUUCGCACCAUAAUUAUUUUGUUUUCUGGACCCCGGGGCCCUUUGGUUGGUUUGGGGGUCAGAAAAUGAACAUCAUAGGGGGUUUUUCCCUUAUGUGCAUUUGUAUCUGAUGGCUUUAACUCGCCUUGUUACUACAAAGAAAUUGUCACAUAUAGGAACUUAUUCCAGGCUGAGUAUCUCCGCAUAGACCCUAUAAAAGAAGACAAGUCAUAAUGAACAUCUAACCUUUGUUCAAUUUGAUUCAAUGCCCCAUUGUGUCCACCUCACAAAUCUGAAUUAUUAUAUCCAUUGAAUACAUAAAUUAAUGAAGAAAAUAUGAAACCCAAGAUACAUCUCUGCACAACCUCAACCCUGGUUGCUAUGUUUCCCUUCUAUUCACAUGAGGAUAUUGAUUACGGAAUAGGGAAACCUAGCAAGGGUUUACUCGGCUCUGGUUUGAUGCUAAUUGCCAAACUUGCAACAAGCCCUGAGUUUGAAGCUCACAGAAGAUGUUAUACAGGCAGGGAAAAACCUUCAGAGUUCGCUGCCAAAGAUAAUUAUUAAGGAGAUAUCACCAAGAGAAUUCCAAGGAGUCUGAAUCAAAGACAAAUUGGUCGUUCGUGGAGGUUCUUACUUUCUUUUGGGUAUAACUCACUGAGGGCACUGUCUUUUUUAUUUUCAUUUCACAUUUAGAGUUCUGUUCUGGAAACAUAUAAAAGGAGCAUCAGUUUGUUCUUGGGUAACCCAUAGUCGUGAGUGGGUCCAUUUGCAUGCUACUUAGUUGAAAAGUUGGACCAUUUGCUCCGACGCCUACCUCCUGGAUUCCAUGCUCGGAUAAAACAAGAAUAAAAAAAUAUUUAUAAUUUACAAAUGGGGGAAAGAAAAAAAUGUCAACAACAAACUAGGAAAAAAGAGUAGUAAAAUUCAUGUCACAUGCUAGUGAGAGAAGGGGUUGUUACACUCACUCGAAGUUCUUUUCAAAAUAUCGCAUGGUAUUUUAUUUUAUGUGUGAGCGCAGUUGUGAAUGGAACGUGCAAAAGUCCAAAUUGGUGACCUUUAAUAAAUAUUUAAAACAAAAAACGAAAAAAAGGAGGGAAAAGGGAUCAGAAAAGAUAAAACAAUGUGUACAAAAGCUCAAUUAGUUUGCAAAUUACUGUUUGGAUUUUGAUAGUAUUUUAUUUGAUGUAAAAGAGAAUUUAAGAUAUUUCCGAAACAAAAGCAUUAGUUUGCUCCAUGUCAAUUUCGGCAUUUCUCAUAUGUUUCACACAUACACAGAAGAGCAUCGUUUUUUAAAGCAUGCAUUUAUGUUGGAUUAAUUUGGAUUUUGUGGGAACUGGGGCAAGGAUCACAUGGAAGAGAGGUUGACUUUUUUCAGUACUUCAAUGGUUGAGACAGGUGAAGGCCUGAUUGAUACUGAAGCCUGAAAUUGCGACUCCGUCAUUUGUCAAAACAUAUGACAGCUUCCAUGCUCUCGUUUGGUUGCAUUGUUCUGUGGUCAUGCAUACAUGCCACUUAGUGAUCAGUCUGUAACUGUCAAUCAUUGGGCUUUGACUGAACAACAUCAGCCAUGUAUAAAUACUUGCAAAUCAAACGGUCUUCUUCCUCCCAUAAGGAAUUUCGGUUUAAUUAUGAAGCAUGCAUUUGGCUGACCAUCAUAAACCACUUCUUUAAAUUGAUGAAUGAUAGUUUUUCAUUCAUUCUUUCAUUCGUUCAUAUACAGAGUAUAUAUAGAGGGUAAUCAUCAUUCUAAGAAUGGGAAAGAAUGAUACAAGGAAAUAAUGAUAUAAAGAAAUAACAACUAAUAUUCUAAUAUCUCAACUUUCCUAAUAUCUAAACAUUCCUAAUAUCUCAACACUAAAUGAUAUAAAGAAAGAAUGAUAUAAGGAAAGCAUUCCUAAUAUCUCAACACUCCUCCUCAAGUUGGUGCAUAGAUGUCAAACAUGUCCAACUUGUCUAAAAAUUUUGAGAACAGUUGACUUGAGACAUCUUUGGUGAGGAUAUCGGUCAAUUGAUCUUCUGAUCGAAUCUUAGGCAAUUCCACAAUCUUAUCAUCCAACUUUUCCUUAAUGAAAAAUCUAUCCAUCUCGACAUGCUUUGUACGAUCAUGUUGUACUAGAUUAUGAGCAAUGUCACAUGCUGCUUUAUUGUCACAAAACAAUCGGAUUGGUUGCCUAGAUAGGUAACCUAAAUCCUAUAAGAGGAGUCUUAGCCAUAAUGCCUCACAAAGUCCUAAAGUCAUACCUCUAAAUUCCGCUUCUGCACUUGAACGAGCGACGACAUUUUGCUUCUUACUUUUCCAUGUCACAAGAUUACCACCUACAAAGGUAAAGUAACCAGAUGUAGAUCGCCUAUCAUCCACUGCACCGACCCAAACAGCAUUAUACUUCUAUACUCUGAUGAUCAACAUUUUUAGCGAACAAAAUUCCCUUCCUAGGAGCAUUCUUCAAAUACCUCAAAAUACGCAUGACUACAUUCAUAUGUUGCUCUCCAGGAUUAUGCAUGUAUUGACUCACUACACUCAAUGUAUAAGCAAGAUCUAGUCUUGUAUGAGCUAAGUACAUUAAUCUCCCCACAAGUCUCUGGUAUCUUCCCUUAUCGAUUGAUACUUGAUUAGGCUCAACACACAAUUUCAGACCUUCUUCUAUUGGUGUAUUAAUAGGUUGACAUCCCGACAUUCCAGUUUCCUGUAGAAGAUCUAAGGCAUACUUUCUUUGAGACAGAAAAAUUCCUUCACUUGAUCGAGAAACUUCAAUCCCAAGAAAGUAUUUCAGACGACCAAGAUCUUUCAUUUCAAAUUCUCUAGAUAGAUACUUUUGCAAAGCUUUUCUUUCUUCAGGAUCAUUUCCUGUAACUACAUGUCAUCCACAUAUAUCAUAAGUGUCGUAAUCUUACCAUGUUGCUUUUUCAAGAACAAAGUGUGAUUUGAAUUACUUUGAUGAUAGCCAAAAGCUCUCAUUGAUUUUGUGAACCUUCCAAACCAUGCUCUCGGGGAUUGCUUCAACCCAUACAAUGACUUCUUCAAUUCGCACACCUUCUGACAUUGCUUUUCUGACACCAUGCAUCCUGGUGGAAGAUCCAUAUAUACUUCUUCAGAUAAAUCGCCAUGCAGAAAGACAUUUUUUACAUCGAACUAUUGUAAUGGCCAAUCUAGGUUUGCAGCUAAAGACAAUAAUACUCGAACUGUGUUGAUCUUAGCUACAGGUGCAAAUGUCUCUGUGUAGUCAAUUCCAUAAGUUUGAAUGUACCCACUAGUCUUGCUUUAAAUCGUUCAAUACUACCAUCUGCCUUGUACUUCACAGUAUAGAUCCAACGACACCCAACUAGCUUCUUUCCUGGUGGACAUUCUACGAGUUCCCAUGUUUCAUUUUUCUGCAAUGAUUUCAUCUCUUCAUUCAUGGUUGCUUUCCACUUUGGAUCAGCUAAAGCUUCCUGCACACUAUUAGGAAUAGCUACAGUAGAUAAUUGAUUUACAAAUGACUUAUUUGAUUCAGACAAACCAUGGUGUGGACCCGCAUUUUUCACGUGCGCCUCUACUCGAUCGGCGAGACUCGCUUUCUAUUUGUGAAAAAUUAAUUUUAGAAAAGUUGGAGUCGCCACCUAUUUUAUUUUUAUUUUGAAGGGAAAAUAAAACAAGAAAGAAAAACCCUAAAAAGUGACUCCAUAGUUUUGGAAAAAGCAUGUCUUUGGGAAACCUGAGUCUAGGUCCGGGGAUCAUGUUACUUAUUGGGAAGGUACCUCUAGGAGGUAGCACCCCUCUAAGCCUUAUGAAGGUCUCUACUAACUAAAUUAAGGGAAGUGUGGCAAUAAAUCGAUUGAUCAUAGAUACCUAAGUAGACUAGGUGAUUUUAAAGUGUGGCAUGUCAAACACAAUCAAAUUGCAAUAAAGGAGAGUUAGGGCGCGUACCUGAACCGCUUCUCAAGCGCUAUCAUAAAACAUCAAUGGUUAAUUUAAAUAAUAUAUCAUCCAGCAUGUAUUUUAUUAGAAAUAAUCAAACAAUGAAACAUGUAUAUCAGAACACUCAAGCAUUAUUAGACAUAAGCAUUAUUUCACUAUUCACAGAAUUCAGAAAGUAGGUGAUAGAGGACAUACCUGGAUAGCAUAGAUAAUUUGUAAUGUGCUUCCUCAAGUUGUAAGGGGUUAGAUAACAAAUAAUAAAAUAUAGAAAUCCUAGCAUGCUCGUUAUCUAAUUAGCAUAGCAAAAGUGAUCACAGUAUACAGAAUCAUCAAUUAUCACAUACAUCUUGUAUAUAAUUCCUAAAAAAAAUAGAUAGACAUGAUUUCAACAAGUGUCAAAUGUGGCAACAAAAAUAAAUUUUGAAAAGAUUUUCUUAUGUAGGGGUUUCACCAAUUCCCCAAAUUAAUAUACACGAAUUUAGCUUAGAAUUAUCCCAUUUAUUUGGGACUACAAGCUUUGAUUCGUGUUUUUGUUCAAAACCAAAAAUUUUUGUUGAAAAUCAAGAAGGAUGCGAACCGAACAAGAUAUGGUUGCAUAUUAUUUUUAAAUAAAUAAAUAAAUAAAUAAAGGAGAUUUUGAUCCUGAGGACUUUAAUGAGUUUUUUUUUUUAAAAUAGAUUUUUAAAAUGAUUUUUUUGAGAAAAGUAUUUUAUUUUAAAAUAAAAGGGAUUAAUUUGGGAAAAAAAUAAAAUAUAAGAAAUAAAAUACCAAACAAAACAAAAAUGAAACCUCAAAGUAAAAUUUUUUUAGUAAUUAACAAAAAUGAUAAUGGUGAUGGUAGAGGGCAAUCUUCAUGAUUUUCCAAUGGCCUCAGAAAGAAAAUCAAAUUAAAUGAAGGAUCACUAACAGGCAAGACAUUCUAAAUUAGACAAACUAACAAAGUAUCAAUUCAUGAACUAACCGCUAGGAUUUUGAAAGCAUAUAAGCUAAGAUAAGGGUGAUCAGGAACUAAUAUUAAUGAUUUUGAAAUAAAAACUAAAAAAAAGGAUCAAUUCGGGUAAGGAACUAAAAUUAUAAAAGUACCUAAACUAAUUAUGACGAGUUUGACUAAAUUAAACUAAAAACAUGAACUUUCAAACAUAGAAUUAAUUUUACUAAUGAACCAAAGCAAACUAAAAAUAUGUACUUUCAAGCAUAGAAUUAAUUUUAUUGAUGAACUAAACUAUAACAAAUAUCUAAACUAAAUAUAAUGAAUCAAAUUAAAUUAAAGCAACUUAAAAACGCAAACUUUCAAACAUAGAAUCAAUUUUAUCAAUGAAUUAAAACUAUAAAUGUAUUUGAACUAAAUAGAUGAAUCAAACUAAAUCAGAGCAAAAUUAAAAAAAAAAAAGAACUUUCUAACAUGAAAUCAAUUUUAUCAACAAAUAAAUGAAUGAAUAACAAGUAAUUAAAAGAAUAGCUACUACAUGAAUAACUGAAUGAAUAAAAUUCAAAUGUUUUCAAUCUGAAGCAAUCAAUCAAAAUUAAAUAGGGAUCAAAUCAAAAUAAUCGAAAUCGGAAAAACAAUAUGCAAUCUUUCUAAAGGUUUAACCAGACAAUUGAAUUAAAAUUAUGAAUAGAAUAAAUUAAUAAACCAAAUCGAAACCUAAAUUGUACCUAAAAAGAUUAAUUAAUUAAACUAAGAAAUCAAAAUCAAUAACAAAACUAAACUAAGGAGUAAAUUAAGACAAGACUAAUUAAAUUAAACUCACAAACACGUUUUAACUAUCAUAUGGAUUAAAACAAAAUUAGCAUGGACUUAUGAAUUACGAACAAAAAUAAUCAAAACUAUUUUAAAAAACUCACCUCUAUUAUAAGAAAAAAUCUGCCUUUGAUGCGUUGAGGUGGCUCCCCUCUCUGUGUGGAUCUCUCUGCUCCCCAGAAAAAAAAUGUCUCUUCCUCCGUUCUCUUUUGUUUCAGCAAAAUAAUAUAUCCCCUGCUGUGGAUCUCUCUACUCCCAGAAAAUAAUAUAUUCUCUCCGUGUCCUAAAGUGGACCUAGGGUGCCUAAGUGGACCUAGGGUGCCUAAAUGGGCCUAGGGUGCCUAAAUGGGCCAAGUGUAUCUAAAUAGGCUUAGGGUGCCUAAGUGGGCCUAAGUCUAAGUGAGCCUAAGUCUAAAUCAAGACUACCAAGGAUCAUAAUAAGGGGUUAGGCAAUCCCUUAACCAAAGUCUCCAAGGUGGCUAAAAAAAAGUAAGUAGUAUGAGUAGCUAUGGGUCACCAAGGAACUACUGUGGAGCAUUGAAAACGAAUUUAAAGACAUGUGCCAAAGGGACAAAAUUGAGGGUCUACAGAUGGUUAGACACAUAGUUGCUCAUGGGAUAUUUGACUUUGGUAAACAAUUCAGAUUCAUAUGUGGGUUUAGGAAUACCUUUAUUAUGACGGUGUGGUAAUCGUUUCAUGAAUGGAUCAGGUUGCAAAUUAAGAACACCCUCAGCAAACAACGAUUGGUUUGGUAUUUCAGUGAAGACAUCUUCGAACCCAAAUUGUUGACCACUCAUAUCCAACUCACCCGCUUCCUGGUUCACUAGUUCAGAUUGUCCAAAUUCAUCAUUCUCAUAGAUAUGAUAAUCAUAAUCGAGAGUCUGAAUUUCCUUAUGGUACUCCCCCUGAAGUUCAGACUUAGAUGAAAAAUACAUCGAAUAUUCAUGAAACAGCNNNNNNNNNNNNNNNNNNNNNNNNNNNNNNNNNNNNNNNNNNNNNNNNNNNNNNNNNNNNNNNNNNNNNNNNNNNNNNNNNNNNNNNNNNNNNNNNNNNNNNNNNNNNNNNNNNNNNNNNNNNNNNNNNNNNNNNNNNNNNNNNNNNNNNNNNNNNNNNNNNNNNNNNNNNNNNNNNNNNNNNNNNNNNNNNNNNNNNNNNNNNNNNNNNNNNNNNNNNNNNNNNNNNNNNNNNNNNNNNNNNNNNNNNNNNNNNNNNNNNNNNNNNNNNNNNNNNNNNNNNNNNNNNNNNNNNNNNNNNNNNNNNNNNNNNNNNNNNNNNNNNNNNNNNNNNNNNNNNNNNNNNNNNNNNNNNNNNNNNNNNNNNNNNNNNNNNNNNNNNNNNNNNNNNNNNNNNNNNNNNNNNNNNNNNNNNNNNNNNNNNNNNNNNNNNNNNNNNNNNNNNNNNNNNNNNNNNNNNNNNNNNNNNNNNNNNNNNNNNNNNNNNNNNNNNNNNNNNNNNNNNNNNNNNNNNNNNNNNNNNNNNNNNNNNNNNNNNNNNNNNNNNNNNNNNNNNNNNNNNNNNNNNNNNNNNNNNNNNNNNNNNNNNNNNNNNNNNNNNNNNNNNNNNNNNNNNNNNNNNNNNNNNNNNNNNNNNNNNNNNNNNNNNNNNNNNNNNNNNNNNNNNNNNNNNNNNNNNNNNNNNNNNNNNNNNNNNNNNNNNNNNNNNNNNNNNNNNNNNNNNNNNNNNNNNNNNNNNNNNNNNNNNNNNNNNNNNNNNNNNNNNNNNNNNNNNNNNNNNNNNNNNNNNNNNNNNNNNNNNNNNNNNNNNNNNNNNNNNNNNNNNNNNNNNNNNNNNNNNNNNNNNNNNNNNNNNNNNNNNNNNNNNNNNNNNNNNNNNNNNNNNNNNNNNNNNNNNNNNNNNNNNNNNNNNNNNNNNNNNNNNNNNNNNNNNNNNNNNNNNNNNNNNNNNNNNNNNNNNNNNNNNNNNNNNNNNNNNNNNNNNNNNNNNNNNNNNNNNNNNNNNNNNNNNNNNNNNNNNNNNNNNNNNNNNNNNNNNNNNNNNNNNNNNNNNNNNNNNNNNNNNNNNNNNNNNNNNNNNNNNNNNNNNNNNNNNNNNNNNNNNNNNNNNNNNNNNNNNNNNNNNNNNNNNNNNNNNNNNNNNNNNNNNNNNNNNNNNNNNNNNNNNNNNNNNNNNNNNNNNNNNNNNNNNNNNNNNNNNNNNNNNNNNNNNNNNNNNNNNNNNNNNNNNNNNNNNNNNNNNNNNNNNNNNNNNNNNNNNNNNNNNNNNNNNNNNNNNNNNNNNNNNNNNNNNNNNNNNNNNNNNNNNNNNNNNNNNNNNNNNNNNNNNNNNNNNNNNNNNNNNNNNNNNNNNNNNNNNNNNNNNNNNNNNNNNNNNNNNNNNNNNNNNNNNNNNNNNNNNNNNNNNNNNNNNNNNNNNNNNNNNNNNNNNNNNNNNNNNNNNNNNNNNNNNNNNNNNNNNNNNNNNNNNNNNNNNNNNNNNNNNNNNNNNNNNNNNNNNNNNNNNNNNNNNNNNNNAACCAAAGGAAGCAUGUUCCAGACGUCGAUGCCACAACCAAAUUUCAGACUUUUUCUUCUCCUCCUUAGAUCCAUCUGCCAUCAAGGCUUGUUGCAACUUAUUUGAAUCCUUUGAUUGCAAGUCCAAGUAUAGAGUUUCCCCCGCUUAAUACGACAACCAAUCGUCUGUCUUGUUUGAAUGUCCUUAAUCACACAAAAUUCAGGCCAAAAAAUGACAAUACAAGAUAAGGCUGCAGUGAUUUGAGAAACUAACAAAAGAUUGUAAUCUAAAGAUGGAACAACUAAAACAGAAUCCAAAUUCAAAGUAUCAGUAAGAGUUAAGGAUCCUUCCCCAAUGACUGGGGUUGUGUUACCAUUGGCUGUGGAAACAAUUUUUUGUGAGGAAGGUCUAAGGGGUGAAACCUGUCUAGAAUCAAAAGUCAUAUGAUCUGUAGCACCAGAAUCAAUUAUCCAUGCACUAUUAAUAACAGGUGUAAAAGUAUUUAAAAACUUACCACAAUGAUCUGUAGCGGCUACUAAUGCAGAGACUUUCUCAACAACAUUAGUCUUUGUUUUUAUUUCGGUAACAGUUGCAAUCAAGGUUUUCUUGGAAUUCUUCUUCCGUUGAUCACGAUUAUUAUCAUUAAUAACAAAGUGUUGAUAGCCUAAACAUGAUCUAAAGGUCCAUGGUGCAAACCCUCGGUUCCUCAUUGUUUUCCUGGUCAUACCAAGAGUUGUUGCUUUGAAAUUGUGGGAUAUCCAGACUGGUGGGAUCAGUUUUAUUGCAGUGAGUGCAUUUGAAUGUUGACUUAUCAAUAUUAGGGCUUGUCUUCGGAUGGUUGAUUGCUGUUGGACUACCAUAGCGACAAAAUAUCCAGGAUUUCAAUUCCAGGGCUCUGAUACCAUCUUCAAAUUGAUGAAUGAUAGUUUUUCAUUCAUUCUUUCAUGUACAGAGUAUAUAUAGAGGGUAAUCACCAUUCUAAGAAUGGGAAAGAAUGAUACGAGGAAAUAAUGAUAUAAGGAAAUAAUAACUAAUAUCCUAAUAUCUCAACUUUCCUAAUAUCUCAAUAUUCCUAAUAUCUCAACUUUCCUAAUAUCUAAACAUUCAUAAUAUCUCAACACUAAAUGAUACAAGGAAAGAAUGAUAUAAGGAAAACAUUCCUAAUAUCUCAACACCACUUCAUGAUAUAUAUAGUUUCUUACCCUUAAUCAAUGGUUUCUAAGUGAAUUUAUAUAGAAAGAAAUCCAAACUGUAGACAGCAGUAUUGGUAACACUCAAUAUUCUGUAUAUAAUAGAAUAAAUAGCGUCACAGUGAUCGUCGCCUACAAGCAAGGUACAAAUACCACAAAGAGUGACCCACAUAGACAUUCCCCAACAAGAUGUAGUAGUGACUGACACAUAGCCACAAUUAACACGUAGAAAAGGAUAAGACCGGUGCACAGUAGCUCUUAUUUUACAUACUACUUAUGCCAACCAAAGUCACUCAGUUGGGAUGGGAGGGAGAUGGAGGUUUGUGCGGUGGCUUGUGGGGCGGAGUUGAUGGCUUCUUUCCAGGAGCUUCUGGCUUUUUCAUCGGAGCUGAAGGAGGCUCAAUCUUAUGAGGCGGCUUGUACGAGUCUUCUUUGCUCUCGAAAGGAGGGUGGCCAGGGUUGUGACCAUAAUGUGGUGGUUUCUCUCCCUUGGGAGGUUUACCAAUUGGGGUUGGUGGCUUGUGUUCUGGGAGUGGUUUCUCUCCCUUGGGAGGUUUAGUGGGUGACUUGUGUUCUGGAGGUGGCUUCUCCACCGAAGGCUUGUGCUCCGGUGGUGGCUUUUUGGUUGGAGGGGGCUUGGGGUAAUCAGCAAGAGAUGGGGUGGUGAGAACCACCAGUCCAAGGAACAACACUAGCAAGUAUGUGGGAGACAUUUUUGAGUUUGGGCUGAUCAGAUGAUGCAAAACUAAAGCAUUACGUGACCUUUUAUAGCAAGUAGCUCCCAAUACCUACUUGACACGUGUUACUGUGACCCAUAAAUAUUAUGGGGUCUAUUUGUGCCCUACCGGGUUGAAAACUUGGACAAUUGGGCAAGGACCCGCCUGACUAUGGAGGACUACUGAGGUGUGAUCACAGCUUUAGGAUUUUUCUUCCUCUGCAGCCGUCUUGCCGUUGGCAUGAUUUUCUUAAUCUCAAAUAAAGGCAUAGUUAUAGAGUUGUUUAAUCUCUAAAUGGGAUUUUAUAUAUCUUCAGAUAGCCAUUAAUACAUUUGAUGAAGAAAGAAAGACAAGUGCAUACAACAUGUAUACGACUAGCUUUCAUGGAGUUCAUUUAUGAUCAGUUUUCCUGUACAUGUAAACCAAGAUCAUAUAUGUUUUUGUUCCACAACAAUUUUGGAAUCUUGUUUAUCCGUUUUUAUCAUUAUAAUGUCACAUAGGCUGCCAACUUGGGCGCUAAAUUAAAGAUCCAGUUGGGCAAGUUCGUUUCAGAAUUUCAAUGGUGGAUUCAGGAAUUGUUUUAUAAGAUAUGCAAAAUAGUAGAGGGAUGAAUAGUGUUUCAUUAAGAAAAGAGCCCUGUAAAAAUAUUGUUUAAAGGUGCCAUAGAAACUAUAAUCAAUAAAUAACUUUUUUUCCCCAUGGGUGGUGUUUCUUGUGGGGAUCAGUGACUGGUUUGAGUCAACGCCGUGUCUCUUUAGUCCAGAAAUCAACUAUUUUAUGCAUUGAAUACAUCAACAAAGAAAAUAUGAAAGCCAAAUGACACCUCCCCCGCAAAAACUAAACCCUGGUUGCUAACUUUCUAUGUUUCAGUUCCAUUCACACAAGAAUAUUAGUUCAAGUUUGAGAAAAAUGGCGACUUACCUAGUGAUAACUCGGUCUUGGUUUGCGAUUUGACUUUAACGUCAUGGGUUGAAGCCUCCUACAAUCAUCGUGUAUGCUAGUUCAAAGCUCGUGGAAGAAGUUAUACAGGGAGGGAGAAACCUCCACAGCAAGCUCCAAAAGAGAAUUAUCACAUUGAAAGCUCCAGUUGAACACUGGGUGAAAGCCAUAACAAGAUUGGUUUUCUAUCGCUCUUUUAAGUAAUGGAAGAUUAUUAUCUCUGCUUGUCACUACAACCGUGCAUGCUGCUAGAUCUUUCUAGACACUUCAAACAGUGAAACCAAGUAUGAUUCUUUUUCUCUUGAGUGGGUCCACUUGCAUGCCAAUGAACGAGUUGAAAAGUUGGACAAUUGGCCACAGCGCGCACUUACCUUCUGGAACCGAAGGUCAGUGAAGUGGGGUUCCUUUUGGCCCCUUGUGUUUCUGUUCCAACCUACUCCAGGAACCGAAGUUCAGUGAAGUGGGGCUACUUUUGGCCUCUUGUGUUUCUGUUCCAACCAAACAAAAAUGGGAGGGAAAAAUAGCAUUAUGCUUGUGCUAAAGAUCAACGCAUGAUAGCUGAAUAAGGGAGAAAAAGGCAUUGCUAUCUCAAUUUCAUAAACUUGAUAAGUAGUGACAUUAAUAGUCUUCCUCAUAGAUGGAUACAUGGUUUUAUUUUAUUUAUUUAUUUUUAUUUUUUUGUUUUAUGUCAAUGCUAAUGAAUGAAGUGCAUUAGCUUGUUUUGUGACUAGAACUACAAAUGUCCAAAUUGGAGCUUCUCCAAUAUAUUUCUCAGUGAGUUAUUGAUUAGAACUCUUGGAUUGAGUUCCAAGAUUUGAAUCAGACCCCUCUAGCAGCUUCAGGGGUACGUAGCAACCUAUAGCAUAUUAAUGAAGACUUAGGAUUUAGACUUAGGAAUACAAAUUAAUAUGUACCUCAUGCUCUGACUAGCUUCCCUGCGUAUGCACAAAAUGGAGAUGACUCCCAAAAAAAUAGCAGAAUCGCCUUAGUAUGUUUUUGUGGUUAAGAUGAUUCUCCACUUUAUAUAUCCACAUUGGUUCAUUAUGCAAAUUAAUCAACUAAGCUAUUUUUAUUUUUUCUUAAAUGUGAAAUAGGAGCUCCAAAUUAACCUAACCAUUGGCCUGAUUGAAUUGAUUUCACUUGCAUAAUGUUAUAGUAGAAGUCCGUAAUUUGAAUUUUAUUUUUGCAAAAGGUAACGUAAAUGAAGCAUUGUAAUUAAAUUUAUUUGUAAUUACAAACUAAUUUUAUUUUAUUAAGAAUUAAUUUAAUUACUCAUUUAAAAUAAAAAUCAGUUAUACUUUUACCAAGAUGAUAAUAUUCAUAUUUUUCUAGUUAACAUAUAUAAAAUAGUACACUUUUUCAUAUAAAAAAAUAAUUUAUGAUUUAUUAUAAUGUUACUAUUCACAUUUUACUAAAUUGAUGGUACAUGAUAGUGAGAGAAGGGGGUGUCACACUCAGCUAAAGUUCUUUUCAAAAUAUUGCAUGGUGUUUAAUUUUAUGUGUCGGCGCGCGUGUGAAUGGAACCUGCAAAAGUCCAAAUUGGCGUUUCUCCAUUUUCCACAUAGGAUGGUGACGUUAAUAGACAAAGAUACAAUAUCUGUAGACAUUGCUUAAAAAUCGAUGUGAAGUAUUAGAAAUUACAGGGCACUGUACUGGGGGAGCGGCUGCCCCGCCAAAGGAGGAAGAAUGUAGCAAUUUCUUCUGUUAGCCAGGCCUUAGGAUUUAUGCAUGGGAUGCCUAAUAACAAACAGAGAAAAUAUACUUUUGGGGAAGGUAUCCAACAACAGACACCAUCAUUCAGAUGGUGGGAAGGUAUCCAACAGAUGCCAUCAUUCAGAUGGUAACAUAUAUAUACAUUUAUUAGUGAGUUUUUUUAAUACCUAUAAAAAAAAAUAUACACUUUGAUAUUGUGGCUGAAUCCAUUACAUACUCAACUAACCUUGCUCAUUAGGGAUUUGACUUAACAAGGGCAACGUUGCAGUACAAGCUCAAAACUUUAUGCAGGUGACAUUACAUUUGGUAAAGAAGAGGAAAAUAACGAAAGCCAUCCAUAAAAGCAAAAUUCCACAUGGGAUGAAAUUCACAAGCUUCAUUUACGAUAGAGUCGCAUCCAGGCAAUUAAUUCCACAUUAGACCGCCUGUUGACAUGUGUACCAAUCUUUUUUCAAAAAAUAUUUAUAAAUAAUUGAUACUCACAAAAAUAAUUUAAUAUUUAUAAAGGAUAAAAAAAUAUUUUCAAAUCUAUAACAAUUUAUAAAAUAUUAAUAAAAAAUUAUCUCUUAAACUUAGUAUAGUUUUAUCAGAUUAAACUUUUAUUUUGAACAAAUAAUUUUAAUCUAAGUUUUAAAUUCUAAAAUUAUUUCCUUAAAAUAAAAUUUUAAAAUUCAACACUUCAAUUGAAAUUGUCUUUUUAAAAAAUAUCUUCUUAUUUUAAUCCUUAUAAACUAUAGUUGAUUGAAAAUACUAUUGAAGUUCUCUCUUAAAAAAAAGUCUUAUUUUAAUCUUCAUAAAUUGCCCUUGAUUUGAAAAUAAAUUUUCAGUUAUCAUAUUUUAAAUAAUAUCUAUAUUUAAAAUACUCUAUUUAAAAAAAAAUGAACUAAUUUUAAUUAUAUUAUAUUUUAUUUUUUUAUAUAUUUUUAAUGAUAAACCAAACAUAGAAAAUCAUUUUUCUAAAUAUUUUAAAAUUUCUAAGCAACCAAACAUAAUCUUCAAAAUAAAAGGAAAAUAAGGAGGGACAUUUGAGAAAUGGCGAUUAAAAAAAAGUGUACAAAAGCUCAAUUAAUUUUCUUCUAGUCUUUUAUAUAAAAAAGUAAAGGAAUUGAAAAGUAUUGAUAUGUAAAUUAAUAUUUGGAUUUUAAUAGUAUUUUAUUUGUCUUUCUCUAUCUCAUGUAAAAGAGAAUUUAAGAUAUUUCCUAAAGCAAAGCAUUAGUUAUCUGCAAUCAGUGGUGAUCAUGCCCCAUGUCAAUUUCGGACCCAUAUCUUAAAACUGUAUAAUUUGCAUUCAAACAUUACUGAUUUCUCAGAUGUUUCAUACUCCACAGAAGAGCAUUGUUUGUGAAAGCAUGCAUUUAUGUUGGAUUUUGGAUGAUGUGGGAACUGGGGCAAGGAUCAUAUGGAAGAGUGGUCGAUUUUGUUCUGUACUUUAACAUUUGAAAUAGGAGAAGCUCGGGCAUUUGUGGGGCUUAAUUGAUUUUGAAGCCUGAAAUUGCGUUUCUGUCAUUUUGUAAAAAAUAUGGCAGAUUCCAUGCUCUCAUAUGUUUGGUCUGUGGCCAUGUAUAGAUGCCCCUUAGUGACCAGUUUGUAACUGUCAAUCAUAGUGUUUUGACUCUGGCUCAACAACAUCAGCCAUUGACGGAUUUUCAUACUUGCAAAUCAAAUAGUCUUCUUCCUCCCUUAGGAAUUUCGGUUUAAAUGUUAUUAAGCAUACAUUUGGCUGACAAUUAUUAACCACUUCAUGAUAUGGUUUCUUACCCUUAAUCAAUGGUUUCUAAGUGAAUAUAUGCAGAAGGAAAUCUGAACUGUAGACAGCAGUAUUGAUAACUCUCAAUAUUCUUUAUAUAAGAGAAUAAACAACGUCAUAGUGAUCGUCGCCUACAAGAAAGGUACAUUUCCCAACAAGAUGUAGUUGUGACUGGUACAUGGACGCAAUUAACUCGUACAAAAGAAUAAGACCAGUGCACGGCAGCUCUUAUUUUACAUGCUAAUUAUGCUAACCAAAGUCACUCAGUUGGGAUGGGAGGGAGAUGGAGGUUUGUGCGGUGGCUUGUGGGGCGGAGUUGGUGGCUUCUUUUCAGGAGCUUGUGGCUUUUUCGGAGCUGAAGGAGGCUCAAUCUUAUGAGGCGGCUUGUACGAGUCUUCUUUACUCUCGACAGGAGGGUGGCCAGGGUUGUGACCAUAAUGUGGUGGCUUCUCUCCCUUAGGUGGCUUGCCAACUGGGGUUGGUGGCUUGUGUUCAGGAAGUGGUUUCUCUCCCUUGGGAGGUUUACCAAUUGGGGUUGGUGGCUUGUGUUCUGGGAGUGGUUUCUCUCCCUUGGGAGGUUUAGUGGGUGACUUGUGUUCUGGAGGUGGCUUCUCCACCGGAGGCUUGUGCUCCGGUGGUGGCUUCUCCACCGGAGGCUUGUGCUCCGGUGGUGGCUUCUUGAUUGGAGGGGGCUUGGGGUAAUCAGCAAGAGAUGGGAUGGUGAGAACCACCACUCCAAGGAACAACACUAGCAAGUAUGUGGGAGACAUUUCUGAGUUUGAGCUGAUCAGAUGAUGCAAAACUAGAAGAAUUACGGGACCUUUUAUAGCAAGUAUCUCCCAAUACCCACAUGACACGUGUUACUAUGACCAUAAAUAUUAUAGGGUCCAUUUGUGCCCUACCGGGUUGAAAACUUGGACGCUUGGCCGAGGACACACCUGACUAUGGAGGACUAUUGACGUGUGAUCACAGCUUUUGGAUUUUUCUUCCUGUGCAGCUGUCUAGCGGUUGGCAUUAUUUUCUUAAUCUUAAAUAAAGGCAUAGUUAUAGAGUUGUUUAAUCUCUAAAUGGGAUUUUAUAUAUCUUCAGAUAGCCAUUAAUAUAUUUGAUGAAGAAAGACAAGUGCAUACAACAUGUAUACGGCUUGCUUCAAUCGAGUACAUUUAUGAUCAGUUUUCCUGUGCAAGUAAACCAGUUUUUUGUUCCACAACUAUUUUGGAAUCUUGUUUAUCAGUUUCUAUCAUUAUAAUGUCACAUAGGCUGCAAACUUGGGCACCCAAAGAUCUAGGUGGGCAAAUUUGUUUCAGACUUUCAAUGGUGGAUUCAGUAAUUGUUAAAAGGUGUUUCUUCAUUAAGGAAAGAGUCCGGUAAAAAUAUUGUUAAAAGGUGUCAUAGAAACUAUAAUAAAUAAAUAACUUCUUUUCCCCAUGGGUGGUGUUUCUUCUGGGGAUCAGUGACUGGUUAGGGUCACCCAAAAUGAGUCCAGAUUAAAAUUGGUUCGAGUCAAAGCAGUCUCUUUUGUCCAGAAAUCAACUAUUUUGCGCAUUGAAUGAAUCGAUAAAGAAAAAAUGAAAGCCAAAUCACACCUCCCCUGCAAAACCUAAACCCCGGUUGCUAACUUUCUAUGUUUCAGUCCUAUUCAUAUAGGAAUAUUGGUUCAAGUUUGAGAAAAAUGGCAACUUACCUAGGGUUUACUUGGUUUUGGUUUGCGACUAUUUACGCAACCAACCAUGAGUUUGACUUUAACGUCAUGGGUUGAAGCCUCCUACAAUCAUGUAUGAUAGUUCAAAGCUCGUGGAAGAAAUUAUACAGGAAGGAAGAAACCUCCAAAGCUAGCUCCAAAAGAGAAUUAUCACAUCGAUAGCUCCAGAGAUUCCCAAGGGAACUGAAUCAAAGACAAGUUCCUCACUUUUUCUUCUUUUGAGGCCAAAUAUGAACCAAGGAUCACACGACCUCAUUCAACUUCAUAAGUUUGAUUUCAUGCAGUUGAACACUGGGUGAAGGCCAUGACAAGAAUUGAUUAAAAAAUUCUACCACUCUUUUAAGUAAUGGAAGAUUAUUAUCUCUGAUUGGCACCACAACAGCACAUGCUGCUAGAUCUUUCUAGACACUCCAUGCAAUGAAAGCACAAUGGAUCUUGUAAUGAUAGAAACUAAGCCAUGCUACAGUACUAGAUGAGGGGGUAAAACUAGUAGACAUCUUUCUAGACACUCCAUGCAAUGAAAGCACAAUGGAUCUUGUAAUGAUAGAAACUAAGCCAUGCUACAGUACUAGAUGAGGUGGUAAAACUAGUAGACAUGGCUGGCAGUUGAUUACUACUCAAAAAGUACUCUUUUAUAGCUUGAAACUAACUGUUUUAAACACUUUUGAGUAGUAGUUAAUACCUUUUAACUUAAUUGGCACAUUAAGGAACCUAGCAAGGGUUACUAAUCAACAUUUGGCAAGUUUUGAUGUUUUUGGUAGCUAUUUGAUCAUUGAAACAAGCCAAGAAUGAGGGGGAAUUUUGUGAAGUCCAUGGCAAUGCAAGUUAAAGCUCAAAUACAUGAAGAAUCCAAGCUUUGGAGCACUUCAUAGCCCUUUGCCAAGCCAAUCAAAGAUGCAAGGAAGAAAACCAAAGGAAGAAAUCCAACAAUCAGCAUUUUGGCAUGGCUAUGUGAAAUUUCGCACACCAUGCGAAACCACAAGAGGCAGCCAAAGAAUUUCGCAUGGUAUGCGAAAUCUUCUUGUGCACUGACUCUGUUAGAUUUUUAUCUUCAGAUAUUUUGUGUAAUUUCCUAGUUUCUCCUUGUAACCAACUUAGAUAUUUUCUUUUAUAUCUUUUUUUAUAUUUUUUAGGUAACAUCAUAUAUAAGAGGAGAGACAUAAGGAGGAUAUGGAUGUUUUUCAUAGAACACUUGUAAAUUUUUGGUAGUAAGAAAUAUACAAAGCUUUUUGCUCUGCCUUACCUUCUCAAGGGAUGAGUGGCUAGGUUUUCUUGGAGUGAGGGAAGCUAGGUGAAGGACCUGAAUGCAAAGGUGGGAGUUUUCCUUACUUUAAAUGAAAGUAGUUGUUAAACAUUAAUGGUUUUUAUUUUAAGGUUUAGCUUUAAAUCCCUGAAAAACACCUUGAAUGGCCAAUACUUGGUAAGCUUUUUAGAUUCUAUGGAUGCUUAUUGCUAGAUCCAUGGAUGUCUAUUAGUUAUCAUUUACGAGCCAUUGGAAGGUGAUUCAAGGUGAGGGUCUUUAGUGUUUGAAGCCAUUAAUGGGAAGCAAUUACCAUUUUUUCAUGAAUCCUUUGGAUCAAAUCUUAAUUGCUAAAUAUAAAACCGGUUUCGAGAGAUAACCACCAUCCUUUAUGUUAUUAUCCCCAACGCGAGGAGAAGAUCCGAAAUCUUCCUUUUUAUCUAAGGAACCCGAUCCUAGUGACCUAAAGCUCCAAGAUACCUUUUCUUUGUAGUUAACUUCAUUUAUUGUUUUUGCUUAACUUAAAAUCAAUCUUUGCAACCACAAUUCCAUUUUCUUUAAAAGCUAAUUUUUAUAAGGAAAAACACCAUUUUAUUUCCUUCACUAAGUCAACUGUACGAUGAAAACCCAUCCCUGUGGACGAUCCUAGAGCCACUAUACUAUGUUAGCUAUGCUACCCUAGUGUGAGGUGAUUUAGGUUUUAUAAAUUUUUUUGAUAACACCCAUCUGAGCCAGAAUCAAAUGGCACGACUGAACCAGGGACGAAUCAAAUGACGCCGCUACCAAGGAUGGUGCCAAAGUACAUUGACAUGACUUUUGGUGAACACUUGUGAUCUUCACCACAAGUUUGGUGAUUUUUCUUUUACUAAUUUUUUUUAUUUUAGCUUAUCUUUUAUUUAGUUUUUAGUUAACCUUAAAUUUUUCCUAGAAUUGUAUUUCUUUUGUUUUCUUUGUUUUUGUUUCAGUGAUCUUUAGUUGUGCAUGCCCUAUUGGAUAAGAGAUAUUGAGGGAAUACUUGUGAAGAUUGAAACUCCUCGAGAAACUGAGUUAGAAGUGUGCUUGAACAUCAUGGAUGUUCCACCUGAAGACCAGAAUAGCCAACAUGGUUAAGAGGAUAAUUUCAACACAUACCGAUCCAUGAGGAACCGCAUACAUCCACCUUGUAUGAGUGCACCGUCAGGCAUAAUGCCUCCCACUGAGCAGCUAGUAAUCUGACCUCACAUUGUGCCACUCCUACCUACUUUCCAUGGGAUGGAGAGUGAGAAUCCCUACUCGCAUAUUAAGGAAUUCGAGGAGGUUUGUAAUACAUUCCAAGAAGGAGGAGCUUCAAUUGACUUGAUGAGGCUCAAGCUAUUUCCUUUCACUUUGAAGGAUAAGGCCAAGAUUUGGCUUAAUUCUUUAAGGCCAAGAAGUAUCCAAACUUGGAUUGAUUUGUAAGCCGAGUUUCUUAAGAAGUUCUUCCCUACCCAUAGGACCAAUGGUUUGAAAAGGCAAAAUUUGAACUUCUCAGUUAAAGAGAAUGAGAAAUUCUAUGAGUGUUGGGAGAGCUACAUGGAAGCUAUUAACGUUUGUCCUCACCAUGGCUUUGACACAUGGCUCUUAGUGAGCUAUUUUUACAAUGGUAUGUCUUCUUCAAUGAAGCAACUCCUAGAAACUAUGUGUGGAGGAGACUUCAUGAGUAAGAAUCCGGAGGAAGCCAUGGACUUUUUGAGUUAUGUGGCUGAAGUUUCAAGAGGAUGGGAUGAACCAAAUGCUAGAGAGGUGGGAAGAAUGAAGUCUCAACCUAAUGCUAAGGGUGAGAUGUAUGUUUUGAAUGAAGACAUUGACAUGAAAGCAAAGGUUGCAGCUAUGGCAAGGAGAUUGGAAGAGCUAGAAAUGAAGAACAUACAAAAAGUGCAAGCCAUUUCUGAGACAUCAAUGAAAGCUAUGCCUUGUUCCAUUUGUCAAUCUUAUAAGCACCUAGUGGAGGAGUGUCCUACAAUUCCAGCAGUGAGAGAGAUGUUUGGUGAUCAAGCAAAUGUUAUUGAUCAAUUCAAGCCUAAUAACAAUGCUUCAUAUGGCAACACCUACAAUUCAAAUUGGAGGAACCAUUCAAAUUUCUCUUGGAAACGAAAGCCACCUCAAUACACACAACCUACUCAAGCACCUUAGCAAUCCUCGAAUCUUGAACAAGCUAUUGUGAACCUUAGCAAGGUUGUGGGAGACUUUGUGGGAGAUCAGAAGUCCAUCAAUGCUCAACUGAAUCGGAGAAUUGACAGUGUGGAGAGUACAUUGAACAAAAGGAUGGAUGAGAUGUAAAAUGAUCUGUCUCAAAAGAUAGACAAUGUCCAAUACGUAAUCUCAAGGCUUACCAACCUCAACACAGUGUAAGAGAAAGGAAAGUUUCCUUCUCAACCUCAUCAAAAUCCUAAGGGUAUCCAUGAAGUAGAGGCUCAAGAGGGAGAAUCUUCAAAGGUGAGGGAAGUCAAAGUAGUUAUCACCUUGAAGAGUGGUAAAGAGGUUGAUCAACCCACAUCCAAGCCAAAGCAUAAUGAAGAGAGUGUAGCAGAAAAAGAAAAGAGAGGAAAAUAAAGGAAUUAGAAUAGAGAAAAAUACAAAGAAAGAUGACCAUGAGUCUAGUGUGGAUGAAGAGCCCGAGAGGAUGGUGAUCAAGGAAGAUAUGAUGAAGAAACACAUGCCUCCACCUUUCCCCUAAGCUUUGCAUGACAAAAAAAGAACCAAUAAUACAUCAGAAAAUUUUGAAGUAUUGAGGCAAGUGAAGGUCAAUAUCCCUUUGCUAGACAUGAUCAAACAAGUGUCGACAUAUGAAAAAUUCUUGAAGGACUUGUGCACUGUAAAGAGAGGGUUGAAUGUGAACAAGAAAGCUUUAUUGACCGAGCAAGUGAGUUCCAUCAUACAGUGCAAGUCCUAGUGAAGUACAAAGAUCCGGGUUGCCGUACCAUCUCAGUGAGUAUUGGAAGGACUUGUGUGGAGAAAGCUUUGUUGGACUUGGGAGCAAGUGUGAAUUUGCUAUCCUACUCUGUCUAUAAGCAGUUGGGAUUUGGAGAGUUGAAGCCAAUAUCCAUCACUCUAUCUCUAGCGGAUAGAUCAAUGAAGAUUCCAAGAGGGAUGAUCGAAGAUGUCCUGGUUCAAGUUAACAAAUUCUACUAUCCAGUAGAUUUUGUUGUUCUUGAUAUGGAUCCGGUUGUCAAAUGAACUAAUUAUGUUCCUAUCAUACUUGGAAGACCCUUCCUAGCUACAUCAAAUGCAAUCAUCAAUUGUAGGAAUGGAGUCAUGCAACUCACAUUUGUCAACAUGACAUUAGAGCUCAACAUCUUCCAUUUGUACAAGAAGCAUAUCCAUCAGGAGGAAAAAGAAGGUCUAGAGGAAGUGUGAAUGAUUGACACUUUAGUGGAAGAGCAUUGUGAUCGAGAAUGCAAAAAGAUUUAGUUGAGAAUUUUGGGGAUCUUGAUGAAAGGUUACUUGAACCCUCAGAUUUGCUUGCUACCCUACUCCAUUGGAAGAGAAGAGAAGAAAUUCUACCCUUAUUCAAUGAGGAGGAGACGCAAAGAGCUGCAAAGGAGAAACCCCCAAAACUUAUUCUUAAGCCACUACCCACAGAGUUGAAGUAUGUAUACUUGGAAGAAGACAAGAAGUGCCCUAUUGUUAUAUCUUCAACUCUUACCAUUCAUCAGGAGGAUUGUCUACUUGAAGUCCUUAGAAGAUGUAAGAAGACAAUAAGGUGGCUAAUUUCUUAUUUGAAAGGGAUCAGCCCUUUAGUCUGCACCCAUCAUAUUUACAUGGAGGAUGAAGCUAAGCUAAUUCAUCAACCUCAGAGAAGGUUGAACCCUCACAUGCAAGAGGUGGUUCGAGCUGAAGUUCUGAAGCUACUUCAGACCAGUAUUAUUUACCCCAUAUCAAAUAGCCCAUGGGUGAGUCCUACUCAAGUUGCGCCAAAGAAGUCUGGGAUCAUGGUGGUGCAAAAUGAUAAGGGAGAAGAUGUCUCUACACGCCUCACUACAGGUUGGAGGGUGUGUAUCAAUUACAGGAGGUUGAAUGCAGUGAUAAGAAAGGACCAUUUCUCAUUGCCCUUUAUUGAUCAGGUGCUUGAGAGGGUCUCUGGGCUUUUUUUUUUAUUGUUUCUUGGAUGGCUACUCCGGGUACUUUCAGAUAGAAAUUGAUGUUGAAAACCAAGAUAAGACCAUUUUCACAUGCCCAUUUGGAACCUAUGCAUAAAGGAGAAUGCCUUUCGGCUUAUGCAAUGCACCCGCAACUUUCCAAAGAUGCAUGUUAAGCAUUUUCAGUGAUAUGGUGGAGCGUAUUAUGGAAGUCUUUAUGGAUGAUAUCACCAUUUAUGGAAGUGCAUUUGAUGAAUGCUUGGUCAACUUAGAAGCUGUUCUGAACCGAUACAUUGAGAAAGACUUAGUGCUUAACUGGGAGAAGUGCCAUUUCAUGGUACACCAAGGGAUUGUCCUUGGGCACAUUAUCUCCAAGCAAGGCAUUGAAGUUGACAAAGCAAAGGUUGAACUCAUUGUUAAGUUGCCAUCCUCAACAAAUGUCAAAGGAGUAAGGCAAUUCUUUGGCCAUGUCGGGUUCUAUAGGAGGUUUAUCAAGGAUUUCUCUAAGCUUGCAAGGCCUCUUUGUGAAAUAUUGGUGAAUGAUGUUAAAUUCAUAUGGGAUGAUGGAUUUGAAAGGAGUUUUGAAGAAUUGAAGCUAUUUUUGACAACCGUACCAAUAGUGAGGGCUCCCAACUGGCAACUGCCCUUUGAAGUAAUGUGUGAUGUCAAUGAUUUUGCUAUAGGAUUUUUUCUUGGGCAAAGAGAAAAUGGAAAACCUUAUGUGAUCUACUAUGCGAGGAAGGCAUUGAAUGAGGCACAAAGAAACUACACAACCACCGAGAAAGAAUUGUUAGCUGUAGUUUUUGCCUUGGAUAAGUUUCGCGCUUACUUGGUGGGGUCCUUCAUCAUGGUUUUUACUGAUCACUUUGCUUUGAAGUAUCUGUUGACUAAGCAAGAUGCUAAAGCAAGGCUGAUUAGAUGGAUUCUCUUACUUCAAGAGUUCAAUCUCCAUAUCAAAGAUAAGAAAGGAGUGGAGAAUGUGGUAGCAGACCACAUUUCAAGGCUAGCUAUCGCACAUAAUUCCCAUGCUUUGCCCAUUAAUGACGAUUUUCUAGAGGGGUCUCUCAUGUUGGUGGAAGUUGUCCCUUGGUACGCUCACAUUGCUAACUACCUGGUCACGGGAAAAGUUCCAAGUGAGUGGAAAGCACAAGAUAAGAAGCACUUCUUUGCAAAAAUUCAUGCCUACUAUUGGGAAGAGCCAUUUCUAUUCAAGUAUUGUAUGGAUCAGAUAAUAAGGAAGUGCGUUCCUGAAGAAGAGCAACAGGGGAUCCUUAGUCAUUACCAUGAAAAUGCAUGUGGAGGCCACUUUGCUUAUCAAAAGACAGCCAUGAGGGUGUUGCAAUCGGGUUUCUGUUGGCCAUCACUUUUCAAAGAUGCCCACACCAUGUGCAAGAGUUGUGAUCGAUGCCAGAGGCUUGGGAAGUUGACACGCAGGAACAUGAUGCCUUUGAACCCCACUUUAAUAGUUGAUAUUUUUUAUGUUUGGGGCACUAACUUCAUGGGACCUUUCCCUAUGUCUUUUGGCUACUCUUACAUCUUGGUAGGAGUAGAUUAUGUUUCUAAGUGGGUUGAGGCAGUCCCAUGCAAACACAAUGACCAUAGAGUGGUUCUCAAGUUUCUUAAAGAGAAUAUCUUCUCAAGAUUUGGGGUGCCCAAAGCCAUAAUUAGUGAUGGGGGUACUCAUUUUUGCAACAAGCCUUUUGAAACUCUCCUAGCCAAGUAUGGGGUGAAGCAUAAGGUAGCUACACCUUACCACCCUCAAACUCAUGGACAAGUUGAGUUAGCAAACAGGGAGAUUAAAAACAUAUUGAUGAAGGUGGUGAACACAAACAGAAAAGAUUGGUCAGUCAAGCUUCUUAAUUCACUAUGGGCAUAUAGAACAACUUACAAGACCAUUCUCGGGAUGUCUCCUUAUCGCCUAGUUUAUGGCAAAGCAUGCCAUCUCCCUGUGGAAUUGGAAUACAAAGCUUGGUGGGCAAUCAAGAAGCUCAACAUGGAUUUGAGCAGAGCUGGGUUGAAGAGGUUCUUAGACCUUAAUGAGAUGGAGAAAUUGAGAAAUGAUGCCUACAUCAAUUCAAAAAUUGCAAAAGAAAAAUUGAAGAGGUGGCAUGAUCAGUUGAUUUCCCGCAAGGAUUUUCAAAAUGGACAAAGAGUCUUACUUUAUGACUCUAAACUCCACAUCUUUCCGGGCAAGCUGAAAUCAAGGUGGAUAGGUCAUUUUACCAUUCACCAAGUGCAUUCAAAUGGAGUAGUGGAACUACUCAACUCCAACAAUAUCGAGAACUUCAAAGUGAAUGGCCACCGUCUCAAGCCCUUUGUGGAGUCUUUUUCUCACAACAAGGAGAAAUUCAUCCUCCUUGAUCCACAUCAAGCUUAACAAGACCAAUUUUCUUGAUGGACUUAGUCUUUCUAAAGACUAUCGAGUCCAUAACUUUUUGUUUUAUUUUUUAUUUGAGAUUUUUUCGGUAUUGUUACUUGUUUUGUUUUUUAUUUUUCGUUUUAAUUUUAUUUGGUUUGAUUUAACUUAGGUUUUUGAUGAUCAAUUACAGGGGGGAUUUCAAAUAGAGGAAAAACCAAGAUAAUUCGCACACCCUACGAAAAUUUCGCAAGGCAUGCGAAAUUUAUGGCUUAUUUUGCAUGGGGUGAAAAUUUUCGUACAUCUUACGAACCAAUUUCGAACACUUUGCGAAAAUAAACCAACCCUGCGAAAUCAUUUCGAUUACUCUACGAAAUUUUCGUAGAGCAUGCGAAAAAUUUAGCACACCAAACACCAUUUCGCAUACUAUGCAAAAACCUAAGGGGUCUGCGAAACCAUUUCGCACCUCCAAAUCCAUUUCGCACAUUGUGCGAAAACCAAGAGGCGCUGUGCGAAAAUGAAAAGUCGCCCUGUCAUCCCUUUUUAAACCCCUCGAGCCCUAAAAUCUCCAUUUCGCAAGCACCCCUGUCCUUGCGAAUCCCUCAUUUUCCUCUACUACCUUGCAACCUCGUCCCUUUCCAUUUGAUAUUGUGCCCCGCGCACAUCUCAUUUCAGAGACUCGCACUCCGCGCCCCCUCAAAGCAUGGACUCGAGACCCACCUUCCAUUUCCGACGUGGCACGGACCCAAGGAGCCCUUUCUGCCCCUUCACUAAGACACACACCAAGGCAGAAAGCCUCCUUUGCUCAAGUGCCUAGUGAUUCUCCAUCUUAGGCCUCAGAGGCCUCGGAGGCCCCGUGGAUUCCACCUUCCGAGGGUAGAGCAGCCAUUGGUCCUUCCUCUUCUACUCCUUAGCGUAGAUACGAGACGAGGAGACCACCUACUACACAAGGGGCGACUACUUCGAGCCUUGAGAAUUCAGUACGAUGCCUUCCUGCCAAGAGGGUCAAGACUUCAGGUCCAAGUGAGUCAUCCAGAGCUUCAUAGCCUAAGCCUCCUGUAGAUUCCAAGGUUCCUACUGACAUAUCACCGGAGUCUAUUAUCAGAAGCCCGAUGCUCAUAGCACCGCCCAUUGAGGGCAACUCAGAUUAUAGAGCGAGAUCUUUCCACUUGGAGCUAUAUUUUGAUCAGGAGGCCAUACGACAGCAGCCUGAGCUCCGAGACUCUUAUGGCUUACUGCAGAGGUACCAUCUUGAGGAACUUAUGACUCCUCGUGAGUUUUUUUAUCCCAGAGUAGCACUAAACUUUUACCAGUCCAUGACUACUCGUGGCGUCCCGAGUCCUACCACGAUUCACUUCACCAUUGAUAGACGUCAUGGUAUCCUCAAGGCCAGACAUAUUACAGAGGCUCUACAAAUUCCUUUCGAGCUAGAGGAUCCAUCUGUUUUUCGCUAAUGGUCCCCAGUAUCUCAGAGGGACAUGGUCCGUAUUUUAUCUAGGGGAACAUCUACAGAUUCGAUCUUUCUACGGAAGGAGCUUCGACCUGGGAUGCUCCUCUUAGAUGUGGUGCUAUGCUCCAACCUCUUUCCCUUACAACAUUCGGUACAUAGGUGAUGAGCUAUUUUGGACGCUUUAUUCCGUAUAUCAGAGGGCUUCUACUUUGGCCCGCACCACUUGAUCAUGGUCUCCCUCAUCCACUUUGAGGAGAAGGUUCAUAGGAAGAAGCUUCAGAGGGUGGACACCAUUCCAUUACUAUUCCUGAGGUUACUUUGCCAGGUCUUGGAGUACAUGGGCUUUCCUACUGAGCCUCGGCUCGAGCUUUGCCGCCUUUGUCGAGAGUGAUCCACUCUCGACAAAUGGAAUUAGUUGGCGGGCUAUUCUGCACCUCCAGGAGCCCCUCCCAUGGUAGCACCUCCAAUGUCCCCACAGGCAAAGUAGGGCGAGCUCCCGGCAAAGACUGUACCACCAAUGCCCACACUUGAGGCUAUUUCUGCUGCUCUGCCUAUGACUCCUACUGUUCCACCAGUUGGUCCUUUUACAUCCGAGCCUUCCAUCACCAUCUCGGCUUCGGAGUUUCGCGCCCUUGUGCAUACCUUUCAGACACUCACCACCACACAUACUCCUCUCUUCUAGCAAAUGGUUGAGAUGUGUGCCCAUCAGGACCGGAAGACUACUAUACUCUGCCAAAUUCAGCAGCACCUAAGACUUUUGCCUCAACCUCAACCUAACCAUCCCAUAUCAUCAGAGCCUCUAGCUCCAACUGAGGAUACUAUUCCACCUGAGAACACUACCACAGUAGAGGUCCGGUUUCCACCACCUUAAGAGGCCACCACAGCUACAUCAGAGGAUGUGUCAUCUCCACUUGAGGCUCCCACUACUUGAUCAUAGGACAUAUCUUUAUCUUAUUGUAUUUACAUAUUAUAUUACUAGAGAUUUGUCCUUGUUUUGAUACUUUAUAUUCUGGGAUUGGAUGUAUUGCCUGAUGAUAUCUCAAUUGUACUUUCUCAUAUUAAUAUAUAGACAUCAAUUUUUUUUAGUAUACUUAGCAUUUUUCUAUUUCCUCUACUCAUUACUCUUUUGUUUUUUUUUACUCAUGUGGUUUCUCUUAUACAACUCAGACUCCAUUUCACUCAGGAGGUACCACUUCCUCCCUUUAUUUUCAAUUGCUCUUGAAAUAUUGAGUGCAAUGUUGAUCUUGGUUGGGGGGAGAGUUGAGGAAGGAAGUUUUGUUAAUAAUGCUAGGUUAAUUUGUUAAUUUAGUUACUUUCUGCUUAAUUUUAAAAGUUUUCACUCUACUUUCCAUGGUUAUUAAGGAAAAAUUCUCAAAAUGAAAUGGGAGAAAUCGAAUUCUUGCAUUUUUACUUGAAUCUUAGAAUUUGUAUCAUGCUUAUUAAAGUUGAUGAAUUAUUGAAACUCCUAUUGAAUUCAACCUUAUUUUUUCCACUUUAAUCUUACCACACACGGUGCACAUUAGGUUCCAGUUAUAAGAUAAAAAACUAUCUCACCCCCUAAACUUAGAAAAAUUUACACUUGGUACCUUUGACAUCGUUUUAAUAGUGUUGGGACACCUUAUAAAAGGCCAAUGAGCCUUUAAAAAAAAAAAAAAAAAAAAAAAGAGAAAGAACAAAGUAUUGCACUUGCCUUGAAACCUGAGCAAGAUCCGAGGGGUAUACAGUGAAAGUCUUUAAAACCUGGUGCCCUAAGCCUUGAUUGGUUGGGAGUCACCGACCUCAAUGCUCGUUAUAAGGGUGAAUAGGUGGAGUUUAACAUAUUGUAGGUGCUUGGGUAUUGAAUUUCAAUCUCAAAAGUCCGGGAAAAAAUCUAAGGAGUUAGUGGUCAAAAGAUCCUUAAAGCUUGAUGCCCUAAACCUUGAUUGGUUGAGAGUCAUUGAUGGAUCCCCGCUACAUGGACAUUUUAGAAAACAAUACCUUUAGCAUUGCACGCCUACAAUGAAAAAAAAAUGUGAAAUAAAAGAGGUGCGUUCUUAGCCUAUUGGAGGUUGGUCAGUUUGCUAAAGUUUGAGAAAUCUAGGUUGGGGGGAGAGAAUAGUCCGACAUACUAUAAUAAAAAACUAAUAACCUUAACACUUAGAUUUUUGUGGAAGAGUAAGGAUUGGACCUUUAGGGGUGGAAAUUCUUUUGAUGCUUAAAUUUGCAUAAUGCCUACUCUUUAUAAAUUAUGAUUAGGCAAGAGAUUUGAUGACUCUUGUUCAAAGUUGGGUUUUUCCUCUUUGAUGUUCCAUGAGAGAGUAUAAUCCUCAUCAUGCCACUUGAAAUCUUUUUGGAGUGAUUAACAUGAUUUUGUAAAUUAUUUUACUGUCUAUUUUUCUUUAUCUCUCUUUUAUUGCUAAUGGACUAGCAAUAUGUCAGUUGGGGGGAGUGAUUACUACUCAAAAAGUACUCUUUUAUAGCUUGAAACUAACUGUUUUAAACACUUUUGAGUAGGUGUUAAUACAUUUUAACUCAAUUGGCACAUUAAGGAACCUAACAAGGGUUACUAAUAAGUUUUUGGCAAGUUUUGGUGUUUUUGGUAGCUAUUUGAUCAUUGAAACAAGCCAAGAAUGAGGGAGAAUUUUGUGAAGUCCAUAGCAAUGCAAGUUAAAGCUCAAAUACAUGAAGAAUCCAAGCUUUGAAGCACUUCAUAGCCCUUUGCGAAGCCAAUCAGAGAUGCAAGGAAGAAAACCAGAGGAAAAAAUCCAACAACCAGCAUUUUCGCAUGGCUGUGCGAAAUUUUGCACACCAUGCGAAACCACAAGAAGUAGCCAAAGAAUUUUGCACACCAUGCGAAAUUUCGCAUGGUAUACGAAAUCUUCCUAUGCACCAACUCCGUUAUAUUUUUAUCUUCAGAUAUUUUGUGUAAUUUCCUAGUUUCUCCUUGUAACCAACCUAGAUAUUUUCUUUUAUAUCUUUUUUUUAUAUUUUUUAGGUAACAUCAUAUAUAGGGGGAGAGACAUAAGGAGGAUAUGGAUGUUUUUCAUAAAACACUUUUAAUUUUCUGGUAGUAAGAAAUAUACAAAGUUUUUUGCUCUGCCUUACCUUCUCAUUUUGUUUUCACCUAUCUUUCUAGCCAAACAACCUCUGAGAAUGAUUUCUCAGGGGAUGAGUAGUUAGGUUUUACGUUUCUUGGAGUGAGAGAAGCUAGGUGAAAGACCCAAAUGCUAAGGUGGGAGUUGUCCUUGCUUUAAAUGAAAGUAGUUGUUAAAUAUUAAUGGUUUUUAUUUUAAGGUUUAGCUUUAAAUCCCUUAAAAACACCUUGAAUGGCCAAUACUUGGUAAGCUUUUCGGAUUCUAUGGAUGCUUAUUGCUAGAUCCAUGGAUGUCAUUAGUUAUCAUUUAUGAGCCAUUGGAAGGUGGUUCAAGAUGAGAGUCUUUAGUGUUUGAAGCCAUUAAUGGGAAACAAUUACCAUUUUUUCAUGAAUCCUUUGGAUAAAAUCUUAAUUGCUAAAUAUAAAACUGGUUCGGGAGAUAACCAUCCUUUAUGUUAUUAUGCCCAAUGCAAGGAGAAGAUUUCGAAUCUUCUCAUUUGUCUAAGGAACCCGAUCCUAGUGACCUAAAGCUCCUAGAGACCUUUUCUUUGUAGUUAACUUCAUUUAUUGUUUUUGCUUAACUUAAAAUCAAUCUUUGCAACCACAAUUCCAUUUUCUUUAAAAGCUAAUUUUUAUAAGGAAAAGCACCAUUUUAUUUCCUUCACUAAGUCAACUGUAUGAUGAAAACCCAUCCCUGUGGACGAUCUUAGAGCCACUAUACUAUGUUAUCUAUGCUAUCCUAGUGUGAGGUGAUUUAGGUUUUAUAAAUUUUGUUGAUAACACCCGUCUGAGCCAGAAUCAAAUGGAACCACUGAACCAGGGACAAAUCAACAGCCUAUAUGGGAGGGACACAAGUUUAAUUGAUUUGCAUUUCAGCGUUAUAGAUAAGUAUGUUUUGGAAGAUUUGUUCUGGAAAUACUGCACCAAGUACGAUUCUUUUUCUCUUGAGUGAGUCCAUUUGCAUGCCAAUUAACGAGUUGAAAAGUAGGAGCACCUACCUCGUGCUCAUGGAACCGAAUGUCAGUGAAGUGGGGCUCCUUUUAGCCUCUUGUGUUUCUGUUCCAACCAAGGCGGCGUAGGGAAAAACAACAAUAUGUCUGUGCUAAAUAUCAACGCAUGAUAGAUGUUUUUUUUUUUUUUUUUGGUAUGUCAAGGCUAACGAAUGAAAUGCAUUAGCUUGUUUUGUGACUAUAACUGCAAAUGUCCAAAUUGGAGUAUCUCCAUUUCUCACUUCGGAUGGUUAACUUUAUAAACAAGAUAUAGGAAACAUGUGAACAUCUUGAGGAACAAUUCAAAUUAUUCAUUAGAAGUCCUGGGUUAAGUUCCAAGAUUUAAAUCAGACCCUUCUAGCAGCUUCAAGGGUACUUAGCAACCUAUAACAUAUUAAUGAAGAUUUAGGAUUUAGACUCCGGAAUACAAAUAAAUAUGUAUCUCAUGCUUUGACUAGCUUCCCUACAUAUGCAUAAAAUGGAGAUGACCCAAAAAAAAUAGCAGAAUCUAGCUUCCCUACAUAUGCACAAAAUGGAGAUGACCCAAAAAAUAGCAUAAUCGCCUUAGUUUCUGUGGUUAAGGUGAUUCUCCGCUUAAUAUCCACAUUGACUCAUUAUGCAAAAUCAACUGAGCUAAUUUUAUUUAUUUAUUUAAUGUCAAAUAGGAACUCCUAAUUAACUGAUUACUGUCGAAAAGUGCUAUUUUGUAGACCUAAUUAUAAGGGUUUUAAGCACCUUUGAGUAGUAAUCAUAUUCAUUUAACCUAAUUAAUUCAUUAAGCUCCUUAGUAAUUAGUUCUAACCAUUUUUAGUGGCAAGUUUACAUGUUUUUCAUCAGCUUAUGAACCAAUUCAAGCAUGCCAAUUGAUGGAGGAGCUACUUGGGCGAGUUAAGCAAGGAUUUUGGACGUUUACAGGCUUGAAUUUCAAGUGGAAACACGAGCACAAGCAAUGGGAACACCAUUUCGCAAGGGGAGGCAAUUCACCUUGCCAAAUGACCAAUUUCGCAAGGGGAUUUUCCUCAUGGUGCAAAAUUUGGUCAUUUCGCACCAUGAAGAAACCACCUUGCAAAAUUUCGCAAGGUGGAUUUAGGCACCUUGCGAAAUGCCAAAUUUCACAAGGUGGCUUUUCACCUUGCGAAAUUUGGACCUUUCAUCUUCCCCCCUUGCGAAAUGCCUUUGAAAUCCCCUGUUUUGAGACGCUGUUGAUGAUAUUCCACUGCCGGUUCUCCAAGAUAUUUUGCUUGACUUUUAGCUUUAUAAAUACCUAUUUUACCCUUGUAAUCAACCAAUGAAAAGGUUGCUUUUGUAAUAGCUCUUGUAAUUUAGCUUUUUAUUGUCUUUAAAUAGAGGUGAAGAGCCUCAGACACGAUCAUCUUGUAACCUGUAACUUUAUAAGUUAUAAGAGCACUUUUGUUCAUACGCUUCUUUUCUCUUUUCUUUCUCAUUUUCUUAGUAGCCAAACAUCCUUGGAGGAUGAAAUCCCCAAGGAUGAGAGGCUAAAACCUUUUAGUUUCUUGAAGUAAUGGAUGCCAUGUGAAGCUCCCGUGUCAGGAUGGAGAUUUCCAAGCCAUAAAUGUAAGUAGCUGAGCGUCAUAAAUGUUUUCAUUCAAAGUAAAGCUUUUAAUCCCUCUGACUUGCUUUGAAUGGCCAAUACUUGAUAACCUUUUGGUCUCAAUGGAUUCUUAUUGUUAGAUCCACUGACGUUCAUUAGUUAUCUCCUACGAGCCAUUGUAUUGCAAGUCGAGGAGAUGACCUAUACCAAUAAAAGAGCAUUUAUGAGGUUCAACUACCCUUUUUGUAAGUUUUCAAGGACUAAAACUCAGUUGUUAAACUCAUACCGGUUCGAGAAGUAAGCAUCACCUUAGUUGCUUCCCCAACUCGAGGUGAAAAGUCCCAAAAUCUCCAUUUUUACACAGUGAGUUAAGCAUGGCUAUCCAAAGCUUUAAGAAACUUCUUUUUCCAUCUUUUAACCUAUUUUCAUGUUAGUUUAGUUUACAACACCUUCAUCUUUUUAUGUUUUCAUCUUAACCUAAUUUUUAUUAAGAAAAGUUCACUCCAUCCUCCGAACUUCACCAGUUAAAGUAAAAACCCUUCCCAGUGUUCGAUCCUAGAGCCACUAUGCUAUAGUAGCUUUGCUACUUUAGUGUAAGGACCUUAGGUAUAAAUUUUGUUGAUACCCUUACAUGCCAAGCUACCAAGAGUCGGGUUAUCAUUAACCUAACCAUUGGCCUGUGUAAAUUGAUUUCACAUGCACAAUGUUGUAGUAGAAGUCCAUAUUUUGAAUUUUAUUUUUGUAAAGGUAAGGAAAAUGAAGCAUUGUGUAAUUAUAAAAAUAACUUCAUUGGAAUUCACAAGGUUCACCCAAAAUGGAGCUACAUCUGUAUUCUAUCCUACAGUAGACUAUAUAGAUUGUACAAUAGUAAAUUGCAAAUACAAUUAAUAAGUCUUGUGCUUCCUUACUAAUAAUCCUUUGACAUGAACAUUGCAGCACUAAGGUCCUCUUGGGAAGACACCUUGCACCCAUGAGAGCACUAAGAGGAAGCAAGGCAGAGUCAUGGGUGCAAUGUCAUGACUUGUUGUUGCACCAAGAGAGGCUUGGUGAUGCCAUGGUGUUGCAGUAGCAAGAAUGUUGCCUUGGCAGGGACACGAUCUAGGGAUAGAUGCCAAGAAAGGCUUAGCACUCACAUGAGUUGCACAAAGAUGAAUGUAAUAGAGCAUCAGAGAGACGUCUUGGCAAGUAAAUGAAUGGAUCCAAGAGACAACAACAUGAGGAGUUUCAAAUGGAUAAGGAAUGACUCAAAGACAUUUGAAAGCUACAAGUUGGAUUCUAAUUACGAUUGCAAUUUGAGUUUGAGUAGGAGUUUAGAUUUUGAUUGUAAUUGUAGUAUGAGUUGGACUAGGAUUGCUUAUCCUUAGUCAAUAUAGGAGCGGUUCGUGUCACCCUAUGAAAAGAGUUUGAGUAGGGACUAGGAUUGCUUACUCCUAGUCAAAUAUGGAGUAGGUGGUGCCACACCUAUAAAAAAAAGGGACAACAUGAGAGAGAGAGAGAGAGAGAAAGAGAGAGUGAAUUCACUAAAGAUAUUGUGGGAGUUUUGCUUUGUUACGUCUUGUAUUAUUACUUAGAAUAGGAAUAAAAUACAAGUUGGGGCUAGAGCCCCAUAAUUAAUCUCGUGUGCCUUUGUGGUUAUUCUUUAUUUGUCAUCUCGUGUGGAUUGGAUUAGGUUGACUUAGAGGGCUUCUAAGCACCACCUUUGUGGGUUAUUAUUUAUUUUCCAUCUCUUGUGGAUUAGAUUAGGUUGACUUAGAGGGCUUCUGAGCACCACCUUUGUGGGUUAUUAUUUAUUUUCCAUCUAUUGUGGAUUAGAUUAGGUUGACUUAGAGGGCUUUUAAGCACCACAUUUGUGGGUUAUUCUUUAUUUUCCAUAUCGUGUGGGUUGGAUUAGGUUGACAAGGAGAAAAAUUAUGUGGGAAAUUUGUGUUGGGACACUUACCAUAACCAAGUAAAAUCUACCAAGUCCUUUGUAAUAUCUUCAACAAAUAUUUUAGACUAGUUCUUUCAGUUAGUGUAAAGGAGGAAGAAGUGGUAUUGAUUCUAGAAAUAGGGUGUGUGUAUUUGAACUACAAUCCUUAUGAUCCUUAGGUCUCUAAACCUUCGUGAUGGGCUCCCUGACAUUUCAUAGGUUGUGCUACACAUGCGUUUGAAAUUUAGAGUGCGUUUGACAGUGAUUCCGGGAAGUGUUUUUGGCCUUUCUUACACUUGAAAAUUUUUAUUUUUCAAGUAUUAGAAAUGCUACAAACACUUUUGAAAAUUACUGUCAAACACACUCUUAGGAGCGCACAUAUAUAGUAGAAAACUAGAAAUUGUGGUUUUUUUAGGAUUUACUGUAAUGUCAUUAGGAGGGUAGUAAGUUGAAAUUGAGUAUGAACAAAUAUUUCUUUCUUUGGGAUGUUCUUCUAGUAGGUGCUGAUGAAACUGUUCUUUCUACUGCCAAUGUCACAUAUCAGCCAGAAAUUGAAAAUUUCAGUCAAGGUGUCCUCUGUUUUAGUGGUGAGGAAAGCUAGAAAUUUUAAGGUGAAGUUUUGUUAAAAACCUUAAGUAGCUGGGAUAUCAGGCCUGUUUUGCUUGAAAAAAAAAGUUGCAAGAUAACUCAUAUGCCAAACAGGUUCUGAUAUUGUGAAUCUAUCGGCAGACAUCAGUAAUCUCAUCUUCUGAGAUGGAUGUUGGGGGUGCAUGUGGUGGUGGAGGGGCAAGGUUUCAUUUGGUUUAUUUUGUUGAUGGAUAUUGUCUAGCCACCUGCGCCAAGUUUGAGGGGUGGUGGGUUGUGAUGACCCUACAAUUACUAUUAAUUUCUUCAUCUUUUACCGAUUAAAGUGUCCGAACAGUCGAAGUUACCCUUAUGCAUGUCAACUUGAUCACUUACCUCUUCAAUGGAGUUUAUGCUGGUUCAUUUAGGAACUGAUUUUUAUUGUUAUGUAUUAUAUGCUGAUGUUUAGGUCUCUCCAUCAUCACUAUAUACAAAAAUUCUAGGUUGAUACUAUAGGUUGAGAUUUAUUUUUUAAAUAAAAAAUAAUAAAAAUAAAAAUUAUGGUGAUGUUUAGUUGUUUUAUGGAAAAUUUUAACAAGUAAAAGUUAUUUUUGGGCAAGUUUUCAAACAAAAAGAAAAGUAAAAGUUGUUUUGACAAAAACAUAUAGAAAAAAAAAUCAUAGAAAAUAAAUAAUUUCCCCAUAUUCUAACUUUUUUGAAUUUUUCUCAAUGGGCAAAGGAAUAUCAAAUCAAGUUUGAGUAGGAUUUCUUAAUUUUUAAAAUAACUUACAAUUAAAAAAUUUUGGUGUUUUCAUUUUUGGACAAUUUUUUAUUAAGCAAAUGGACUCUGAGUCAUGCAAGAGAUAUGGUUCAUUAACCGGUCGAACAAUUUUUUUAAAUUAAUUUAAAAGUCAAAUACAUAAUCAAUUUCACAAAAUUUAUAAACAAAAAUAGGUUUAGAGAAGAUCUACACAUAAUUUUACUUUUCUAAUUUUAUUUUAUUUUAUUUUUUGUUGGAAAAUAGUCUUCAAAUCAUGUAAGAUUUAAUAGGUUAAAUUUGUUAACAAUAAAUUUUAAAUUAUAAAAUAUAAUCUGGAACUCAAAAAUCAAUUCAAGUAAUGCUAAAAAAAAAUCAAAUUUGGUAUAGAAUGACUUUGUAAAUUUUUUUACAAAACAAAUGAAUUUUAAAUCAAGUGAGAUUUAAUGCAUUAGAUUUUUAUCAAAUAUAGUAAUUUUAAAAAUAAAUUUGGAACUCAACAAUAGACACAAUAAAUACCAAAAAAUAAUGAACCAAAAUUGGUUUGGAAUAACUCCACAACCUUUUUUUUUUUUUUUUGGUGCACACGAAUUUUCUUACUAGGUAUAUUGCUUUCAAAUUGAGAAAGAUUUACCAUUUAGAUUUUUUUUUAAUGAGUUUAAUGGUAUUUUAAAAUAAUUCAAAAUUUAAAAAAUUGACUAAUUAAUAUUAUAAAUUGAUAAACCAAGACUAUUUCAAAAUGCAUUGGGGGCUAAGGGGGUUGAAAAUAGGGACAAUGGGAUGGGUUUGGGACAUGACACUCAUAUCUCAUUUCCAUUCCAAUUACACAGUUAUCUCCCAUCCUUAUCCCAAACUUGUGUUGGAGCAAGUUGAUUUGUUCCCAUCUUUGUUGACGAAAUGACUAAUAACCUCAUCCCCUCCUUAUCUUAGAUGUACAUUUUGUCAAAUUUGAUCAGGUAUGAUUGAUCCAAGCCCUAACCCUAAUUGGUAAUGAGUGAAUACUACACCUAAUUGCAUUCUUCUUUCAUUGCAAAAUAAUGAGAUUAUAAUAAUCUAGCAAAUAAGAAAAAAUAGUAUGGAAGUUCAAAUUAACACCAUAACUAUCAAUAAUUUUAAGCUUAUAGAUGACUUAAAUGAUUAAAAACUAAUGCAAAAUCCUAAAAAAAAUAAAAAUCAUAUAAAGAAUUCACAAGAGAACAGAAUGAACAAAAACCAAAUAUGAACAUGGGUCAACAUUAGUUAUGGAUUUGGAUUCCUUUCAAGGCCAAUCUUUGAACCAAGACUUCAUCAAAUCAACUACUUCAAAGGCUUUUGUGUUCUUCUUGGGUUGUGCUCUCAAACAAAGACUUCGAGGUGAUGUUCUAGAUGAUUGAAUUACACAUAUUUAGGGUGGAGAGAUUGGAGAAGCUUGAAGAUGCCAACGAUGGGUACAAUUGAGUGGUCAAUAAGAACAAUGUAGCCUAUGACUAGUUUGAUGUCAUGGUACAAGAGUUUUAGGCAUUGAGGUUAAAGCAAGAGCAACAUGGAAUUGAUUUCGGAGUCUUUCAGUUAGUGUAAAGGAGGAAGAAGUGGUGUUGAUUCUAGAAAUAGGGUUUUAAGUGGUGCGUGAUUACUACUCAAAAAGUGCUAUUUGAUAGCCUUUAAUUAAUCCUUUUUAACACUUUUGAGUAGUAGUUUAGGCCUUUUAACUCAAUUGGCAUGUUAAGGAUCCUUUAAAGCAAUUUUGAUCACUUUGUGCAAGUUUUGGUGUUUUUGUUAGUAUUUUGAUCACCAAAGCAAGUCAAGAAUGAGGAGAACUAUGAGGAAUCAUGGGCAAAGCUUAGAAUUCAAUUGCCAAGAGUGAAUCCGGAUUGCAAGGAGAAAAAGCAAAGAGAAUCUGUCAUGAAGCCUAUUCUUGAUGACAGUCGUAGCAGCCACUUUUGGAGCACUUUCUGAAGUCCAAAUGAUGCAAGCUAUAUACCAUUUCAAAGAUCAGGAAGUCAACAAUCCAAUGCUUCAAACGGUGCGCGAUUCGGAGUUGAAACGAAGAAGUUGCAGCCAUUACAAGCCAGUCACUCUAAAGUGUUGCGGAAUCAGCCUUUUGUUGCGAGAAUUUCGCAGCACUUUUGUACAGUAAGGUGUUUCUCCUUCUGACGAUGCACGAACCAUGCCGCGAGAGGGAAGCUAGGAACUUCAAGAUGGAAGCCAACUUUGCAGCCUGGUGAAGAUAGCUUGGUCUUGCGAAAUAAUUUCGCAGCCCUCUUGGGUGUCUGCGAAAUUUCGCAGGCACCACUUUUUUCCUGCGAAAUGGCUCCGGAAGCCUCCCGAAGCUUGCUACCGACAUUGGGAGAUAUUUUCCAUUAGAUUUUUGUUGUCUAAAUUCCAAAAUACUCCUUGUAAACCACCAAUUACAUGAUUCCUUAGUUUUUAAGUUAGUAAAAAGACCAAAUAUCUAUGUAAUAAUUAGUUUUAUAUUAGUUUGCUAUAAAUACCUCUCGGGAGCAUGUUCUCAGAGAGGAGUUCCUUCUGUAACCAUUUUGGUAAGCAAGUAAAGUCUUUUCUUUCUACUGCCUUACCUUCUCACUUUGUAUUUUCAUUUUAUUUCUAAGUUAUGAAUUCUCUGAGGAGCUUUCCCCAGAGAAUGAGUAACUAAACCUCCAAUUCCUUGGAGCUAAGGUUGCCGGGGAAGGUUCCAAGUGCAAGAAUGCAAAGCUCUGUGGUUUUAGCUAGUAAUGAAGAGGAAGUGAAAUCCUUUAGUGAUUUCAAUGUUUUUAGUUAACUUAAAACACCUUGGAGUCACCUGGGCCAACACUUGGUAAGGCAAGUGAUUUCCAACCGUGGAAAUGCACUAGUUUACCCCUUGCGAGCCUCUGGUAGGUGACUUCAAGGUAGGAUUUUCUGGAAUUACCAACACUUGGUAAGCUUUUGGACUCCUAGGAGACAUCCAUUAGUUAUCUCUUGCGAGUUUGUGAAGGGGAAUCCAAGGUUAAAGAUCACCUUGAAUGGUAAGUGCUCGUGAGAGGCAUGAACCAUUGCAAGUUGUAUCAGUGAGAGAAUUAAAGUGAAAUCUAAUUGAAGGAGUCUCUGUACAUCACCGGUUAGAGAAUUGACUAUAAGUUGAAUCUCUAAUGCGAGGAAAUGAACCAUCUGACCGGAGCUAUGUCUUUUGCAUGAGGAACCACCCCAGUGAACCUAAAUCUCCAAGGAAUGCUUUUCUUCCUAAAUUAUUCCAAACUUCUGUUAAGUUAGUUAGUUUAAGUCUAAACCUUUACCAAUCAAACUUUGUGUUUUAUUUCUUAAGCUAACCGUGAAAUGAAACAAAACCAAUUCACUUGGAAUUGGUAUCCUUGAUUGCUUGCAAAUCAUUCCCAGUGAACGAUCCUUAGAGCCACUAUACUAUAGUAGCUUUGUAUUUGCUACCCUAGUGUAUGGUGUUAUAGGUAUAAAUUUUGUUGAUCACUUCCUCAAUCAAGGAACACCAGCUGAACACAAAUCAGCUGAGACACCAAUUGGGCAUGAGUCAAAUGGCGCCGUUGCCGGGGAAUGAGUGUCAAGAUCAUUGUGAUACCAUUUUUGAGCACUUGUGAUUUUCAUCACAAGUUGGUAAAGUUUCUUUCACUUUACUAAUUUUCAUUCUCUCUUUGUUUAUUUACAAUCUAAGUUUAUCUUUUUAAAAUUUAGUCUAGUUUAAUUUUGCUAUUGUAGCCUUGUUUCUCUUGUUGUCCUCUGUUCUUGUUGUCCUCUGUUUUCAUUUUAGUUGCAGCUGAAUACUAGUUGUGUAUGCCAAAGUGGAUACGAGACAUUGGAGGUAGGCUUAUUAAGUGUGAUACACCUCAGAGAGGAGAAUUGGAAGUAAUCUUGAAUAUCAUGGAGGCUGCACCUGAAGAUCAGCAUAGUCACCAAGGUCGUCAAGACAAUCUCAAUGAAUUCAGAUCAAUGAGGGACCGUAUGCAUCCACCUCGUAUGAGUGCACCAUCAUGUAUAGUGCCCCCUACAGAGCAACUAGUGAUCAGACCAUAUCUUGUUCCACUUCUACCAACUUUCCAUGGGAUGGAAAGUGAGAAUCCGUAUGCACACAUCAAGGAAUUUGAAGAUGUUUGUAAUACAUUCCAAGAGGGAGGAGCUUCAAUUGAUUUGAUGAGGCUUAAGUUAUUUCCUUUUAAUUUAAAGGAUAAGGCCAAAAUUUGGCUUAAUUCUUUAAGGCCAAGGAGUAUCCGCUCUUGGACUGAUUUACAAGCUGAAUUCCUCAAGAAAUUUUUUCCUACUCAUAGAACAAAUGGCUUGAAAAGGCAAAUUUCAAACUUCUCAGCUAAAGAGAAUGAGAAAUUCUAUGAGUGUUGGGAAAGAUACAUGGAAGCUAUAAAUGCUUGUCCUCACCAUGGCUUUGAUACUUGGCUACUGGUGAGUUAUUUUUAUGAUGGUAUGUCCUCCUCAAUGAAGCAACUCCUCGAGAAAAUGUGUGGAGAAGAUUUCAUGAGCAAAAAUCCAGAGGAAGCUAUGGAUUUCUUGAGCUAUGUAGCUGAUGUUUCAAGGGGAUGGGAUGAACCAACUAAAGGAGAAGUGGGAAAGAUGAAGUCUCAGUUGAAUGCUUACAAUGCAAAGGCUGGGAUGUAUACUUUAAAAGAGGAUGAUGACAUGAAAGCAAAGUUGGCAGCUAUGACAAGAAGAUUGGAGGAGCUGGAGCUGAAAAGAAUGCAUGAAGUGCAAGCUGUUGCUGAAGCACCAGUGCAAGUGAAGUUGUGUCCCAAUUGUCAAUCGUUUGAACAUUUGGUAGAGGAAUGCCCUGCAAUUUCAGCUGAAAGGGAAAUGUAUAGAGAUCAAGCAAAUGUUGUUGGACAAUUCAGGCCCAAUAACAAUGCUCCUUAUGGAAAUACCUACAAUUCAAGUUGGAGGAAUCAUCCAAAUUUUUCAUGGAAGGCCAGAGCAACUCAAUACCAACAGCCGGAUCCACCAUCUCAACAAUCUUCAAGUAUUGAACAAAUAAUAGCUAAUCUCAGCAAGGUAGUGGGAGAUUUUGUGGGAAAGCAAGAAGCCACCAAUGCUCGAGUGGAUCAAAGAAUGGACAGAGUGGAUCAAAGAAUGGACAGAAUGGAGAGUAUGUUGAACAAAAGAAUGGAUGGAAUGCAAAAUGAUAUGAAUCAAAAAUUUGAUAACAUCCAAUAUUCAAUUUCAAGGCUUACAAAUUUGAAUACACUGCAAGAAAAGGGAAGAUUUCCUUCUCAACCUAACCAAAAUCCCAAAGGUGUCCAUGAAGUGGAAAGCCAUGAGGGAGAAUCAUCACAGGUGAAAGAUGUGAAAGCUUUGAUCACUCUAAGGAGUGGUAAGAAAAUUGAGCAGCCAACACCCAAGCCACAUGUUGAGAAAGAAGAAGAGAUGAAGAAAGGGAAGGAAAUGGAAGAUAAAGGCAGUGAGAUCAGUGAAGAAAAGAAGGACUCUGAUGCAACAAUGAAAGUAAUUCCAGAGAAGGAGCUUCUGAAGGAAGAAAUGCUGAAGAAAUCAACUUUUCCACCUUUUCCUCAAGCAUUACAGGGGAAAAAGGGGGUUAGAAAUGCAGCUGAAAUCCUAGAAGUAUUGAGGCAAGUGAAAGUUAAUAUUCCACUGCUGGAUAUGAUCAAACAAGUUCCAACGUAUGCAAAAUUCCUAAAGGACUUGUGUACUAUCAAAAGAGGGUUGACUGUAAACAAGAAAGCCUUCUUGACUGAGCAAGUAAGUGCAAUCUUACAGUGUAAGUCUCCUUUGAAGUACAAAGACCCUGGAAGUCCUACCAUUUCAGUCAUGAUUGGAGGAAAGGUAGUGGAGAAAGCCUUGCUAGACUUGGGAGCAAGUGUGAAUUUGCUUCCAUAUUCUGUCUACAAGCAACUGGGACUUGGAGAGUUGAAGCCAACAGCAAUCACUUUGUCUCUGGCAGAUAGAUCAGUGAAAAUUCCAAGAGGGGUAAUUGAGGAUGUAUUGGUUCAAGUAGAUAAUUUCUACUAUCCUGUAGAUUUUGUUGUUCUUGAUACAGAUCCUACUGUAAAGGAAGCUAAUUUAGUUCCUAUCAUCCUUGGAAGGCCAUUUCUUGCAACUUCAAAUGCAAUCAUCAACUGUAGAAAUGGGCUUAUGCAACUCACUUUUGGUAACAUGACACUGGAUCUAAAUAUUUUCUAUAUGUCUAAAAAGCAAAUCACUCCAGAAGAAGAAGAGGGUCCAGAAGAGCUAUGUAUUAUUGAUACUUUGGUGGAGGAGCACUGCAAUCAACAUAUGCAAGAUAAGUUGAAUGAAAGUUUUGUGGAUAUUGAGGAAGGUUUUUCUGAAUCUCCUAAUGGGCUUGCUACUCUACAAAGUUGGAGAAAGAUAGAAGGAAUUCUACCUUUGUUCAAUGAAGAAGAGGAGGCAGCUGUUGAAAAAGAAAUUCCAAAACUCAAUCUGAAGCCUUUACCUAUGGAGCUGAAAUAUACAUAUCUUGAAGAAAAUAAUCAAUGUCCUGUCGUAAUAUCUUCAUCUCAAACCAAGUCUCAAGUGAAGGAUGCAAGCUUCAAAUGGGAUCCGGGCAAACUGAAUCAGGAAGGGCAAAAAGUUUUGAUGUAUGACACAAGACUCCAUAUCUUUCCUGGGAAGCUCAAGUCAAGGUGGAUUGGUCCAUUUGUUAUUCACCGAGUAUAUUCCAAUGGAGUGGUGGACUUAUUGAAUUCCAAUGGCAAGGACAGCUUUAGAGUCAAUGGAUAUCGUCUUAAGCCGUUCAUGGAGUCAUUCAAAUCAGAAAAGGAGGCAAUCAACCUCCUUGAACCUCAAAAAGCCUAAGUGAAAUGGGUUUGCUGGACGUGGUUUUACCACAGUCCAAAAAUUUUUGUAAAUUUUGUAAAUUUUCAAGUUGUUUCCAUGCUUUUAAUCUUAGUUUUUGAUUUUAAAUCAUGUUUUUAGGUGUGUUUUAAUCGUUUUAUAUGAUCCCAGGCGGAAGAAAUUUCAAGGGGAUUGAAAAGAAAAAAAUCGGGUCGAAAUUGGAGCCGAAACAGAGCAAAAACAGGGGAAAAACAGAGCUCUGCGAAAUUUCGCAGGGUGAAGGAAACUUCUGCGAAAUUGGCAUUUUGCUGCCAAACCAUUCCGCAGCACUGUAGAAGCCUCUGCGAGUGUAUUUCGCAAUUGCGAAAGUGGAUUUGGCACACGAGUGCCACUUCGCAGCACAGUGACAUCAAUUUCGCAGCUGCGAAACUCACUGCGAAGUUGCUGCGAAAAUGGCAAGUUGCUGCGAAAUUGGCGUUUUGUUGCGAAACGUAAUCUGACCCCUGGGCUUCCGUUUUUCCUAUUUAUACCUGUCAAAAGUGCUGCGAAAAAGGUUUCAAAAAUUAGAGCACCAUUCUCGCAGCCCUUUCAUCUUCUUCGCCAAGCCACGCCGUCCGUUUCUCCGGUCGUCUUCUCCGUUUAGCAGCGCCGGCCAAAGAUCGAUAGCCCAAAAAUGGCACGAACGCGAGGGGCAAAGUCUUCAUCCCCUUCGAACCGCAAAAGGAGUCUGCGAAAGGAGCCAAGUUCAGGCUCUGUUCCAGAACCUGCUCCAAAGCCUUCGCCGUCGAGACCACAACCUUCUCCAGUGAAGCCGGCGCCACCAAAGCCGCCGGCAAGGCGAUAUUUAACCAGGUCAGGUGGUCAGCCAUUGAAGAAGAAAGCCAGAGUUGAGAGCUCUGAACCAAUCGAUUUGACUGAGCAAUCCCCUGAGAAAUCACCAAAUCCUUCACCGGUACAAAUUCCAGUGCCAUCACCGGUUCCCUCGCCAAUUCCCUCACCAGAAGCAACUCCAAUUCCAUCGCCGGUACCAUCUCCGGCACCCCAAGAAAAAGCUCAGGAGCCUCAAGCGCCAAUUCCAGAGCCCCAAAUUGCAGCUGAAGCACCUCUGGAAGAAGUGAUCCGAAGGCCAAUGCUGCCUCAGCCCCCAAUCGAAGGAAACCUGGAUUGCCGAACUCGGGCAUUCCAUUCUGAGCUUUGCUUCGAUUUAACAGCAUUCAGAGUGAGGCCAGAGCUUGCCCAAUCCUUCCAACUGCUGAGGAGAUAUCAUAUGGAGCAUCUGCUAGCUCCAAGGGAUUUUUUCUAUCCCCGGGUAGUCACGGAUUUCUACCAAACCAUGACAACCAAAGAAGUAAGAAAUCCAACUCUGAUUCAUUUCAUAAUUGAUGGAAGGCAUGGUAUUUUGGGAGCAAGACAUAUUGCUGAAGCCCUGCAAAUUCCUUUUGAGCCAACUCAAUUCGACAAUUUUAAAGCUUGGACAAAUCCUACUGAGUUAGAGAUGGUUAGCACACUAACCAGAGGAGCUGCAAAUCGAUCGCAUUUGUUGAGGGGGGAGCUACCUCCAGUUAUGUUUUUGAUUGAUGCCUUUUUGAGGCAUAAUAUCUAUCCCCUGCAGCAUUGGACCCAAAGAAGGGGAAUUCUCCUAGAAGCCUUGUACAAAAUGUCUGAAGGAUUCUUCUUUGGGCCUCAUCAUCUGAUCAUGGCAGCCCUUCUAUACUUUGAGGAGAAGGUUCACAAGAAGAAGCUUCAAAGAGCAGAUUGCAUUCCACUCCUCUUCCCAAGGCUGCUAUGCCAAGUUUUGGAGCAUCUCGGAUACCCCUCUGAGCCUCAGCAGGAAAGAAAGAGAAUAUGCCGUGAGCCUUUUACCCUUGAUAAAUGGAAUAAUAUGACGGCCUACAAAAUUGAUCAGCCUGGGCAGCCUCAGCCAGCAGCAAGGAGAGUCUCCCCAAGACAUAUACCUGAAGGUAUAACACUUGCUACUCCUGCCAUCCCUCGAGCUCCACCAGCUGCACCUGCUCCAUCACAGCCAUCCACAUCAGCUGAGCCGAGGAUGGCCAUCCCUAUAUCCGAAUAUCGAGAGCUGUGCCGUGCAUUGGAGACUCUUACAGCUUCUCAGAGCAAUCUUGCUCAGGAGUUGGCAGCCAUUAAAGCAUGCCAGGAGCAGAUGUUAGCCUCUCAGACUCAACAAGCUGCCAUCCUAAGGCAGCUUCAAGUCCAUUUCGAUCUGCCACAAGCUGUAGAGCCCUCUAUUCCUACUCCACCAGAGCCACACUCUCAGCCUUCAGAGUCUCAUCCUCCAGAACCCGAAGCACCAGCUGAUCCACCUACUGAGGAGGCAGAUCCUUCUGCCUAGCACCAUCACCCCCCUCAUCAGACAUUAUAUAUAUAUUUGCUGUUUAUGUUUUUAUGCAUGUUUGUUUUGUUUUAGUUGAAAAGAAAUCCCAGUAUUUUGGUACUAUAUAUGGGAUUCCUUGUGUUACUUGUCUUUAGUAUUGUAAUCACAUGAACUCAAAGUAAUACAAGUUGACUAUUUCUUGUUAAAAGUUAGCAUUAAAGUUUCCUUAUUUCCUUUUCUCACAUAUUCUAUUCUUUUUGAAACAUGUGGUUUUCCCCAAUCAAUAUUCGAAUUUGAUAUCAGCAUGGAGGUACCACUUCCUCCCUUUUAUUACAGUCACUCAAAUCACAUUGAGGACAAUGCUCAGUUCGGUUGGGGGGUAUGAGGAAGGAAGUAUUCUAAACCUUUUUGGUAUUGCAAUUAUAUUGGUUAAUUAGUUGUAGAUUUUACUUUUUACUAGUGUUACUCUAUUCUCCAUGAAUUUUGAGGAAAAAUUUUCAAAUUAAACCAAGAGAAAUUGAACUGUUGUUUUUCACUUGACUUAGAGUAUGGAUUAUGCUUACUAAAGUGGUUCAAUUGUUGAAACUUCUACUGAAAUUGAAUUGAGUUCUUCCACUUUAAGCUAUCCACACACUGUGCACAUUAGUUUCCGAUUAUAAGAUGAAAAGCUAUUUCCCUCUUGACUUAGUAUAUUUUUGGGACUUGGUAUAUUUGACCUCAUUUGAUAAAAAUUGAAACACCCUGCAAAAGGCCAAUGAGCCUUUGAAAUAAAGAAAGUUGUUUGCUUGCCUUGAAACCCGAGCAAGGUCUGAGGGGUAUAUGGUGAAAAUCUUUAAAGCCUGGUGCCCUAAGCCUUAAUUGGUUGGGAGUCACCGACCUCAAUGCUCGUUACAAGGGUGAAUAGGUAGAGUUAGCAUAUGGUAGAUGCUUGGGUAUUAGAAAUUCAUUCUUAAAAGUCCGGGGAAAAAUCCGAGGAGUUAGUGGUUGAAAGAUCCUUAAAACUUGGUGCCCUAAACCUUAAUUGGUUGGGAGUCAUCGAUGGACCCCCAUUACAUGGACAAGUCAGAAAGAGUACCCCAUAAAGCUACCUUAAAAAAAAAAAAAAAAAAAAAAAAAAAAAAAAAGAUGAAAGUGUGUUCUUUUCUUAUUGAUUUUGGUCAGUUUGCUAAAGUGUUGAAAAGAGAUAGGUUGGGGGGUGAGAUUAGUAGCAUAUUAUUCUCGGAACCUAAGGAACCAAUACACAUAGAUUUUUGUGGAAGAUUGAAGUUUAGUUCUUAGAAAAUGAAAUGAUUUUAAAACUUCAGUUUGCAUAAUGCACUCCCUUGAUUGACAGUGUUUAGCAUAGGUGUUAUGACUCUUGUUGAGAUUUGGGUUUGUAUUUCUUUAAUGAUUCAUGUGAGAAAUAGAUCAUCAUGCCACUUGAGAAUUAUUUUCCUUUUAGCAUGAUGUUGUAAAUUUUAGAUUAGUUUGCUAUUUAUUUUUUAUUUUCUCUCCUAUAUUGCUAAGGGACUAGCAAUAUGUCGGUUGGGGGGAGUGAUUACUACUCAAAAAGUGCUAUUUGAUAGCCUUUAAUUAAUCCUUUUUAACACUUUUGAGUAGUAGUUUAGGCCUUUUAACUCAAUUGGCAUGUUAAGGAUCCUUUAAAGCAAUUUUGAUCACUUUGUGCAAGUUUUGGUGUUUUUGUUAGUAUUUUGAUCACCAAAGCAAGUCAAGAAUGAGGAGAACUAUGAGGAAUCAUGGGCAAAGCUUAGAAUUCAAUUGCCAAGAGUGAAUCCGGAUUGCAAGGAGAAAAAGCAAAGAGAAUCUGUCAUGAAGCCUAUUCUUGAUGACAGUCGUAGCAGCCACUUUUGGAGCACUUUCUGAAGUCCAAAUGAUGCAAGCUAUAUACCAUUUCAAAGCUCAGGAAGUCAACAAUCCAAUGCUUCAAACGGUGCGCGAUUCGGAGUUGAAACGAAGAAGUUGCAGCCAUUACAAGCCAGUCACUCUAAAGUGUUGCGGAAUCAGCCUUUUGUUGCGAGAAUUUCGCAGCACUUUUGUACAGUAAGGUGUUUCUCCUUCUGACGAUGCACGAACCAUGCCGCGAGAGGGAAGCUAGGAACUUCAAGAUGGAAGCCAACUUUGCAGCCUGGUGAAGAUAGCUUGGUCUUGCGAAAUAAUUUCGCAGCCCUCUUGGGUGUCUGCGAAAUUUCGCAGGCACCACUUUUUUCCUGCGAAAUGGCUCCGGAAGCCUCCCGAAGCUUGCUACCGACAUUGGGAGAUAUUUUCCAUUAGAUUUUUGUUGUCUAAAUUCCAAAAUACUCCUUGUAAACCACCAAUUACAUGAUUCCUUAGUUUUUAAGUUAGUAAAAAGACCAAAUAUCUAUGUAAUAAUUAGUUUUAUAUUAGUUUGCUAUAAAUACCUCUCGGGAGCAUGUUCUCAGAGAGGAGUUCCUUCUGUAACCAUUUUGGUAAGCAAGUAAAGUCUUUUCUUUCUACUGCCUUACCUUCUCACUUUGUAUUUUCAUUUUAUUUCUAAGUUAUGAAUUCUCUGAGGAGCUUUCCCCAGAGAAUGAGUAACUAAACCUCCAAUUCCUUGGAGCUAAGGUUGCCGGGGAAGGUUCCAAGUGCAAGAAUGCAAAGCUCUGUGGUUUUAGCUAGUAAUGAAGAGGAAGUGAAAUCCUUUAGUGAUUUCAAUGUUUUUAGUUAACUUAAAACACCUUGGAGUCACCUGGGCCAACACUUGGUAAGGCAAGUGAUUUCCAACCGUGGAAAUGCACUAGUUUACCCCUUGCGAGCCUCUGGUAGGUGACUUCAAGGUAGGAUUUUCUGGAAUUACCAACACUUGGUAAGCUUUUGGACUCCUAGGAGACAUCCAUUAGUUAUCUCUUGCGAGUUUGUGAAGGGGAAUCCAAGGUUAAAGAUCACCUUGAAUGGUAAGUGCUCGUGAGAGGCAUGAACCAUUGCAAGUUGUAUCAGUGAGAGAAUUAAAGUGAAAUCUAAUUGAAGGAGUCUCUGUACAUCACCGGUUAGAGAAUUGACUAUAAGUUGAAUCUCUAAUGCGAGGAAAUGAACCAUCUGACCGGAGCUAUGUCUUUUGCAUGAGGAACCACCCCAGUGAACCUAAAUCUCCAAGGAAUGCUUUUCUUCCUAAAUUAUUCCAAACUUCUGUUAAGUUAGUUAGUUUAAGUCUAAACCUUUACCAAUCAAACUUUGUGUUUUAUUCCUUAAGCUAACCGUGAAAUGAAACAAAACCAAUUCACUUGGAAUUGGUAUCCUUGAUUGCUUGCAAAUCAUUCCCAGUGAACGAUCCUUAGAGCCACUAUACUAUAGUAGCUUUGUAUUUGCUACCCUAGUGUAUGGUGUUAUAGGUAUAAAUUUUGUUGAUCACUUCCUCAAUCAAGGAACACCAGCUGAACACAAAUCAGCUGAGACACCAAUUGGGCAUGAGUCAGUGCGUUAGAGGAUCAAGAAGAAGAAAAAGAAGGAACUGUUGGAAUUAGUAUGAGUGUGAAGAGAAAAGUAUAUAAAUAAGGGGAAGUAAAAGCAAAGUUCAAAAAGCUAUAUUUUUUUAUUGUUGGUGUAUGGUUGCAUGAUUAUCCCUAUAAAUAAUAGGAGUUUUUUGGUAUUCUACUAGUAGUUGAAGCAUAAUUUCAUAAAUUAAUAUUUAGAGCGGGGUGGGGUGAGUUGUGACAAAAUUCAUACCCGUCCCAAACCUUGGUUCAGAUUUUUAAAAUAUUCUCAAACUUAUCAUAUACCCAACUUUUAUAUUUCAUACUUGUCCUAAUAGAGGCACGUUAGGCCGGGUUACUUGAGUAACCUACAUAAUUGUCAUCCCUAGUUGAAAUACACUUUUUGGCAGUGGCCACCAACUGAGCUAGAAGCUUGAUUGAUUGACCUACAAGAUUAGUUCUCAUCAUUUUAAAAAAAGUUCUGGCUUUGGUUGUGAGUGCAAUUGAAUCUAAACUGGCAUUUGCUUAAUGCAUCUACUUCAAUCCUAAACUUCUUACUUCUUAAGCCUCAAUUGUUGUUAGGAUUUUGGAAAACCCAUUUCCUUAAAUUGUAAAUUUAAGAUAAAAUAAAAUAAAAGUGAGACAUUUCUUGAUUGAAUAUUGUUAAAGGUCCCUUGGCAUUAAGACUUGGUUGAAGCCUUGGAAGAUUAGUGGAACUCUCAACAUGUGUUUGAAUCUUGAGGAGAGUGGAUGUAAGCCAAAAUUUUGUCAAACCAUUAUACAAAUUGAGUUUGAAUCCUCAUUUCUUGAUUUCUUAUUUAUUUGCUUUUUCUUAUUAUUACUUGAAUUGUCAUUUGCAUUCAUUAAUGUUAAAAUUGGUUAUAAUUAACCAACACUAAUUCUCUUUCCCCUUCCCUUUCUUGGGUGUAAACCUAGGUUGGAUUAACUAGAUAAAUCUAUUAAGAUGGUAAAAGAAUAAUUAUUCUUAACAUACAUAAGAUCAUCUUCAAUCAAAUGACUCAUUGGCUAAUAUGUUGAAUUUGCUUAUUACUUGCAACUCAAAAUUGUGUUCUAGUUGUGUCAAGUCCCCAGUGUAUGGACAUUAAAUUUGUAGUACGUGAUGAGUAAUUAGAUGGUCCAACUCCAAGAAAGUGAUUGAAAAGUAGUUCAAGAAAGGUGCAAAAGGGAAUUGUUUUGGUAUUUUCGUUUUUAUUCUUGAAGGUGGCAGAGCUAAAAUUUGAGAAAUCAAGCAAAACAUACUGAAAUUACAUUGAAAGAAAGAAGAUGGGAGUUAAUGUCUUGCAGUACAUGAUAAGGACUUCAUGCAUGUAGUGUGACCCAUGUCUUGGACUGAUGCCAACUCACGGUUACACUUAUACCCUUGGUUCUCUCUUUACUACCUUGGCUAACCUAGAUCAGGCUAUGAGAUAGGCUCCUCACCACACCAUUACUUGCCCAUUAAUUAGAGACAUUUUCAAGCAAUGAGGUAACAUGGUGACACCAAGAGGGUCUAUUCCUCGCCCGGAACAAGUCUAGACUUGGUCUCAAAAAAAUGGAGAAAAAUGAGGUGUCGUUAUGUAGAAAUACAACAACCAUGCCUUCCUCAUUACUUAGAUUCAGAAUGUGAAGGUGAAAUUGAGAAACAGAAACUCUUGAAACCAAAAUGAAAAUUGAUACUUUUACGAAGAAUUACAACAACAUUAGAGGAAGACUACAUUCUUCCUCUUUAUUCCUACAUUUCUACACUACUUCUACUCCACUCCAUAUUUCUACAUACAUCUUUAAUCAGUCUUCCCUCCUUUAUAUAGAGCCAUCUUCACACAAAUUUCGCAAGGUAGAAAAGAGGAAUGAAACUUGGAGCAAGGUUCGACUACUGGUUGUAGCUUGUCAAGGCUGGAAGUGAACUUUUCUUGGCUUUCUGGGCAUGGGUAGUAACUUGUGGGUUCCUGUUUGGCAUAAAAAUGGCUAGAACAUGUGGCACUAUCUUGUUGGAUGAUGUGUCAAGCAUGUGGCAGCCAUCUAGUGGCGAUUAUGUCAAUUUUGGGAUGGAGAGUUGGCAUCCAAUUGCAAAGAAAUAUGACGUCUACCAACAUGCAAUGUAAACCUAUGUAGAUCAUAUGAAGAUAGAGAGGAAAAAUAUAGAAAUGGAUAUAUACCUAGAACUAGCUUUUUAUUAAAUGAAACGGAGAGACAACAAUGAAGGAAAAUAAAAUUUUUUGGCUUAUAUCAAAGAGUUCACAUUGUGUUACCCUAGGUUUUCUUAAAACUUACUUUUAUGAUAACAAAAAAGAAAAAACCAUUAUUGUUUAAUCCUUUGUUUUAAACGCAUGUAAGGUGUAAUUAAGUUAGUUCAAUGCAUUAAUUUAAGAAACUUGACCUAUCAAAAGUACAAAAUUAGAUGAAAUCCAUUUCAAUGGUUAAAAUGAUCAAAAUCAAACUUUUUCUAAGUAUUUUUUAAAAGCAUCAAUAGUGAAAGACAAUUUUAUAUUUAGUCGGAGUUUGGACAAAACUGAAAAACACACAAAAUCCAAGCGACCAUCUCUAGCUUGGAUGGUCGCUUGAUCCCACCUAGAGAUGUGCAUGAGUAAAAGGAUUUGAAAAUGGAAAUUGACUAUGUAGUCGAUCAAUUAACUUUGCAACAUCAUAUGCAAUCCUAAUUGCUAGUCAUCUAAUCAAUUAGGUAGUCAAUCAACAGGCCAAAAAUAUGUUUAUAAUGACUAUUUUGUACAAAAACCACCUGUAUAGUUAAAUAUAAUGCAUUUCAUUUAUAAAUCUUCUAAUUCUUGAAUAACGAUCCUAUCAUCCUUUGAAAGUUUUUAUUACACUUUUUUUACUUUUGUUCUAAAACUUACACAUCACCCUUAAUUGUACCAUGAGAACCUAGCUAUUUUUUAUUUUUUUUUUUGUAAUUCAUCAAAGUUAGCUUUUGUAUUCAUUGUUGUAUUAUUUUUAGUAUAACUUAGAAAGCUAGUGUUUUCAAGUGAGUAAAAUUAACUUGUAAAUAUUGUAAAGAUUCAUCGACAUGUAUCUUAAACUAAGUGUACAAGUUAAAACAUUUGCUAGUAGAUUUUCUCAAAAUUUAGAAUAGAGCUUGAGACUAUUGAAAUAGGUGGGGUUGCACCAAACCACAUCACAUCGUUGUUUGCACCUUUUUUCACUCUCUUUUACUUAGUUGCUCUAUAUUUGUUGUCUAGUAAUAUCCUAUAGGCUUGAUGGGUUAGGGAGCAUCCCUUUGUGAAAAAAUUUUAUUCAAUCCUUAGUUGUAUCACGCAUAUAUAAAAUGCCUCAUUGUUUUAAUGGUAUUCAGUCGUGGCAUCACAGAUAUGGGCAUCUAAAUUUUAAAAGUUUGAAACUUUUAUCUAAAGAAAAUAUGGUGCUUUGCCUUUUUGUAAAGCAUGUUGAUGAAAUCCAUGAGAAUUGUGUACUUGGGAAGCAACACCGAGAUGACUUUUUUUUUUUUUUUAUAAUAUUGUUUGUCCAAAUUCCCUACAAAUUAGGCCACCAGAUGUUCAUAAUUCUCCCUUCUUGAAUUUGAAAACUCGGACAAUUGGACAAUGCGACACCUAAGUCCGGUUUCUAAAUGCUAAAGUGAAAGGGUAGGUAUGGACCAUUGAAAUGUGAUCACAACUUUUCUCUGUAGCCAUGUUGUCUCUUUUUUCUUUUGCAUGAUUUUCUUACCUUAACAGAAUCAUAGACUUGUUUAGUCUCUAAAUGGGAUUAAUUUCAUCCAGCUUUAAGCUACUAUAUUAUAUCUAGGUGGAGGACUUUUAAGAGUGCAACCGACAUAGAGCACAUGGAAGUGGGUAUAUGGGACAUGAAAUUUCUUCUUAUAAAGAUUGCAUGAUUUUUAUAUUAGAGUUGUUGAGGCGCUAUGUAUUUAGCUUGUUUUGCAGUUAAAUUAAUUGGAUAAGUAGACAUUGGCGUUUCUAAAUCUACUGUGAAGUGCUUCAUGUACGUGUGAAGUAUUAGAAAUUUCUUUCUUGGCAACUUGUUUUUCUUUGCGGUCUACUGAUAGGUUUGACUAAAAUUAUAUUCCCUGUCAUGCUAAUUAAUUUUCACGUGCAUGCUCAAAAGAAAAGUAUGACCUUAGUGCACCAAAAUCACUUUGAUUAAUUUGUGAUAGGUUUUUGUGCAUCAUGACAUUAGCCUUAUUCAUUUAGAUAAUGUUUAGUUUUUAGAAAGUAUUAAGAAAAGGAAAAUAAAUAUUAAGAAAAAUAUUCUUAUAUUUGAUUGUAUUAUGAAAAAUAUCAUAAAAAAAUCAAAUAUAAUUUAAAUUAAUUAAUAAUUUAUACAUUUUCAAAUUAUUUAAUCUUUAUAUUGAAGAUAUAAUAUAAAUGAAAUGAGUUUUAAGUAUUAUAUAAAAGUGAUUUAUUGAUCUUACAUAUAUAUAUUUCUUUUUUUUUUCCUUCUAUUUUUUCUCUUUAUUUUAUUUUCCUUAUGUUUUCCUCAACAUUUUCCGGAACCAAACAUAGCCUUAGGAAAUCCACAAUUACCUUCAACUGAGUAGAUUCUGUUGUUUUAGCAAUGUUAGGCUGCUAACUUGUGUUGGUACGAACCUAUUAAGCCUAAAGAUGUAAUUAGUUAGGAUAUUCUUUUCCCUCUAGUCUUGUAGCUCCACGUGUACAGUUGGUUAGGACCUCAUUGUAUAUAAUGCUUGCCCUGUUAUUGUAGAAGACAACAAAGAUAAAUAAUAUUAACAUUUUUCCUCUCAUCUCUCUCUGUUUCCCUCUGUUUUCAUCUCCUCUCUCAUCUUGGUAUCAGAGCCUCCAUGGCUUCUUUCAAAGAAACCUCCGAAUCACCUUCUGCUAGCAUUGUUAAUGUGCAAAACCCAUUAUCUCAAUCAAACAACCUUCCUUCACCAGUAGCCACACCCUCUUUUUCUUUCUCGUCUAUGAAUCAACCUCUCACAGUGAAGCUGGAUAAUGGGAACUACCUCAUAUGGAAGAAUUAGCUUCUAAAUGUCAUCAUUGCUAACGGACUCGAUGAUUUCAUUGACGGAUCUCGACCCUGCCCUCCUCGAUUUCUCGAUCUGCAACAACAAACCCUCAAUCCAGAGUACUCAGCUUGGCAGAGAUACAAUCGACUUCUGAUGAGUUGGCUGUACGCAUCCUUGUCCAAAGAUAUAAUGGCUCAGAUUGUUGGGUAUUCAACAGCUAUGGAGAUUUGGAAUGCCCUUAAUCAGAUUUACUCUGCCUCUUCUAUGGCGCGGUUUACUGAGCUUCGCACCAAGCUUCAAACGCUCAAGAAAGAUGGACUCUCAGUUGGUGAAUAUAUUCAAAGGCUCAAAUCCAUUUGCAAUAGUCUUGCAGCAAUAGGAGAACCAGUUUCUGAGAAAGACCAUCUUAUCUAUUUGUUCAAUGGAUUAGAUUGUGAGUAUUAUUCUUUUGUUACCUCCAUUCAAAAUCGAUCUGACCAACCAACUAUUGACAAAAUCCAUAGCCUAUUGCUUAGCUAUGACUUCCGGCUUGAACAACAAAACUCUGUUUCUCUCCAUUCUGCCCAAGUCCAUAUGGCUCAUCUGAACAAGAAACCUUAUAAAUCAACUCCUCAACCUACAUUCAAUCAUAUUCACAUUCAACCUAGAUACUCUUCUCCACCUUUUAAGCCAACCACUAGUCAAUAUCAACCCAACAUUUUGGGCAAACCACAACCACAACCAUGACAGCCUCAACCUCAAUGGAAACCACAUUUUUCAAUCUAAAAUCAAAAGCCUCAGCGCCAAAUUUGUGGUAAAUUUGGACACACUGCUCUUAUUUGCUUCCAUCACACAAAUUUGAACUAUUCACCCCAACCUUCUCCUAAAUCUUUCAAUACUGUUCUCACCACAAAUUCCCAGCUCCCUAAUCCUCCAAAAUUUUCUUACCCUACAAUGGCUCAUCCUGCUGCUACGCAUAACACGGUUCCCGAUACAAAUUGGUACAUGGACUCAGGUGCUACACAUCACUUUACUCUGGACAUCAACGUGCUUGACACUGUGACACCAUUUAGUGGUUCAGAACAGGUGACAGUUGGGAAUGGUAAGCAACUCUGUAUCUCACAUCUUGGUACUGCAAAACUACCAUCUUCGUAUUCUCCUCCUGUUCUACAUCAGGUAUAUCACACUCCAAAAAUUUCAAAUAAUCUUAUUAGUGUUAAAAAAUUGUGUUCUGAUAAUAAAGUUUUUGUUGAAUUUUAUGCCACUCAUUUUCUUGUCAAGGAUCAGGUUUCGAAGAGAGUUCUCCUUUAGGGUCAACUUGAUAAUGGCUUAUACAAAGUUCAGUCGUCAUGCUCUCCUUCUGCUGUUUCCUUUCCUCCUCAAGUUUUCAUAGCCAACAUCAAGUAUCCAAAUCUGUGGCACAAGAGACUAGGCCACCCAGCUUUAUCUGUUGUUAAUCAAAUCUUGGAUUCUUGUAACAUUGCUCGAACACAGAAAAUUUGUUUUAAUUUUUUAAAUUCUUGUCAAUUAGCAAAGAGCCACAGGCUUCCUUUUUCUCUGUCUCCAUCCAUUGCAGAAAAACCUUUUGAGUUAAUUCAUACAGACCUAUGGGGUCUUUCGCUCGUUCGCUCUAUUUCUGGUGCUCUUUAUUUUUUACUUUUCAUUGAUGAUCAUACUCGUUUUACUUGGUUUUAUUUGCUCAAAACAAAAGAUGAAGCAUAUCCUACUUUUCUCAAGUUUCAAGCUCUCAUUGAAAAUCAAUUUAAUACCAAGAUUAAGGCUGUCCAAUCUGAUUGGGGAGGUGAGUUUCGAUCUCUCUCCAUACCGUUUUCAAAUAUGGGCAUUGUCUAUUGUUUAUCGUGUCCAUACACCUCACAACAGAAUGGGCGAGUUGAGCGAAAAAAUCGCCAUGCGAUUGUCCUUUCUUGCUUGCUCUAUGCCCUUAUCUUAUUGGCCUUAUGCCUUUCAAACUGCCACUUACCUUAUUAAUCGUCUCUCUACCCCUGUGCUGCAUCAUCAAUCCUCUUACUUCGCACUCUAUCACAAACUCCCAACUUAUACUCAUCUUAAGGUCUUUGGUUCCUCUUGUUUUCCGUAUUUGCACCCUUAUAAUACCCAUAAACUCCAAUACAGGUCACUAGAGUGUGCUUUUCUUGGUUACAGUUCACACCACAAAGGUUAUCUAUGUCUUGACAUUCAUUCUAGCAGGGUGUAUAUUUCUCGCCAUGUGAUUUUUAAUGAAGAUUCUUUUCCAUUCAAGAAUUUGAAAUCUUCUCUCUCUCAGUCUAUUUCUUCUUCCUCUUCUUUAUAAGUUCCUCUGUUCAUUCUCUUGCCUCCCCUUUCCCCAUCUCCUCUUAUUUCUUCAUCUAUACCUCAUUCUUUUCCCUCUUCUUCUUCUACCUCUAGUACUUGUUCCCCUCUCGUUGCUCCUACCUCUCUUCCUUCCUCUUCACACUCUGUGUCUCCAUCUAUUCCACCUCCUUCUCCACCUUCUCCGAGUGUGGACCUGCUUGCACCUUGUGUGAAUACAAAUUUACAUACUUCUUCUCGCACUCACAAUAUUCAUCCUAUGGUGACUAGAUCUAAGGUUUGUAUCUAUAAACCUAAGUUGUUGUUGAGUGUCUCCAUAGGUUCUCUCACUAAGCCUACUUCCUUUCUUCAAGCUAUUAAAGAUCCUUCAUGGAAGCAAUCCAUGGAAUUCGAGUUUGCUACCCUUCAACACAACAAGACCUGGCAUUUGGUUCCUUCACCUUCCUCAGGCGAAGUAAUCGGUUGUAAAUGGGUCUAUAAGCUAAAGCUUCAGCCUGAUGGCUAAAUUGAGAGAUACAGCCUGCUUAGUAGCUAAGGGUAUCAUCAAAUUGAAGUAUGGACUACUUCGAAACAUUCAGCCUGAUNNNNNNNNNNNNNNNNNNNNNNNNNNNNNNNNNNNNNNNNNNNNNNNNNNNNNNNNNNNNNNNNNNNNNNNNNNNNNNNNNNNNNNNNNNNNNNNNNNNNAGCUUCAGCCUGAUGGCUAAAUUGAGAGAUACAAGGCCUGCUUAGUAGCUAAGGGUUAUCAUCAAAUUGAAGGUAUUGACUACUUCGAAACAUUCAGCCUGAUUGUCAAGCUUUCUACUAUCUGUAUUGUGCUCAGUCUUACUUUUUCCCAGAAUUGGUGUAUUAGACAGCUGGAUGUUCAUAAUGCCUUCUUACAUGGUGACUUAGCUAAAGACGUUUUCAUGGAACAACUGCCUGGAUUUGUUGAUCCUCUCUAUCCUACUCAUGUCUGCAAGUUGGAUAAGUCUCUCUACUGUCUUAAAUAGUCACCUCGGGCUUGGUAUACUAAGCUGAGUACUUCUCGCUACACUUGGGAUUUGUUACUUCUAAGAAUGACUCUUCCUUAUUUAUUUGUCAUUCGUCUCAUGGGUUACUUCUUGUUCUUGUCUAUGUGGAUGAUAUAAUCGUCAUUGGGAGCCACUCUCCUCAGGUUACUCACCUUAUCCAACAGUUGCAUCAUUAGCUUUCUUUAAAGGAUCUUGGUCCUUUACAUUAUUUUCUGGGCUUGGAGGUUCAUCACACCCCUACUGGUAUUCACCUCAGCCAAGCAAAGUAUAUCACUGAUCUCCUUACCCGGGCGGCUAUGUUGGAUGCCAAGCCAUGUCCCACUCCUAUGUCCUCCAACACAUAUCUCUCUUUUCAUGAUGGAGUGGCUCUUGAAAAUGGUUCAGAUUAUCGAAGUUUUGUUGGUGCCCUUUAGUAUUGUACCAUGACACGCCCAGAUAUAGCUUUUGCAAUAAAUAAAGUGUGUCAAUUCAUGCACCAUCCCUCUAAUGUUCACUGGCAGGCUAUAAAACGUAUUCUCCGGUACUUAAAGGGCACAUCUCAUUUUGGUCUCUUCCUACAGCCUUCCUAUGACUUCAACAUCACUUGCUAUACAAAUGCCGACUGGGCUUCCUGUCCUGAUGACAAGUGUAGCACCAGUGGCUACUGCCUCUUUCUUGCCUCUAAUCUGGUUUCUUGGUCAUCUUCCAAACAAAAAGUGGUCUCCCGCUCCAGCGCCGAAUCAGAGUACCGAGGGGUAGCAAAUGGGGCUGCUGAAAUUGCUUGGACUGAAUCUCUUCUUUGUGAACUUUCCAUUACUCCCCCUCCCCUCAUUCUCUGUGACAAUAUCAGUGCCACGUACUUAGCUGCCAAUCCUAUUUUGCAUGCCCGCACCAAACAUGUGGAAAUCGACUAUCACUUUGUCACGGAACGUGUUCUUCAAUGCUCUCUUUUUGUCCAGUUUACACCUUCUGAUGAUCAACUUGCUGAUUGCAUGACCAAGCCUCUCUCCACCCAACGUUUCAUCACUCUACGCUCCAAGCUCACUGUUCUCACUAGACCAAUGAGCUUGAGGGGGGAUGUUAAGCCUAAAGAUGUAAUUAGUUAGGAUAUUCUUUUCCCUCUAGUCUUGUAGCUCCACGUGUACAGUUGGUUAGGACCUCAUUGUAUAUAAUGCCUGCCCUGUUAUUGUAGAAGACAACAGAGAUAAAUAAUAUUAACAUUUUUCCUCUCAUCUCUCUCUCUGUUUCCCUCUGUUUUCAUCUCCUCUCUCAUCUGAACCAAAUGAUCCAUGUUAACCUUGGCUUGGUUUGAUUUGGCUCUAUCUUAGAGAGCUCAAGGAUCACGUCAACUCUGGUUUCUACUAUUCAGGUCCAUUCCCAUAUGAACUGGUUCAAAUUUGAGAAAAUGGUAACAGACCUUUAGUGAUGUUGGUUUGGAGCCAGUUGCCAAACCCGCCCUGAGCUUUACCACUAAUGUCAAGGGAGAAAGCCAUUUGAACAAAAACAAUAGCUUCAAGGGACUGAAUCGUGGAUGAAAUCUGAUCCACAUUUCUUCUCAUUUUGGAAACAAAUGAGAACUUAACUAAGAAGAUUCUACGGCCUCAUAGUGCUUUUCCUGAUCUAAGGUUGGUUCGUUUCCCAAACUGUGAGAUGCACGUGCCAGACUUCAGAACUCUCACGCUCAGGAGUGUAUCCACGUGGUGGACAUAAGAUGGUGGCUUAAGAUCUGGUGUCGGUGGCUUUACUUUACUAGGAGAGUAGUGUGUCUUCAUCUCAUUCACUGCCGGAGGGUGGCGUAAGCAGUGACGCUAAGGUGGGGCACAGUCAAUAUCAUUUGCAUUUGACCAUUAUAGUUUUCUCCCGGCUUUAAAGUAACCUUAUCGUGAUAAAGGAUUACUAGCACUAGUUCAGAUGAUAGUCAUGUUAAAUUCGGACCAUGUUUGUGUCACAUUAUCAGCAACCAUGUGUUUAUGGUUCAUGCUUUCUGCAACUAAAAUUGAUAUAUAACCAGGUGAACUUCAAUCUAAAUUCUGAAAGUACUCAUGUGAUAGAUGGUGCCCGUCUGCAGAGUCCAUCAAUUGAAAAAUGGAGUGAGUGUAUCUAUAAGAGGGAAGGCUUGGAAAAUGUUCAGUUUUCUGGGAAUUCAACAAGGAUCUAAAAUAGAUUGUUUUCUUUGCUGAUUUCAAUGGUUGAAAUUUGAGAAGAUUGUGUCCACAUAACACAACUAUUACUGGUCCUUCUGUUGCAAUUUAUCCUCUAAAGCUCUAGCAUGUCUUCCAAUUCCCACUUCCCUGUUACUCCAGGAAAGCUAUUUCUGUCAUUGUGAAGAAGAAAAGAGAAUGUACAUAUCGAUGCUUUUAAGUGACUGGAGCAUUUAUAUCAGGUGGUCUGCAGCCAUAUAUGCCACUUUGUGAAGAUUGGAACAGUCAAUCACUAGGCUAUAUAUUAGUGUGGCCCAGCCACUUUAAUCAAGGACAAGUCUUCAUACUUAAAGUCAAAUUCUGCCUUUAGUCUCAUUAUAAAUUUCUGUUUAAAUAUUAAGCAAACAUUUGUUUAAUGCGAUUAAGACAGUACUAACUCAAUACCUGUUCUAUUUUUGGAUGCAAAUGCUUGAUGGUUUCAUCAUUGGAUGGGAUAAAGGUGCAUUCAUGAUUAGGAAUACUAGUAGUUAUAUUUUAAUUCUCUUUUUUCUCAAUGAGACUUGUUGGCACAAUUUUGCUGUUGAGAAACCUACCUCUCCAUGGAAAAUAAGUUGUGAUUGAUAGUACUGGAUAUAUUCAAGAAAUCUAAAUAUAGAUAGCACAAAAUAUUAUCGACAUAAAUAGCAUUAACAGCGUACGUAUGUCUCAGUGCUCAUCAGCUAUAAGCAUGGGGCAAACACUUACUAUGAGCAACUUACGUCAAAAUUCCAGAAUAGGACAUAGAAGUGACAGAUAUAGAACAUUGCAUAUGAGUCACAAGAAAGGAAAUUACGGGUGCAUAGCAGCUCUUAUUUUACAUACUACUACUCAUACUGAUCAAAGUCACUCAGUUGGGAUGGGUGGGAGUAGGAGGUUUGUGGGGUGGCUUGUGCGGAGGAGUUGGCAGCUUCUUUCCAGGACCUGGUUGCUUCUCUGCUGGAGUUGAAGGAGGCUUAAUCUUCCGAGGUGGCUUGUAUGAGUCUUCAGCAUUCUCAGCUGGAGGGUGACCAGGGUUGUGACCAUAAUGUGGUGGCUUCUCUCCCUUAGGUGGUUUGCCAACUGGGGUUGGUGGCUUGUAUGAGUCUUCAGCAUUCUCAGCAGGAGGGUGACCAGGGUUGUGACCAUAAUGUGGUGGCUUCUCUCCCUUAGGUGGUUUGCCAACUGGGGUUGGUGGCUUGUGUUCUGGGAGUGGCUUCUCCCCCUUGGGAGGUUUUUCCAAUGGGGUUGGUUUGUGUUCAGGAGGUGGCUUCUCCACUGGAGGCUUGUGUUCAGGAGGUGGCUUCUCCACCGGAGGCUUGUGUUCAGGUGGUGGCUUCUCCACCGGAGGCUUAUGCUCUGGUGGUGGCUUCUCGAAUGGGGGAUGCUUAGGAUAAUCAGCAAGUGAGGGGGCGGUGAGAACCACCAGGCCAAGCAACACCACUAGCAAAUAUGUAGGAGACAUCUUUGGGUUUGGGCUCAGAUGGUGCAAAACUAGGAGAAUUGGCUAGCCUUUUAUAGCGGAUCGUACCCAAUAAUGAAAUGACACGUGUCAUUAUGACCCAUGUGUAAUGGGGUCGAUUUGGGUCCUACAGUGUUGAAAACUUCGACAUCCACUUUUGGCCUUUUGCUUUCUCUACAGCCGCCUUGCUUUUUCCCUCUUUCCUUUUGUUUUCCUCCUGCCCCAUUCUAUCAACUAAACACAAUUAUGUAGUUGUUUAAUUCUUAAAUGAGAUAUUAUCCGUCAAUCGUAUUAUAUUUUAUCAAGAGAGAACGGAGUGCAAUGUGGCUGUAAUUUUAUCGUUUAGUUUUAUCUCUUGGACCACUGCAUUUUUGUUAAGAGGUGCAAUAAUACACGUCUUUAUCUGCCAUUCAAUAUUUACAGUAAAGAGAGGGCACAAAACUCUUCACUUCGCACCAUAAUUAUUUUGUUUUCUGGACACCCCGGGGCCCUUUGGUUGGUUUGGGGGUCAGAAAGUGAACAUCAUAGGGGGUUUUUCCCUUAUGUGCAUUUGUAUCUGAUGGCUUUAACUCGCCUUGUUACUACAAAGAAACUGUCACAGAUAGGAACUUAUUCCAGGCUGAGUAUCUCCUCAUAGACCCUAUAAAAGAAGACAAGUCAUAAUGAACAUCUAACCUUUGUUCAAUUUGAUUCAAUGCCCCCAUUGUGUCCAUCUCACAAAUCUGAAUUAUUAUAUCCAUUGAAUACAUAAAUUAAUGAAGAAAAUAUGAAACCCAAGAUACAUCUCUGCACAACCUCAACCCUGGUUGCUAUGUUUCCCUUCUAUUCACAUGAUUUGAUGCUAAUUGCCAAACUUGCAACAAGCCCUGAGUUUGACACCUAGUAUCGAUGGGCGAAUUUAAAGUCUCCUCCAAACAUAUAUUCCACAGCUUGAAGCUCACAGAAGAUGUUACAGGCAGGGAAAAACCUUCAGAGUUCGCUACCAAAGAUAAUUAUUAAGGAGAUAUCACAAAGAGAAUUCCAAGGGGUCUGAAUCAAAGACAAAUUGGUCGUUCGUGGGGGUUCUUACUUUCUUUUGGGUAUAACUCACUGAGGGCACUGUCUUUGUUAUUUGCAUUUCACAUUUAGAGUUCUGUUCUGGAAACAUAUAAAAGGAGCAUCAUUUUGUUCUUGGGUAACCCAUAGUCGUGAGUGGGUCCAUUUGCAUGCUACUUAGUUGAAAAGUUGGACCAUUUGCUCCGACGCCUACCUCCCGGAUUCCAUGCUCGGAUAAAACAAGAAUAAAAAAAAUAUUUAUAAUUUACAAAUGGGGGAAAGAAAAAAAUGUCAACAACAAACCAGGAAAAAAGAGUAGUAAAAUUCAUGUCACAUGCUAGUGAGAGAAGGGGUUGUUACACUCACUCGAAGUUCUUUCCAAAAUAUCGCAUGGUAUUUUAUUUUAUGUGUCAGCGCAGUUGUGAAUGGAACGUGCAAAAGUCCAAAUUGGCGUUUUUCCUUUUCCCGUGUAGGAUGGCGACCUUUAAUAAAUAUUUAAAACAAAAAACGAAAAAAAGGAGGGAAAAGGGAUCAGAAAAGAUAAAACAAUGUGUACAAGAGCUCAAUUAGUUUGCAAAUUACUGUUUGGAUUUUGAUAGUAUUUUAUUUGUCCAUCUAUAUUUGAUGGAAAAGAGAAUUUAAGAUAUUUCUGAAACAAAAGCAUUAGUGUAAAACUAAAUUAAGGUAUAAUUAAGUUAGUUCAAUGCAUUAAUUUAAGAAACUUGAUCUAUCCAAAGUACAAAAUUAGAUGAAAUCCAUUUCAAUGGUUAAAAUGAUCAAAAUCAAACUUUUUCUAAGUAUUUUUUAAAAGCAUCAAUAUUAAAAGACAAUUUUAUAUUUAGUCGGAGUUUGGACAAAACCAAAAAGCACACAAAAUCCAAGCGACCAUCUCUAGCUUGGAUAGUCACUUGAUCCCACCUAGAGAUGUGCAUGAGUAAAAGGAUUUGAAAAUGGAAAUUGACUAAAUAUUUAGUUGAUCAAUUAAAUUUGCAAUGUCAUAUGCAAUCCUAAUAGCUAGUCAUCUAAUCAAUUAGGUAGUCAAUCAAGUGUUUGUAAUGACUAUUUUGUACAAAAAACCACAUGUAUAGUUAAAUAUAAUGCAUUUCAUUUAUAAAUCUUCUAAUUCUUGAAUAACGAUCCUAUCAUCCUUUGAAAAUUUUUAUUACACCUUUUUUACUUUUGUUCUAAAACUUACAUAUCACCCUUAAUUGUACCAUGAGAACCUAGCUAUUUUUUUUUUUUUUGUAAUUCAUCAAAGUUAGCUUUUGUAUUCAUUGUUGUAUUAUUUUUAGUAUAACUUAGAAAGCUAGUGUUUUCAAGUGAGUAAAAUUAACUUGUAAAUAUUGUAAAGAUUCAUUGAUAUGUAUCUUAAACUAAGUGUACAAAUUAAAACAUUUGCUAGUAGAUUUUCUCAAAAUUUAGAAUAGAGCUUGAGGCUAUUGAAAUAGGUGGGGUUACACCAAACCACAUCACAUCGUUGUUUGCACCUUUUUUCACUCUCUUUUACUUAGUUUCUCUAUAUUUGUUGUCUAGUAAUAUCCUAUAGGCUUGAUGGGUUAGGGAGCAUCCCUUUGUGAAAAAAUUUCAUUCAAUUCUUAGUUGUAUUACGCAUAUAUAAAAUGCCUCAUUGUUUUAAUGGUAUUCAGUCGUGGCAUCACAGAUAUGGGCAUCUAAAUUUUAAAAGUUUGAAACUUUUGUAAAGCAUGUUGAUAAAAUCCAUGAGAGUUGUGUACUUGGGAAGCAACAUCGAGGUGACUUUAUUUUUUUUUCCUUUUAUAAUGCCACACCUAAGUCCGGUUUCUAAAUGCUAAAGUGAAAGGGUAGGUAUGGACCAUUGAAAUGUGAUCACAACUUUUGGCCUUUUCCUUUCUCUGCAGCCAUGUUGUCUCUUUUUUCUUUUGCAUGAUUUUCUUACCAAAACAGAAUCAUAGACUUGUUUAGUCUCUAAGCUACUAUAUUAUAUCUCGGUGGACUUUUAAGAGUGCAACCGACAUAGAGCACAUGCAAGUGGGCAUAUGGGACAUGAAAUUUCUUCUUACAAAGAUUGCAUGAUUUUUAUAUUAGAGUUGUUCACGUGCAAUGUAUUUAGCUUGUUUUGCAGUUAAAUUAAUUGGAUAAGUAAACAUUGGCAUUUCUAAAUCGACUGUGAAGUGCUUCAUGUACGUGUAAAGUAUUAGAAAUUUCUUUCUUGGCAACUUGUUUUUUCCUUGCCAUCUACUGGUAGGUUUGACUAAAAUUAUAUUCCCUGUCAUGCUAAUUAAUUUUCAUGUGCAUGCUCAAAAGAAGAGUAUGACCUUAGUGCACCAAAAUCACUUUGAUUAAUUUGUGAUAGGUUUUUUUGCAUCAUUUAGAUAAUGUUUAGUUCUAAGAAAAAUUUAUAUAAAAAUGGUUUAUUUAUCUUACAUAUAUAUAUAUAUAUAUAUAUUUUUUUUUUUUUCAUUUUUUUUUCUUCUAUUUUAUUUAUUUAUUUUAUUUUCCUUAUGUUUUCCUCACAUUUUCCGGAACUAAACAUAGUCUUACGAAAUCAACAAUUGCCUUCAACUGAGUAGAUUCUGUUGUUUUAGCAAUGUUAGGCUGCUAACUUGUGGUGGUACGAACCAAAUGACCCAUGUUAAUCUUGGCUUGGUUUGAUUUGGCUCUAUCUCAGAGAGCUAAAGGAUCACGUCAACUCUGGUUUCUACUAUUCAGGUCCAUUCCCAGAUGAACUGGUUCAAAUUUGAGAAAAUGGUAACAGACCUUUAGUGAUGUUGGUUUGGAGCCAGUUGCCAAACCCGCCCUGAGCUUUACCACUAAUGUCAAGGGAGAAAGCCAUUUGAACAAAAACAAUAGCUUCAAGAGACUGAAUCGUGGAUGAAAUCUGAUCCACAUUUCUUCUCAUUUUGGGAAAAAAUGAGAACUUAACUACAAAGAUUCUACUGCCUCAUUCAUAGUGCUUUUCCUGAUCCAAGGUUGGUUCGUUUCCCAAAUUGUGAGGUGCACGUGCCACUCUCACGCUCAGGAGUGUAUCCACGUGGUGGACAUCAGAUGGUGGCUUAAUAUCUGGUGUCGGUGGCUUUACUUUACUAGGAGAGUAGUGUGUCUUCAUCUCAUUCACUGCCGGAGGGUGGCGUAAGCAGUGACGCUAAGGUGGGGCACAGUCAAUAUCAUUUGCAUUUGACCAUUAUAGUUUUCUCCCGGCUUGAAAGUAACCUUAUCGUGAUAAAGGAUUACUAGCACUAGUUCAGAUGACCGUCAUGUUAAUUCGGACCAUGUUUGUGUCACAUUAUCAGCAACCAUGUGUUUAUGGUUCAUGCUAUCUGCAACUAAACUUGAUAUAUAACCAGGUGAACUUCAAUCAAAAUUCUGGAAGUACUCUUGUGAUAGAUGGUGCCUGUCUGCAGAGUCCAUCAAUUGAAAAAUGGAGUGAGUGUAUCUAUAAGAGGGAAGGCUUGGCAAAUGUUCAGUUUUCUGGGAAUUCAACAAGGAUCUAAAAUAGAUUGUUUUCUUUGCCGACUUCAAUGGUUGAAAUUUGAGAAGAUUGUGUCCACAUAUCACAACUAUUACUGGUCCUUCUGUUGCAAUUUAUCCUGUAAGGCUCUAACAUGUCUUCCAAUUCCCACUUCCCUGUUACUCCAGGAAAGCUAUUUCUGUCAUUGUGAAGAAGAAAAGAGAAUGUACAUAUCGAUGCUUUUAAGUGACUGGAGCAUUCAUAUCAGGUGGUCUGCAGCCAUAUAUGCCACUUUGUGAAGGUUGGAACAGUCAAUCACUAGGCUAUAUAUUGGUGUGGCCCAGCCACUUCAAUCAAGGACAAGUCUUCAUACUUAAAGUCAAAUUCUGCCUUUAGUCUCAUUAUAAAUUGCUGUUUAAAUAUUAAGCAAACUUUUGUUUAAUGCGAUUAAGACAGUACUAACUCAAUACUUGUUCUAUUUUUGGAUGCAAAUGCUUGAUGGUUUCAUCAUUGGAUGGGAUAAAGGUGCAUUCAUGAUUAUGAAUACUUGUAGUUAUAUUUUCAUUCUCUUUUUUCUCAAUGAGACUUGUUGGCACAAUGUUGCUGUUCAGAAACCUACCUCUCCAUGGAAAAUAAGUUGCGAUUGAUAGUACUGGAUAUGUUCAAGAAAGCUAAAUAUAGAUAGCACAAAAUAUUAUCGAUAUAAAUAGCAUUAACAGCGUACGUAUGUCUCAAUGCUCAUCAGCUAUAAGCAUGGGACAAACACUUACUAUGAGCAACUUACGUCAAAAUUCCAGAAUAGGACAUAGAAGUGACAGAUCUAUAUAUAUAGAACACUGCAUAUGAGUCACAAGAAAGGAAAUUACGGGUGCAUAGCAGCUCUUAUUUUACAUACUACUACUCAUACUGAUCAAAGUCACUCAGUUGGGAUGGGUGGGAGUAGGAGGUUUGUGGGGUGGCUUGUGCGGAGGAGUUGGCAGCUUCUUUCCAGGACCUGGUUGCUUCUCUGCUGGAGUUGAAGGAGGCUUAAUCUUCCGAGGUGGCUUGUAUGAGUCUUCAGCAUUCUCAGCUGGAGGGUGACCAGGGUUGUGACCAUAAUGUGGUGGCUUCUCUCCCUUAGGUGGUUUGCCAACUGGGGUUGGUGGCUUGUAUGAGUCUUCAGCAUUCUCAGCAGGAGGGUGACCAGGGUUGUGACCAUAAUGUGGUGGCUUCUCUCCCUUAGGUGGUUUGCCAACUGGGGUUGGUGGCUUGUGUUCUGGGAGUGGCUUCUCCCCCUUGGGAGGUUUUUCCAAUGGGGUUGGUUUGUGUUCAGGAGGUGGCUUCUCCACUGGAGGCUUGUGUUCAGGAGGUGGCUUCUCCACCGGUGGCUUGUGUUCAGGAGGUGGCUUCUCCACCGGAGGCUUAUGCUCUGGUGGUGGCUUCUCCACCGGAGGCUUAUGCUCUGGUGGUGGCUUCUUGAAUGGGGGAUGCUGAGGGUAAUCAGCAAGUGAGGGGGCGGUGAGAACCACCAGGCCAAGCAACACCACUAGCAAAUAUGUAGGAGACAUCUUUGGGUUUGGGCUCAGAUGGUGCAAAACUAGGAGAAUUGGCUAGCCUUUUAUAGCGGAUCGUACUCAAUAAUGAAAUGACACGUGUCAUUAUGACCCAUGUGUAAUGGGGUCGAUUUGGGUCCUACAGUGUUGAAAACUUCGACAUCCAGUUUUGGCCUUUUGCUUUCUCUACAGCCGCCUUGCUUUUUCCCUCUUUCCUUUUGUUUUCCUCCUGCCCCAUUCUAUCAACUAAACACAAUUAUGUAGUUGUUUAAUUCUUAAAUGAGAUAUUAUCGGUCAAUCGUAUUAUAUUUUAUCAAGAGAGAACGGAGUGCAAUGCAGCUGUAAUUUUAUCGUUUACUUUUAUCUCUUGGACCACUGCAUUUUUGUUAAGAGGUGCAAUAAUACACGUCUUUAUCUGCCAUUCAAUGUUUACAGUAAAGAGAGGGCACAAAACUCUUCACUGCUCUGCAUGUGUCCCAAAAAUGCGAUUGGACAAAUUAUGAUUUGCAUGCUAAAAAGAGGCAAAUGAGGUUAAUUCGCACCAUAAUUAUUUGGUUUUCUGGACACCAUAAAAAGAUGUUAUACAGGCAGGGAAAAACCUUCAGAGUUAGCUACCAAAGAUAAUUAUCAAGCAGAUAUCACCAAGAGAAUUCCAUAGAGUCUGAAUCAAAGACAGAUUGCUCGCUCGUGGGGGUUCUUACUUUCUUUUGGGUAUAACUCACUGAGGUCACUGUCUUUUUUAUUUGCAUUUCACAGUUAGAGUUCUGCUCUGGAAGGUUUGUUCUGGAAACAUAUAAAAGGAGCAUCAUUUUGUUCUUGGGUAACCCAUAGUCGUGAGUGGGUCCAUUUGCAUGCUACUUAGUUGAAAAGUUGGACAAUUUGCUCCGACGCCUACCUCCUGGAUUCCAUGCUCGGUAAAACAAGAAUAAAAAAAAAUAUAUAAUUUACAAAUGGGGGAAAGAAAAAAUGUCGGAAAAAAUAGUAAAAUUCAUGUCACAUGCUAGUGAGAGAAGGGGUUGUUACACUCACUCGAAGUUCUUUUCAAAAUAUCGAAUGGUAUUUUACUUUAUGUGUCAGCGCAGUUGUGAAUGGAACGUGCAAAAGUCCAAAUUGGCGUUUUUAUUUUUCCCAUGUAGGAUGGUGACCUUUAAUAAAUAUUUAAAACAAAAGACGAAAAAAAAAAGGAGGGAAAAGGGAUCACAAAAGAUAAAAUAAUGUUUACAAAAGCUCAAUUAGUUUGCAAAUUACUGUUUGGAUUUUGAUAGUAUUUUAUUUGUCGUUCUAUAUUUGAUGUAAAAGAGAAUUUAAGAUAUUUCCGAAGCAAAAGCAUUAGUUUGCUCUGUGAUGUCCCACAUCGAAUAGGGGAGAAAGUUUCUGGCGCUAUAUAUGUAGAGGCUCCUCUUAACCAAGUAGAUGCGUUUUAAAACCAUGAGGGCCCCCUUAGGUCCAAAGCGGACAAUAUCUACAUGAUUGGGUGUAAGUCAUUACAAAUGGUAUCAGAGCCGAUCCCCGACCCCGGUGUGGGGGUUUGUUUGGCCCUGUAAGGGGUGUUUGUCUGUUUGACCCCACAAUCCCAUGGGACACAACGAGGACGUUGUGUCUGCAUGGGGGGGCGUUUGUGAUGUCCCACAUCGGAUAGGGGAGAAAGUUCCUAGUGCUAUAUAUGUAGAUGUUUCUCUUAACCAAGUAGAUGCAUUUUAAAAUUGUGAGGGCCUCUUUGGGCCCAAAGCGGACAAUAUCUACAUGGUUGAGUGUAAGUCAUUACAUGCUCCAUGUCAAUUUCAGCAUUUCUCAUAUGUUUCACACAUACACAGAAGAGCAUCGUUUUUUAAAGCAUGCAUUUAUGUUGGAUUAAUUUGGAUUUUGUGGGAACUGGGGCAAGGAUCACAUGGAAGAGAGGUUGACUUUUUUCAGUACUUCAAUGGUUGAAAUAUGUGAAGGCUUGAUUGAUACUAAAGCUUGAAAUUGCGACUCUGUCAUUUGUAAAAAAAUAUGACAGCUUCCAUGCUCUCGUUUGGUUGCAUUGUCCGGUCGAGAGGUGCAAAAAGCAUUCUCUCUCUUCUAAUAGUCUUUUCGUUUAAAUCAAGGGAUUUGCCUUCCCGGUCGAGGUCCAAUAGAGGGUAACGGUCACCUACUAAACAUUAAAUGCUCCAACAACUAGUGAACUGAUCGACCCCAGCUCGACUAGUUGAGGUUACUUUUUGGUUUUCUUGUCUCCCGAGGUUAGAAACCUAUAAAUAGAGAGCUUCACUUCAUUUAUGAGUAAGAGAACACCUAAAUUUAUUUGUUUACCUACUUGUUUUUGCCAUAAAAGCUCUCAUUUCUUUUCUUGGUGUAUUAAAUCUCCAUUUGCAUAUCCUUUAGUGCACCUUUGUGAUUCAUUCUAGCCUUGAGUUGUAUUUAAGCCUUUGUUGAGCUAGGUUGAGAGUUUCAUACUUGUUUAUUGAGUGUUAAAGCCUUCAAGUGAGUUAAAACUUGAAGAGAUUGUGUAAGAGCCCAUUGGAGUCGGAAUCCAAGUGUAAAGGUGAUUAAAAGCUUGGUUGAAGCUUCAAGUUAGUGGAACUCUCACUCGGUUAUGAGCUUGAGAAGAGUGGACAUAGACAAGGCAGUGUCGAACCACUAUAAAAUCUGAGUUUGAUUUCUCUAACCUUAUCUCUUUAUAUUUGCUUCUCUUGUGCUUAAAUUUUUUGUGUUUAAAAAGAAUUUUUAAAAACUCAAUUCACCCCCUUCUUGGGAGUUUUUCUCUUUUAAGAUCAGCUUUUAUUUUCUCAAUUGGUAUCAGAACUAUGCCUCUUGUUUAAGACUUAAUCGUCUAAGAGGAAAUGGCUAAUCCAUCAAGUUCAUCUCACAUUGAAAGUUUUGCAACCAAUAGACUUCUUUUUUUUUUUUUGCGGGAACUGAUUAUCCCUAUUGGAAAACUAAAAUGACUUGGUUUUUACAAUCAAUUGAUUUAGAUGUAUGAGAUGCCAUUGAAGAUGACCUAACUUUUCCUUCAAAACUAGUUGAUGGAGUCAUGGUUCCAAAACCUAAGCAAGAAUGGGAUGAGCGUGAUUGAAGAAAUUUUCAAUUAAAUGCUAAAGUCGUUUAUACUUUGCAAUGCUCUAUGGACAGAAAUGAAUAUAAUAGAAUAUGUCAAUGCAAAUCGGUUAAAGAAAUUUGGAGAUUGCUUGAAAUAACUCAUAAAGGAACAAAUCAAGUUAAAGAGUCAAAAAUCAAUUUACUUGUUCAUAGAUAUGAAUUGUUUUUUAUGAAAGAUAAUGAAACUAUUGUUAAGAUGAUCACUAGGUUCACCAACAUUGUUAAUGGUCUUAAAGCCUUGGGAAAGACCUACAAGGAAUCCGAAAACGUGAUGAAGAUCUUGAGGUCACUUCCAUCAAAGUGGCAUACCAAGGUCACCGCAAUUUAAGAAGCAAAAGACUUGAUCAAGCUACCUUUGGAGGAGUUCAUAGGGUCAUUGAUGACAUAUGAAAUCAAUUUGGCAAAGAAGUAACAAAAAGGUGAAGACAAAAAGAAGAAGAACAUAACUCUCAAAGCUACAACUAAGGAAGAAGAAGUUGAAGAAGAAAAACAAAUUGAAGAAGAUGAAGAUUUAGCCCUCAUCACAAGAAAGUUCAACAAAUUCAUGAGGGGUGAAAGGUUUAGAAGAAGAAGGUUCACUUCUAGAAGAGACUUUUCUAAAAAGGAAUCUUCAUCUAAUGGUGACAAAAAGAGAUGGGAAGAGAAAAGAGACUUGGUGUGUUUCAAGUGCAAGAAACCGGGACACAUUAAAUAUGAUUGUCCUCUCUACAAAAGUGAAGUCAAGAGGAAAAAGAAUAAGGCAAUGAUGGCCACUUAGAGUGAAAGUGAAGAUGAAUCAUCCGAAGAAGAAAAUGAGAAAGAAGUGGCAAACAUGUGUUUCAUGGCAAUAGAUGAACUUGAUGAGGUAAAAUCUAACCUUAGUGAUUAAGAUAUACAUGAUGCAUUUGAAGAAUUGUAUGAGGAUUUUUAAAAACUUAGUUUGAAAAAUAUUUCUCUUAAAAAGAAAGUUCAACAACUUGACAAAGAACUUAGAGAAGUAAAAGAAAAAUUUUCAAAUGUUAAAGUUUCUAAAACUCAUCUUGAAAAAGAAAAUGAGAUUCUAAGAAAGAAAAAUGAAUAGUUGAACUCCUCUCUUUCAAUCUUUUCUUCUAGACAAAAAUCUUUUGAAAUGAUUCUAACUAGCUAAAAAUGUGUUUUUGACAAACAAGGGUUAAGAUUUAAAUCUUCAAAAAAUCAAAAGUAUUUUAAAAACUAUUUUGUAAAGGAAUCCACAAGUGCAAGUCCUUCCACUACUUGCAACUUUUGUGGAAGAGAAUGGCACAUUAGUAGUACGCCCUUUAAGAAAUGGUUCUCAAAAGAAUUUAAAUGCAAAAACUAAAAAAGAUUUGGAUUGAGAAAUCCAAGGUCACUAACCCUCAAGGACCCAAAAAGAUAUAGGUACCUAAAUCAACUUGAGUUUUAUGUUGUAAGGUUCAAAGAAUGAUAAGUGGUUCUUAGAUAAUGGUUGCUCAAGACACAUGACCGGAGAUGAAUCCAAGUUUGCUUUUCUUAAAAAGAAAAAUGGAGGAUAUGUUACCUUUGGAGACAAUGCAAAAGAAAGGAUGAUUGGUCAAGGCAACAUUGGUAAUGGCACAUCCUCUCUCAUUGAAAGUGUUUUAUUAGUAGAUGGUUUCAAACAUAACCUUUUAAGCAUUAGUCAAUUUUGCGACAAAGGUUUUUAAGUGAUUUUUUAAGCAUCUCAUUGCAUCAUCAAGGAUAUUCAAAAUGAUAAAACCAUUUUCAUGGGCCAUAGAUGUGAUAAUGUUUAUGCUAUAAAUAUUUCAAAAUAUGAUGGCCAUGAUAGAUGUUUUUCAAGCAUGCAUGAUCAAAGUUGGUUGUGCCAUAGGAGAUUGAGACAUGCUAACAUAGACCUCAUUUCCCAACUCAACAAAGAUGAACUUGUUAGAGGCCUUCCCAAAAUAAUUUUUUAAAAAGAUAAAGUUUGUGAAGCUUGUCAAGUGGGAAAGUAAAUCAAAAACUCUUUUAAAAACAAAAACUUCAUUUCCACAUCUAGGCCACUUGAGUUGUUGCAUAUGGAUUUAUUUGGUCCCUCUAGGACACCAAGUCUUAGAGGAAAUUCUUAUGCAUAUGCUAUUGUGGACGACUUCUCUAGAUACACAUGAGUCUUGUUUUUUAGUCAAAAGAAUAAAGUUUUUUAUGAGUUUUCAAAGUUUUGCAAUAAGAUUCAAAAUGAAAAAGGUUUUUCAAUUACUUAUAUAAGAAGUGAUCAUGGGAGAGAAUUCGAAAAUAUUGAUUUUGAAGAGUAUUGCAAUGAGCAUGGAAUUGACCACAAUUUUUUGGCUCUUAGAACUCCUCAACAAAAUGGGGUAGUUGAAAGGAAAAAUAGAACUCUUCAAAAAAUGACAAGAACCAUACUAAAUGAAAACAACUUACCAAAAUAUUUUUAGGCCAAAACGGUUAACACUUCUUGUUAUGUUUUAAAUAGAGUAUUAUUGAGGCUCAUACUUAAGAAAACUCCCUAUGAGCUUUGGAAAAACAAAAAACCCAACAUUAGUUAUUCCAAAGUCUUUGGAUGCAAUAUUUUAUAAUAAACACCAAAGACAAUCUUGGAAAAUUUGAUGCAAAAUUGGAUGUUGGAAUUUUCCUUGGUUACUCAACUUCAAGUAAAGCUUUUCGAGUUUUAACAAAAGAACCAUGGUUGUAGAGGAGUCCAUCCAUGUUAUUUUUUAUGAAUCUCCAAGAAAGAGAGAGGAUUGAUGAUGAUUUAGGUUUGAAGACCUCUAUAGGAAGAUUGCAAAUCGAAGAUAGAAGACAACAAGAAGAAAAUGGAGAGAAUCCAAAGAAAGAAGGAUCACCAUUGGCACUACCCCCUCAUCAACAAGCGCAAGGUGAAUCAAGUCAAGAGCUUCCUAAAGAAUGGAAGUUUGUCAUCAAUCACCCACAAGAUCAAAUUAUAGGCAAUCCAUCUAGUGGGGUAAGAACUAGAUCCUCUCUUAGAAAUAUUUGCAAUAAUCUAGCUUUUAUCUCUCAAAUUGAGCCUAAAAAUAUAAAUGAUGUUUUAGAUGAUGAAAAUUGGAUAAUUGCAAUGCAAGAAGAGUUAAAUCCAUUUGAAAGAAGUGGAGUAUGGGAAUUAGUACCAAGACCUUCAAAUCAAAGUGUUAUUGGAACUAGAUGGAUCUUUAGAAAUAAAAUGGAUGAAAAUAGCAUAAUUGUUAGAAAUAAAGCAAGAUUGGUAGCCCAAGGUUUUAAUCAAGAAGAAAUGAUAGAUUAUGAAGAAACCUUUGCCCCCGUAGCUAGGUUGGAAGCCAUUAGGAUGCUACUUGCCUUUGCAUGUUUUAAAGACUUUGUUUUAUAUCAAAUGGAUGUGAAAAGUGCUUUUUUAAAUGGUUUUAUAAAUGAAGAAGUAUAUGUUGAACAACCACCCGGUUUUCAAAGUUUCAACUUUCCUAACCAUGUUUUUAAACUUAAAAAGACACUUUAUGGUUUGAAACAAGCACCUAGAUCAUGGUAUGAAAAAUUGAGUAAAUUUCUUUUGAAAAAAAUGUUUUAAAAUGGGAAAAAUUGACACAACUCUUUUUAUAAAAACCAAAGAAAAUGAUAUGCUCUUAGUUCAAAUAUAUAUUGAUGAUAUCAUUUUUGGUGCUACUAAUGUCUCUCUUUAUGAAGAAUUUUCUAAGUGCAUGCAUAGUGAGUUUGAAAUGAGCAUGAUAGGAGAACUCAACUUCUUCCUUGGACUUCAAAUCAAGCAACUAAAGGAAUGAACCUUCAUCAAUCAAGCAAAGUAUAUAAGAGAUCUUCUCAAAAGGUUCAACAUGGAAGAAGCCAAAACAAUGAAGACUCUAAUGAGCUCAUCCAUUAAGCUUGAUAAGGAUGAGAAAGGUAAAUCCAUUGACUCUAUUAUGUAUAGAGGCAUGAUAGGUUCUUUGCUCUAUUUGACCACUAGUAGACCUUACAUUAUGUAUAGUGUGUGUUUGUGUACUAGAUUUCAAUCUUGUCUUAAAAAAUCUCACUUAAGUGUCGUGAAAAGAAUCCUCAAAUAUUUGAAAGGGACAAUGGACAUAGGCUUAUGGUAUCCUAAGAGUGAUAACUUUGAAUUAAUUGGUUUUUUGGAUGCUGAUUUUGUCAGUUGUAGGGUUGAAAAAUAAAACACUAGUGGCACUUUUCAUUUCUUAAGACACUUACUUGUCUCAUGGCAUAAUAAGAAGCAAAAUUUGGUAGCUUUGUCAACAGCAGAAGCUAAAUACAUAGCAACUGGUUUAUGUUGUGCACAAAUCCUUUGGAUGAAAUAAACACUUAGUGAUUUUGAUUUAUCUUUUGAGCAUAUUCCUAUUAAAUGUGAUAAUAGUAGUGCCAUAAGUAUAUCAAAAAAUCUCGUGCAACACUCUAGGACUAAGCAUAUAGAGAUUAGACAUAAUUUUCUUAGAUAUCAUACACAAAAGGAUGAUAUAACACUUGAAUUUGUAAGCAUAAAAGACCAACUUGCCGAUAUCUUUACAAAACCUCUAAGAACAUUUUGUUGAUAUUAGAGGACAAUUAGGAGUGAUUUCUUUAUGAUCUAAUGUGAUGAAUUCUUGAUGAAUAUACUUUUUGAUUGCAUGAAUUUCAUGUCAUAUAUGCAUCAUAUAGAAAUAUACUUAGAUAAUGGUCAAAUUUCGACCAAAAAUCAAAAUUCCCAUGGCAUUAGGCAUAAAAAUUUUGGAAUUUCAACUGAAAAUGGUAGGAGGAGGAUCACAAAAUGAGAAAGUAUGCAAAAAUUGAAAAAUCAAAACGUUGACCAAGCGGUCAAUCGGACUAGACCGAUCGACUAGUUUGUCGAGAUUUAGGAUUUUUAAGAGACUCCAACGCUUCAAUUUUUGCACCGUUCUCCUCUAUUUCUUCACGGUUUCUCUGAUUUUGUCUUUUAGAGACUAAUUUGAGUGCGUUUUGGAUCAAUUGAAGCAUUUUGGAUUGGAUUUUAGGAAGAUUGAAAGUUAAGGUUUCGGAUUUGGGUCGCCUUCUCUUCCUCUCGCGUGUCACAAUCAGCUUUAGCAUUGUUCUCUUUCCAUUUUCACACACCUAGGGUUUCAGUUGUGAGCAUCUCUCUCUCUUUACCAACCACUACUCCCUUGCUUCUUCCAUAUGGCUCCUAGGCGAGAGUCCGCUACUUCUAGGGCACAAGGCAAGCACCCAACUGAGUCGUCUCAGUCAAAGGCACGUCGAAAAGUGAGAUUUGACAUUGCCUUGUUCAGUUCCAUGGAGGACUACCAACUAUACAAGCAACACUUUGCUUAGAGACGAGUAGUUCCCAAGAGAAAUAUUAAUUUUCCUCAACUUCAGCAUUUCGAAUUUAAGGGUCUAUUUACUAGGAUGGUUGGUUGUCUAUUGUCACAAUUUCGGAGCCGGUUUUCCUGACCUUAGUGCGAGUUUUUUACUCGAGGGCGACUUAUGGCAUGGGUGGCAUGAUCAUUUCUACUGUUGGAGGAGUUGAGAUCUGUCUGGACCCAGAGAGCAUCUGCCAUAUUUUCGAUAUUGCUCUGGUUGGACUCAAAGUAUACAAGUCCAAAAUGUGGCCCAUUGUGCCAGGAUUUGAGCUUAGAGAGGUCAUUCAGAGGAUUUGUGAACUUCCAGACGCCCAGGAGAUGGGCAAACCAUUGCCACACAGUUUGACGGUCAUCAACAGGGUGCUACACCAUAUAUUGUGCUCUAUCUUUCUACCACGAAGUGGACAUUGAGAUGAGGUCUCUUAUUAUGAGGCAUUCCUUAUUGACUCCAUUCUAACGGAGAGACGAAUUCAUCUACUAUGUCAUCAUUCACUAAGCCUCCUCACAGUGACAUACCACCUCAUCAGGCACCUCUUGCUCCUGACCAUGCUCCAUUGAUGGAUUUAUUUACUCAUAUUAGCUCUCUAGGCACUCGCAUGAAGGAGUUUGUUGUAGUUAGUGAUACAUGGUUCUACUCCAUAGAGGAUCGCAUGGAUCAGUAUCAGACUGGCUUCACGUCACAGUUUGAGUAUCUCCAAUAGAGGAUUGAGCAUAUUGAGGAUCACUUGAGCAUGAGAAGAUGAUGGCUUUUCUAUGCUCUGUGUUUCCACCUCCACCUCGUCAACCUUGAUUUCUUAGAGACCCAUUGUUUUCAUUUUGUAAUGUUGCCAAAAGGGGGAGAUAUUUAGGAUCUAGGACUCUAUAGGAGACUUACAUGCAUAUCAUUUUCAUAUCAUUGUUUGGAUCGUACAUAUUGGAUAGUGAUACUUUUUACUUAUAUAUGAUAUGCCUAUAUGUUUCAUGUCUUACAUUGUUUCUUAUUGCAAAUUAUCUCUAACAUGUCUUGAUUAUCUUUUUUUUAACUUCAUAAAUUUUGAUUGUUAACCCAUGAUUGGUUUGAGGGGAAGAUUCUUCUUCUCCUAGAUAACCAAGGUUUGUCAUCAUAAAAAAAUUGGAGAUUGUUAGCCCAAGGGUUCUCCUAAUCAUGUUUUGAUGAUAACAAACCAUGCUUAAGUUACUAAUUGGUUUGAAUUAUAAAGAAUUUCAAGUGUUAAUUUGAAAAUUCAUCAAAGAACCUAAUGGAUGCAAGAUCAAGAUUUUUGGAAGACCUUUAAUCAUAAGAAACAUAUGUAAGAUGAAUGCAUGGGUGCACUUAAGAUUUGCAUAUCAUUUCAUGCAUAUUUGGAAAACACGGUUUAUGCUUUAAAGUUACAUUUCCAUCAAAAUUUGAGAUCCAUCAAAUGAACCUUAGGAAAAAUGUUUUAAAAUUGGCAUAUAAUUUUACCUAAAGACCUUGCCUAAGUGUUAGAAGCAAAAGGACAAAAAAAAUAUAGGUUUUCUGGUCAAAAAUGGUGAACCAGUCAAGGCAUUGUCUAAAUCAGCUCAAUCGGCCAAGGUACCGGUCGAUCGGUUUCCCUUUCCCUGUCGAGAUCUAGUCAAGAGGUACAAAAAUCACAAUCUCUGUCUCUUUCUCUCUUUGUCUAUCUUCCAGUAGUCUUUCCUUCCCGGUCGAGGGAUUUGCCUUCCCGAUUGAGGUCCGAUUGAGAGUAAUAGUCACUUGCCAAAUAUUAAAUGCUCCAACAGUUAGUGAACUGGUCGACCCCCACCUUGCCCAGUUGAGGUUACUUUUUGGUUUUCUUGGCUCCCGAUGUUAGAAACCUAUAAAUAGAGAGUUCCACUUCAUUUAUGAGCAAGAGAACACUUGCAUUUAUUUGUUUACCUACUUGUUCUUGCCUUAAAAGCUCUCAUUUCUUUUCUUGGUGCAUUAAAUCUCCAUUUUGAUAUCCUUUAGUGCACCUUUGUGAUUCAUCUUAGCCUUGAGUUGUAUUUGAGCCCUUUUUUUAGCUAGGUUGAGAGUUUCAUACUUGUUAAUUGAGUGUUAAAGCCUUCAAGUGAGUUGAAACUUGUAGAGAUUAUGUGAGAGUCGAUUGGAGCCGAAAUCCAAGUGUAAAGGUGAUUAGAAGCUUGGUUGAAGCUUCAAGUUAGUGGAAUCCUCACUCAAUUAGGAGCUUGAGGAGAGUGGACGUAGCCAAGGAAGUGUCGAACCACUAUAAAAUUUGAGUUUGAUUUCUCUAACAUUGUCUCUUUAUAUUUGUUUAUCUUGUGCUUAAAUUUAUUGUGUUUAAAAAGAAUUUUUAAAUACCCAAUUCACCCCCCUCUUGGGUGUUUUUCUCUUUUAAAAUUAGCCUUUAUUUUCUCACAAACUAUUGUAGUAUAGUGGUUUUUAGGUGUCAUCCAUUAGGAUGAAUUGUUCUCGGUAAUUAAGGCGUGAAUGAGAGGAGAAUUAAUGAUUGUGAUUAAGUAAAAUUGAUUUGAAAAUUCAUGGUGAAAAAUCAAUUUAACAAUGGUUUCUAAUUGAGAAAAACAAUGAAAUGUGAAAUAAAAUAAAAUUAAUAGGAAAUGAAAUUCUCGAAGUUAGAAUUUUCUAAAAAACAAAUUCCAUGGUGAAUGGAUGUUGAGAUCUAAUUUUCAUCAAGUUAGAUUGAAAACCGAAAUUUUCAUAUAAACUGAUUUUUUAUUUAGUUUUAGGUCUAGAUUUAAUUUCCCUUAAAAUUAGGUUAUUUAAUCCAAGAAAUCAAUUCAAAUCAUAUAUUCAAUUCAUCUUAAAUUAUCUUCCAAUUAUUCACACAAUGCAACUAUUCAAUCUCAUCAAAUCUAGCUUUUAAGAAUUUAAUGAAUCUACCUAGUUUGCAUUGUAAUAGUCAUCCAUGACAAUUUGAAGAGAAAAAUAAUUCAAUUAAUCAAUCACUUGGAUCAAAUUACCUUUGCAAUUAAAGUUCAUUUCUCUAAUUCACCACAGAUUUUGUCUCUAGAUCCUCCUUUCUCAAAGAAAAAUGAGAUUUAGCCACACAUGAUUGGAGAUUUGGUCUCAUAAGGCAUGUUUAGCUAGUGAUAAAAUGAGAGAAAAUAAAGAAAAAUAGAGAAUUCGAUUAAGAAAGAAAAUCUAAAAAAUUCUACAAUUAGAAAUGUCCAAAAAGCUUUUUCAUGAGAAAAUCAAGUUUCUAUUUAUAGGCCAAGGUCAAGUGGACACUUGACAUCAUCUAAGAGGUCUUCCGGAAGCUUCUUCAUCAAGAAAUCUGGAGUUUAAUAAUAAAAUGGUCAUUUCACAAGAGCUCAAACAAUUUCGCAUGAUUAUGUGAAAUAAAAAAUGCAACAACAGCAAUUUACAUCUUCUUGGAGCAUUUCGCAUGACUGUGUGAAAUUUUCACAUGAUCAUGUGGAAUCGACUUGACAACUCUCAUUUAGCCUACAACAUAAUUCCACCUUUUGGUCCAUUUUUCAUAGUCAUGCGAAAUGGAAAUAUUUGAUUUUUAAGUUUUCUUUUGUCAUUUCUUUCAUUUCCUUCUCUUGAUUCCACUUCAACUACCUCCGAAUCCUGGUCCAAACCAAUUGCAUUACUUCUUUCAUUAUGCAUUUGGAUCAUCAUCAACAUUAUUUGUUCUCUUCAAUUUGAUUCAUCUCUUUUGUCACCAAUUUAUCAAAAUCAUACCUUGAAAUGACUCCAAAACUUCAUAAAACUUGUUAGUAACUCUUGCAAGGGCAACAACAUAUUAAUUAAGUGUUUUAGGCAUAGUUACUACUCAAAAGAUGCGAAACUCAUGAUAAUUAUUAUAUAAAAUAUGCUCUUUUUGAGUAGUAAUCAACUUUCUUGCAUAAGCAGACCUUUUAGGGUGGAGUACUAAAGACCAAUAUGCUUGUCCUUGUUGUAAUAAAGAAACUUGCUCUUAUUGAUUGCACCAUGGGAGAAAAUUUUGCUACAUGAGUUAUCAUCAAUUUCUUCCCACCAAUCAUAGAUUUAGACGUGACAAGAGGCCUCUUAAUGGCAAGGAGGAACUGACACUCACACUUAUACAAUUAUCGGGCAUUGAUGUGUUGCAACAAUUAGAAUAACUUACACCAAUUAUGUUGGGGAAGUCACAAAAGGCAAACAUGAAAACUAAAAGGAAAAAAGAAAAAUGUUACAUAUCACCACAACUGGAAAGAAAAAAGUAUUUACUUUCAUUUGCCAUAUUGGAAAGCACUUAUUUUACAUCAUAAUAAUUUAGACAUAAUGCAUAUUGAGAAAAAUGUGUGACAAUAUAAUUGAGACAUUGUUCAGUAUUGACGAAGAAACAAGGACAACCUAAAUAGUCAUCUCGAUUUACAAGCUCUAACUAUUAGAAAUGAGAUUCACCCAAUAGAAAGCAGGACCAAAUUUAUUUUGCUUGCAACAUGCUACUCACUCACCCCAAAUGAGAUUAAGGAAUUUUGCAAGUUUUUGAAAUCAAUAAAGGUCCCCAAUGGCUAUUCUUUCAAUAUCUCUCGUUAUGUGCAACUCAAUGAAAGGAAGAUAUAUGAGCUCAAAUUGUAUGAUUGUCAUGUCCUAAUGCAACAACUUCUCUCACUUGUAGUUCGUGGAGUUCUACAUAAGAAUGUUUGUGGAGUUAUCAUAGAAUUGCGUAAUUUUUUCAAGCAAUUGUGCUCAAAGGUGUUAGAAACAAAUCACUUACACCAACUUGAGAACAAUAUUAUUGUCAUACUAUGUAAAAUGGAGCAAAUAUUUCUUCCAUCAUUCUUUGAUAUUAUGGUGCAUUUACUUGUGCAUCUAGUAAGGCAAAGGUUGCAAGACUUGUGCAAUAUUGUUGGAUGUACCUAAUUGAACGAUAUUGUUAUAAUUUCAUAUGAAUCAUUUAAUUUUAUUUUAUAUUAUGUUCAGUUCAUUAACAUGUACAUUGGUCUACAUAUGGAUGAUGAUAGGUACCUAAGCACUUUAAAGUCAUAUGUGCGUAAUAGAACUUUUCUAGAAGGUUCUAUUGUAGAAAGGUACCUUGCAAAAGAAUGUACAACAUUUUAUUCUAGGUACUUGAAUGAUGUGGAAAUAAAGUAUAAUCACAAUGAUAGAAACUUUGUUGGUUUCAACACUAGAGGAGAUGAAAGGGGUUAUCUUUAAACAUAUUGGACAUGCAUUGGGAAAGCCCAUAUUUCAUUAACUUAGUUCAAAAGAGUGGUCACAAGCACAUUUAUAUGUGUUGACAAAUUGCGAAGAUGUCAUACCAUUCAUUGAGUAAAAAAUUUAUUUGAAUUUUAAUUAAAGCUCUAGUUUAUAUCCUUAAUCAAUGUUUUUUAAAUUCACAAGGAGCACAAGCAAACCAUCAAGGCUAGACCACAUAUACGUGUUUGAGACGUAGAUUUAAUUCAUAACAAGGAAUUUAUCAAGUGGUUUGAAAGACAUGUAAGUAUAUUCCUUAUUAUAAGGGAUUUAUUUCACAUUAUGUUUAUAUUGAAUCCAAACCUAUUAUUGAAUUGUAGGUUGAACAAUUACAUAAUGAAGGUCAUAUAUCUGAACACCUUCUCACAUUAUCAUGUGUUCCAAAUUCAUUAGUUACAUGCUUCAAAUGAUAUAUUGUCAAUGGAUUUAGAUCCCACAUUAAAGAACGUGAUAAAAAAGUUUUUAAAAAAAGACUCAGAAUAAUGGAAUUGUUGUAGUUGCAAAAACGUCAAGCUUUACAAGUGCAUGUGAUAUGAGUCCAAUUAUUAGUGAUGCUCUCUACUAUGGUGUUCUAACUAAAGUUGUUGAGUUACAUUAUCUUGGUGAAAAUAAGGUUGUUUUAUUCGAGUUUGAUUGGUGGGAUGUUACAAAUAUUGGAAAAUUGAUAAAAGAUGAUGAGUACAAUUACACAUUUGUUAACUUUGCAUGAAUUCUAACCACGAACGAACGAUUUGUACUUGCAUCUCCAGCAAAGUAAGUGUUCUAUGUGAAGAAUGCGAAUGAAUCAGAUUGGCAUACUAUCAUGGAGAUGCAACCUCAAGACCUCUAUAAGAUGAACGGGAUAGGAUCCAAUGGUGAUUUUGAACCAUUUCAACAAAGUGAACUACAUGAUCACUAAUAUAUCUCAGAUUUAGUUGAUGAAGAUAUAAUCAAGUGGAACAAAAGUGAUGUUUUAGGACUAAUCAUCCUAAAAAAUAUUGUAGUUUCUUAAAAAAAAAAUGAAAAUGAAGAAGAUAAUUGAACCUUUGUCAUACUUUAAAAAGCAACUAUGCAUUGUUCAUUUUGUAUGUUUUGGUUUUCUUCAUUUAAUUUCCUGAUUUUUGUGAUUCAAUGUCAUAUUAUUGAUCUUGAAAUAUUUUUCUAAUUUUUCAUUCUACGAUGGUUUCAACAAGGAUGACAUCAAGUCAAAAAAGGAAAUGUGGUCCCACACACAAUAUUGCAUUACAGGGAUUAAGGUCAGGGAAGAAGGUAAAAGUUGCAUUUAAUGAGUACAAUCAAUUGGUUAAACAGAAAAAUGGAAAACACUUAUCGAGCUACAUAGGGACACUUGUAUCUAACCAACACAAUGUACCUCUCCAAGCUAGUGAUUGGAAAAAUGUUCCAAAUGAUGCAAAAGAGAAAGUAUGGCCUUUGUUUUGGUAUGUUGUAUUUCUCACUAUAUGAUGUCAUUUCACUGUUAUUCUAUUUUGUGACUAACGUUUGAAUCAUAUGUAAGAAAAAUUUGAAGUAGAUAAAGACUGAAAAGAUUACAUGUUGGGUAUAGCCUCAAAUAAAUAUAGAAGCUAUAAAAAUAUGAUGAAUGCAAAAUACUAUGACCCUUGGCAUAAGGAUGCAUGAGGAGAGGUUAAUACAUAAAUCACCAUUUGUCUCUGAUGUUGAUUGGAAGUGGCUUGUCUCUGAUGCAUAAACCAAAUCCCCCACUGAAUGUUUGAUAUUUGAUAGCAGGAAAAACACACCCGCAGCUAUACACCUCCAUCAUUCAGAUAAUUAUAGUGGGGGAGAUGAUUCAUGGUUGCCCUUAUACCCUUUAUUUGCACCAUCUAUUGAGAUUCUUUAUCAUGGCCAGGUUUUACUGCAGCAAUAAGAUAUGGUGGCAACAAUUUUAUCUAUAGGUGCGGUUCCAGACCGCCUCCAUAGGUGCGGUUCCUGACUGCCUCCAUAGGUGCCUCUUCUUGUAAUGUUUGUUCUGGGAAUUACACUUGAAAGCCUUAUCGUGAUAAGGGAUUACAAACACUAGUUCAGAGGACAGCCAUGUUAAACUUCCACUAUGUUUGUGUCACAUUAUCAGCAGCCUAGUGUUUAUUGGUCAUGCUAUCUGCAACUAAUAUAACCCGGUGAACUUCAAUCUAAAUUCUGAAAGUACUCAUGUGACAGAUGGUGCCUUUCAGCAGAUAUCAUCAAUUUAAAAGUAGUGUGUGUGCCUAUAGGUGGGAAGGCCUUGGCAAAUGUUCAGUAUUCCGGUAAUUCAAGAAGGAUAUAUCUAAAAUAGAUUUUCUUCUUGCCCAUUUCAAUAGUUAAAAUUUGAGAAGAUUGUGUCCACAUCACACAAAUAUUAUUGGUCCUUCUGUUGCAAUUUACCUCUGAACAUGUCUUCCAAUUCCCACGGUCCUGUUACUCCAGGAAAACUAUUUCGGUCAUAUUGAAAAAAAAAAUAUUAAAGAAGGUACACAUGCUUUUAAGUGGACUGGGGCAUUCAUAUCAGGUGGUCUGUAUCCACAUAUGCCACUUCGUGAAAGGUGGAACAGCCUAAUCACUAGGCUAUUUAGUGUGGCCCAGCCACGUUAAUCAAGCACAAGUCUUCAUACUUAAAGUCAAAUGGUGUCUUUAGUCUCAUUACACAUCGCUAUUUGAAGAUUAACUCAUCACUAGUGUAAUGCGAUUAAGACAGUCCUAACUCAAUAUUUGUUCUAGUUUUGGAUGCAAAUGCUUGCUGGUUUCAUCAUUGGAUGGGAUAAAGGUGCAAUCAGGACUAUGAAUACGUGCAGUAAUACUUCAUUCUCUUUUUUCUCAAUGAGACUUCUUGGCACAAUUUUGCUGCUCAGCAACCUACCUUUCCAUGGAAAAUCAGUUGUGACUGAUAGUAAUGGAUAUAUUCUAGAAAGCUAAACAUAGAUAGCAUUCAAUAUUAUCGAUAUAACAUUAACAGCGUAUGUCUCAAUGCUCAUCAGCUACAAGCAAUGGACAAACACUUUGAGUAACUCACAGCAGUCAAAAUUCCUAAACAGGACAGACGUGACAGAUCUAUAUAUAGAACACUGCAUAUGAGUCACAGGAAAAGAUAAUACGGGUACAUAGAAGCUCUUAUUUUACAUAUUACUCAUACUGAUCAAAGUCGCUCAGUUGGGAUGGAUGGGAGAAGGAGGUUUGAGGGGUGGCUUGUGCGGGGAAGUUGGCAGCUUCUUUCCGGGAGCUGGUUGCUUCUUUGCUGGAGUUGAAGGAGGCUUAAUCUUCCGAGGUGGCUUGUAUGAGUCUUCAGCAUUCUCAGCAGGAGGGUGACCAGGGUUGUGACCAUAAUGUGGUGGCUUCUCUCCCUUAGGUGGUUUGCCAACUGGGGUUGGUGGCUUGUUUUCUGGGAGUGGCUUCUCUCCCUUGGGUGGUUUGCCAACUGGGGUUGGUGGCUUGUGUUCUGGGAGUGGCUUCUCCCCCUUGGGAGGUUUUUCGAAUGGGGUGGGUUUGUGUCCUGGUGGUGGCUUCUCUCCCUUGGGAGGUUUACCAAUUGGGGUCGGUGGCUUGUGUUCUGGGAGGGGCUUCUCUCCCUGGGGAGGUUUAGUGGGUGGCUUGUGUUCUGGAGGUGGCUUCUCCACCGGAGGCUUAUGCUCUGGUGGUGGCUUCUCGAAGGGGGGAUGCUCAGGGUAAUCACCAAGUGAGGGGGUGGUGAGAACCACCAUGCCAAGCAACAACACUAGCAAGUAUGUAGUAGACAUCUUUGGGUUUGGACUCAGACAGUGCAAAACUACGAGAAAUCGCUAGCCCUUUAUAGCGGCUCGGACCUAAUACUGACAUAAUAUAAAAUAAAUAUUAUAUUUUAUCAAGAGAGAACAGAGUGUAAUUUUAUCAUUAAUACCGAUCGAGGCCAAAGAAAGAAGACCCAUAAUCCAUUUCCCACAAGCAUACACAAUGCAGCUGUAAUUUUAUCAUUUACUUUUAUCCCUUGGACCACUGCAUUUUUGUUGAGAGACACAAUAACACAUUUUUAUCUGUCAUUCAACAUUUACAGUAAAGAGAGGGCACAAAACGCAAUUAGAUAAAUUAUGUUUUGCCUGCUAAAAAGAGGCAAAUAACUUUAUUUGCAACAUAAUUAUUUUGGUUUCUAGUGACCCCGGGGCCUUUCGGUUGGUUUGGGAUCGGAAAAUGAACAUCAUAGGGGGGGUUGUGCCCUUAUGGGCAUAUAUAUCUGAUAGCUUCAACUGGCCUUGUUCCUAGAAAGAAAUUGCCAAAGAUAUAAACUUAUUCCAGGCUGAAAGUAGAUGAGAGUCAUAAUGAACAUCAACCUUUGUUCAGUUUGAUUCAAUGCCCCCAUAGUGUUCAUUUCACAGAUCUGAAUGAUUAUAUCCGUUGAAUACAUAAAUUAAUGAAGACAAAUAUGAAACCCAAGAUACAUCUCUGCAUAACAACCCCAACCCUGGUUGCUAUGUUUCCCUUCUUCUAUUCACAUGAGGAUACUGGUUAUAAUUGUCAAACUUGCAACAAGCCCUUUGACACCUAACGUCAAUGGACGAAUUAAAAGUCUCCUUCAAACGUCUAUUUCACAGCAUGAAGCUUAUAAAGGAUGCUGACAACCUUCAGAGUUAGCGACAAAAGAUAAUUAUCAAGGAGAGAUAGUUCCAUGAGAAUUCCAAGGAGUCUGAAUCAAAGACAAAUUGCUCACUCAAGGGUUCUUAUUUUCUUUUAGGUACAAAUCUCUUGAGUGUUGUUAAAGAAACACGUCACUGUCAUUUUGAUUUGCAUUUAACAUUUCACUUUUGUUCUGGAAGGUUUGUUCCGGAAACAUAUCAAAUGAGCAUCAUUUUCUUCUUCGGUGACACAUGGUCGCGAGUACGUGGGUCCAUUUUCAUGCCACUUAGUUGAAAAGUUGGAAAGAAAAAACAUGCCAACAAGAAGAUAGUGAGAGAAGGGGCACUUCAAGCCUUUAACAUGAACAAACAGUAAAUAAAAGAUGUUUCUCCACUCAUAAAAGUGUGUUAGAUAGCAAUAUAACGAAUCACAUCCAAAAUCUUUACUAGGCUCAAACAUAAAGAAGACUCAUUUUUAAGAAAAGAUAAAAAUGGCAUUGUCUGAUAGUAUCCAAUACACGAGAUGGCACUUAAUUUGUACAAGAUCUGUCAAUGCUGACGCACAUUUUCUGAUUAAAAAAAAACUGAUCAGUCAAAAGCAAUGAAGAGAAGUGAUGACAAUGAAUGAUGCUUCCAAUAUUUUCACCCCUUAUAGUGUUCUUCAUGAUUCAGAUAUAUAAUUGGAAAUAGAACAACCCUAUGCCAUACAUUCGUCUAAGUAUGGUGUCUAAUUUUUUGUGUCAGCGGUUGCGAAUGGAGCGUGCAAAAGUCCAAAUUGGCGUCUCUCCAUUUCCACAUAGGAAGGUGACCUUUAUUGACAAAUACCCAAUAUUUGUAGACAUUCCUUAAAUAUCAUAACUUCUUGUUGAUUUGAAAAUCAUUUUUCAACUACCAUGUUUUAAUAAAUAUUUUUUAAAAUGUAUUUUUAUCAAAGUCCACCAUGAUGGAUAAUAUUCACCAUGCAAUAAUUAAUAAAGUACAAACUAAGCGAAAUGAAAAGCAUUUUCUUUGCUUUGAGUUGAUUUUGGUUGCAUUGAGUUGAUUUUGGUUUCAUGGUUUUUUCAACUCUUAUUUUGAUUGGAAGAUGUCAAGAAAAGAAAACAUAAAGAAAAAUUAAAAGGGAAAAAAGAAGAAAAAUAAAAAAAAAUAGAUUUAAAAGUUAAUAAAUUAUUUUUUAUAUUUAUUUUAAUUCAUUUCACUUAUUUUUCUUUUACUAUAUAAAAUUUAAAUAAUUUAAAUUUUAUAAUUAAUUUAAUUACAUUUCAUUUUCUUCUAUAUUUAAAUAUUGGAAAAAUAUUUUACUUAAUAUUUUUUUCUUUAAUUUCUUUGGCAUUUUGGGAACCAAACUUAGCCUUUAAAAUAAAAAACAAAAAAAAAAUGAAAAUAAGGAGGGAAAAGUGAGAAAAGAUAAAAACAAUAUGUAAAGGAUUUGAAAAGUAUUAGUUUGUAAUUACUAUUUGGAUUUCAAUAGUAUUUUAUUUGUCUUUCUAUAUUUCAUGUAAGAGAGAAUUUAAGAUAUUCCCCAAGGCAAAGCAUUAGUUACCUGCAAUCAGUGGUGAUAAGGCUCCAAGCCAAUUUUGGGCCCCAUAUCUUAAGACAGUACAAUUUCCAUUUCAACAUUUCUGAUUUCUCAGAUGUUUCACAUACCACAGAAGAACAUUGUUUGUGAAAAUAUGCAUUUAUGUUGGAUUUUGUAUGCUGUGGGGACUGGGGCAAGGAUCAUAUGGAAGAGUGGUUGACUUUUUCUGUACUUUAACGGUUGAAAUAGGAUAAGCACGGGCAUUUGUGAGGCUUAAUUGAUUUUGAAGCCUGAAAUUGCGUUUCUGUCAUUUUGUCAAAAAAAUGGCAGAUUCCAUACUCAUAUGUUUGGCCUGUGGCCAUGUACAGAUGCCAUUUAGUGACCAGUUUGUAACUGUCAAUCGUUGCGUUUUGACUCUGCCUCAACAACAUCUGCCAUUGACGGGUUUUCAUACUUGCAAAUCAAAUAGUCUUUCGUCCCAUCAGGAAUUUCGGUUUAAAUAUUAUUAAGCAUACGUUUGGCUGACAAUCAUUAUCCAGUUCAUGAUUUGGUUUCUUACCCUUAAUCAAUGGUUUCUAAGUGAAUAUAUGUAGAAGGAAAUCCGAAGUGUAGACAGUAGUAUCGAUAACUCUCAAUAUUCUCUAUAUAAUAGAAUAAACAGCGUCAUAGUGAUCGUCGCCUACAAGCAAGGUACAAAUACCAAAACGAGUGACUCACAUAGACAUCUCCCAACAAGAUGUAGUAGUGACUGACACAUGGACACAAUUAACUCGUAGAAAAGGAUAAGACCAUUGCACAGCAGCUCUUAUUUUACAUACUACUUAUGCUAACCAAAGUCAAUUAGUUGGGAUGGGUGGGAGAUGGAGGUUUGUGCGGUGGCUUGUGGGGCGGAGUUGAUGGCUUCUUUCCAGGAGCUUCUGGCUUUUUCAUCGGAGCUGAAGGAGGCUCAAUCUUAUGAGGCGGCUUGUAUGAGUCUUCUUUACUCUCGACAGGAGGGUGGCCAGGGUUGUGAUCAUAAUGUGGUGGCUUCUCUCCCUUAGGUGGCUUGCCAACUGGGGUUGGUGGCUUGUGUUCAGGAAGUGGUUUCUCUCCCAUGGGAGGUUUAGCAAUUGGGGUUGGUGGCUUGUGUUCUGGGAGUGGCUUCUCUCCCUUGGGAGGUUUAGUAGGUGACUUGUGUUCUGGAGGUGGCUUCUCCACCGGAGGCUUGUGCUCCGGUGGUGGCUUCUUGGUUGGAGGGGGCUUGGGGUAAUCAGCAAGAGAUGGGGUGGUGAGAACCACCAGUCCAAGGAACAACACUAGCAAGUAUGUGGGAGACAUUUUUGAGUUUGGGCUGAUCAGAUGAUGCAAAACUAAAGCAUUACGUGACCUUUUAUAGCAUGUAGCUCCCAAUACCCACUAAGUAUUGUGGGGUCCAUUUGUGCCCUACGGGGUUGAAAACUUAGACAAUUGGGCAAGGACCCACCUGACUAUGGAGGACUAGUGAGGUGUGAUCAUAGCUUUAGGAUUUUUCUUCCUCUGCAGCCGUCGUGCCGUUGGCAUGAUUUUCUUAAUCUUAAAUAAAGGCAUAGUUAUAGAGUUGUUUAAUCUCUAAAUGGGAUUUUAUAUAUAUCUUCAGAUAGCCAUUAAUAUAUUUGAUGAAGAAAGAAAGACAAGUGCAUACAACAUGUAUACGACUAGCUUUCAUGGAGUUCAUUUAUGAUCAGUUUUCCUGUACAUGUAAACCAGGAUCAUAUAUAUGUUUCUGUUCCACAACUAUUUUGGAAUCUUGUUUAUCAGUUUUUAUCAUUAUAAUGUCACAUAGGCUGCCAACUUGGGCGCUAAAAGAACCAGUUGGGCUAGUUCGUUUCAGAAUUUCAAUGUGGAUUCAGGAAUUGUUUUGUAAGAUAUGCGAAAUAGUAGAGGGAUGAAUAGUGUUUCAUUAAUAAAAGUGUCCUGUAAAUUAGAAGGUGUCAUAGAAACUAUAAUCAAUAAAUAACUUUUUUUCCCCACGGGUGGUGUUUCUUGUGGGGAUCAGUGACUGGUUUAGGUUCACCCAAAAUGAGUUCAGACUAAAAUUGGUUUGAGUCAAUGCCGUGUCUCUUUUUUCCAGAAAUCAACUAUUUUAUGCAUUGAAUAAAUCAUACAAAGAAAAUAUGAACGCCCGCAAAACCUAAACCCUGGUUGCUAACUUUCUAUGUUUCAGUUCUAUUCACGCAAGAAUAUUAGUUUAAGUUUGGGAAAAAUGGCAACUUACCUAGUGAUUACUUGGUUUUGGUUUGCGACUAUUUACGCAACCAACCAUGAGUUUGACUUUAACGUCAUGGGUUGAAGCCUCCUACAGGAAGGGAGAAAGCUCCACAGCUAGCUCCAAAAGAGAAUUAUCACAUUGAUAGCUCCAGAGAUUCCCAAGGGGACUGAAUCAAAGACAAGUUCCUCACUUUUUCUUCUUUUGAGGCCAAAUAUGAACCAAGGAUCACACAACCUCAUUCAACUUCAUAAGUUUGAUUUCAUGCAGUUGAACACUGGGUGAAGGCCAUGACAAGAAUUGAUUCAAAAAUUCUAUCACUCUUUUAAGUAAUGGAAGAUUAUUAUCUCUGAUUGGCAUCACAACAGCACAUGCUCCUAGAUCUUUCUAGACACUCCAUGCAAUGAAAGCACAAUGGAUCUUGUAACGAUAGAAACUAAGCCAUGCUACAGUACUAGAUGAUGAGGUAAAACUAGUAGACACGGGUGGCAGCCUAUAUGGGAGGGACACAAGUCUAAUUGAUUUGCAUUUCAGCAUUAUAGAUAGGUAUGUUUUGGAAGAUUUGUUCUGGAAAUACCGCACCAAGUAGGAUUCUUUUUCUCUUUAGUGGGUCCACUUGCAUGCCAAUUAACGAGUUGAAAAGUAUGAGCACCUACCUCGUGCUCGUGGAACCGAAGGUCAGUGAAGUGGGGCUCCUUUUGGCCUCGUGUAAACUUGAUUCAGAAGUGAAGUUAAUAGUCUUCCAUUCAGAUGGAUACAUGGGAAUUUUUCUCUUUUAUUUAUUUAUUUAUUUUUUUUUUGUGUGUGUAUGUCAAAGGAUAAUGAAUGAAGCGCGUUAGCUUGUUUUCUGACUGGAACCGCAGAUGUCCAAAUUGGAGUUCCUUCAUUUCUUACUUAGGAUUGUUACAUGUAUAAACAAGGUAUAAGAAAUAUGCCAACGUGUCUUGAGGAGUUAUUGAUUAGAAAUAACAAGUCACCCGACUGUAGAGUUCCAAGAUUUGAAUCUUCAGACCCUAUAGCAGCCUCUGGGGUACGUGGCAUCCUAUAGCAUAUUAAUGAAGGCUUUUUCGAUUUAGACUUCACAAUACCAAUUAAUAUGUAUGCACAAAAUGGAGAUGACCCCAAAAAAAACAGAAUCGCCAUAGUUUAUGAGGUUAAGGUGAUUCUCCACUUAAUAUCUACAUUAGCUAAUUAUGUAAAUCAAAUGAACUUCUAUUUUUCCUUUUUUUUUUUGGUUUAUGUCAAAUAGUAGCCCAUAAUUAACCCAACCAUUAGCCUGUUUGAAUUGAUUUCACAUGCACAAUGUUGUAGUAGUUCAUAUUUUGAAUUUUAUUUUUACAAAGGUAGUUAAGGAAAAUGAAGUAUAAUAAUUAUAAAAGCAGACUAUAUACACUACAAUAAUUGUUAGAAUGGUAUCUCAAAUUCUAAUUUAAAAUAUUAUUUUUUGUAAAAGAAAUAUUAUAUAGAAUAUUUCCUAAUUUUAUAAAUGAUUAUAAUUAGAUCUUUAUAAAAUAAGGAAAGUUGGUAAGAAUAUCUUUAUAAAUAUUUUAGGUCAUGAGAGAAAGAAAUGGGAUAAAAAUGUGAUGAAGAGGUGAAAUAAGAGAGUUGAUUAGGAUAUAGAUGUGAAGAAGAAAGGGAUUCAAUAUAUAUAUAUCUUUCAAUUACCACAUUAAAACCCUGUGAACCUUUUAUAUGGUUUACUUUAUUUUUAUAUUCCUCCUUUAAUAUAUUUACAUUAAUGCUUCCAUUGGCACAACAAUAACGAAUUACAAAUACAAGCAACAAGUCCCAUGUUUUAUUACCAAAAGCAGGUAAAAUCCACCUAAUAUAUUACAAUAUAUUCAUCCAAUAUUUUAGACCAAUUCUUCACCAUAAAUAUCAUAAUGUGGCUUUUGUUCUUUCUUAAAUUUAAAUUGAAUUGUCUUAUAUCAAUUUGUUUGUGAUUUUUUCAUUAACUUCACUUUCAUUUGGUUAUCUUUGGUUUUUGAAAAGUAUUAAGGAAUUAAUUAACAAAAUAAUGUUAAGAAAAAUAAUUUUCUCUCUUUUGAUUUUGAUUUUGUAGUAGAAAAAUAUAAUUAAAAUUAUUUAAAAAGUAUGUAAUUUUAAAUUAUUUAAUAUUUAGAUAAAAAAAAUAAGUCUAAUGAGUUUAAAAUAACAUAUAAAAAUAAUUUAUUUAUUUUAAAUUUAUUUUUUAUUUUCCAUUAUGUUCUCUUUCUCUUUUACUUUUUCAUAUUUUUUCUUACGAAGAAUCAAACACAACCUCAUAUUAUAUGUCAAGUGUUUGUCUAUAUUUGAGCAAUGUUAGAUACGGCCAUGGAUUCAUCAAACUAAACUGAUUUUAAUAGAUACUUCACAAAUUGAUUUAUACACUAAAUCAUUGGAUAGCAAUGAUGCAUUGGAAUUAAACGUAGGAUGAAGCUCGAAGAACACUGUUUGUGUAACAACAUAUUUAUGAAAUUAUGCAAAGGAUGAGCUUCGGGGUAGUAGUACAAGGUCAUUAAUGGAGAGCCGUGUUAAACCUUGAUUGUGAUUGGAUUCCGUUAUCAGCAACAGCAACCUUGUUUGUAACCUUGAAAGUCAUUCUGUCCACAUCGAAACUCCAAUUUGACGUUUGUAAUUACCAUUCCUGGAGUGUUCCUUGAUUGAAAUUUAAAUAAUAAUUGCGGCCCACAAGGAAUAUUUUCGAUUCUGUGGGAAUUUGACAAGGUUUGUUAGAGAAGACUGGUGACAUGUUGACUUCAAUGGUUCAAAUAGGAGACGUAUGUGGAUUUGGGGGGUUUAAUUGAAACUGAGUCCCUAUGGCUUUUUAAUAUUUGCAUUGAGCAGUCUCCAUGUGACUUCCUAAUUCCCACCAACCCUCCUGUCCAUGCUGUGAAACUAAAUUGUAAUUUAUCAGCCUUUGUCAAUGGUUUCUAAAUUAAAGAUAUAGACCAUGCAUGUACUUUAAUAAAAGCAAAUCUAAAGUGUAGAUAGCAGCAAUGGUGACACCCAAUAUUCUCCAUAAAAUAGAAUUAGAAUAAGCAGUGUUACAUUGUUCAUGAUCACCUACAAGCAUACAAGAACUUCCAUGAAUAACUCAUAGCAAUUGCCAACAGGGCGUCGUAGAGACUCAUACAUAGAACACUAUCCACCCAGAGGAAAGGACAAGACCAGUGCGCUGCAGCUCUUAUUUUUCACAUGUAUACCACCACUCGUAAUAACCAAAUUCACUCAGUUGGGAUAGGUGGGAGAUGGUGGUUUGUGGGGUGGCUUGUGGGGAGGAGUUGGAGGAGGCUUUAUUUUCUGAGGCGGCUUGUAUGAGUGUGCAGGAGGAUGCCCGGGAGUGUGACCAUAAUGUGGUGGCUUCUCUCCCGUAGGUGGUUUGCCAAAUGGGCUUGGUGGCUUCUCUCCCUUAGGAGGUUUACCAAUUGGGGUUGGUGGCUUGUGUUCUGGGAGUGGUUUCUCUCCCUUGGUAGGUUUGCCAAUUGGGGUUGGCGGCUUAUGUUCUGGGAGUGGCUUCUCUCCCUUGGGAGGUUUGCUAAUUGGGGUUGGCGGCUUAUGUUCUGGGGGCGGCUUCUCUCCCUUGGGAGGUUUGCCAAUUGGAGUUGGCGGCUUAUGUUCUGGGAGUGGCUUUUCUCCCUUGGGAGGCUUGCCAAUUGGGGUUGGCGGCUUAUGUUCUGGGGGUGGCUUCUCUCCUUUAGGAGGUUUGCCAAUUGGAGUCGGCGGCUUAUGUUCUGGAAGUGGCUUUUUUCCCUUGGGAGGUUUGCCAAUUGGGGUUGGCGGCUUAUGUUCUGGGGGUGGCUUCUCUCCCUUGGGAGGUUUGCCAAUUGGAGUCGGCGGCUUAUGUUCUGGGAGUGGCUUCUCUCCCUUGGGAGGUUUUGUUGGUGGCUUGUGUUCUGGAGAUGGCUUCUCCCCUGGAGGCUUGUGCUCCGGAGGUGGCUUCUGAAAUGGCGGGGGCUUGGGGUAAUGAGCAAGAGAUGGAGUACUG